GUAUAUUUCACAAUUGAAAACUGUGAUGUGCUCAUCUACUGGCCAGAAGAAGUGUUCCAAAGCUUGGUAUCUUUGAAGGAGUUGUGGAUUCAGUCCUGCAACAAGCUAAUAGGGCCCACACAAGCGAAAGGUGUCGAACCUACACAAACGACAGAUCAACUCCUACCACAUCUAAACAUGAUACGUAUAUACUGUUGUGAAAGCAUGGCACAGCUCUUCAUUCUUCCCCCAUCUAUCAGACUUAUUCAUAUUGAGGAAUGCCCUAAGCUUGAGUUCAUAUGGGGAAAGGAGGAGCAUAUUGACACAUAUACAUCGCUGGAACAUUGCCGCGACCCUGCAUCCACCACUGGUAACCUAGAGCAAUCGCCGUCUCCAAUUAUUCGCCGUCCAUGCCUUGUAGAUCUAUCUAUAAGCAGUUGUGAUAGCCUGUUAACACUUCCAAAUCUACCACCGUCCCUCAAAUAUUUACACAUCUGGAGCUGUGAGAAGCUCUGCUCUGUGUCAGGAGACCUGUGUGCACUCGAGGAGCUACAUAUUUUUGACUGCAAUAAGUUACAGUCAGUCAAUUCCUUGGGAGACCACCCAUCAUUAGAAACACUGUAUCUUAAUCGCUGCCGAUGCCUUGCAUCUUUAGGAUGUGAUGGUGGUCGUGGAAGUUACUCUGCUCUUCAGAGCCAUAAGAUCGAAGACUGCCCAGCCAUAGACAUGAAGCAGUUUUACUAACGCCAUCAAACAGCUGCUUGACAGCUUUGAAUAUGAAGACGUAUCACACGUUCAUUCAAGCAGCUCUGAUGAAGGUACGACCUUUCACUUUCCUCUUAUUCAAUUUGUUUCCUUCAAAUUUCCCUGCUUUGCAUGCCCUCCUAUUUUGUUGACUAACUGGUGUAACCCCACAUAUUGGUGUUGAGAUCAGUUGAUGCGGAAUCACUGAAGUACUACUGAAACGAGAUCCUGAUCGGUCUCAGUUUUGGAGAGCAAUUUGUGGUGAACGGAGGCAGUCCAAGGCUUCAAGAACUCAUGGAGUCGUGCUGUACCAUUCUGCACUGCCAGGGCCAAAACAACACAAUUCCUUUAUAUAAGUUGGGUAAGUAAAAAACCAUGCCUUCGUCUGUGUUAAUCAAAUCUCAUUUAGCACAUAUAUGGGGACGUGUUGUUAACUUGUUACCCCAUGCUUUUCAUUUUUUCUGUGCAGACAUGACCCAUUUGUCCUUAAAAAGCAUAAAGGAGGGCACUCACAUGUACACACGACUGCUAUCUGGAAGCUUCAUUGCAGAUCUAGAGAUCAGGAGAAGAAGGAAAUCGUGGGGAUGCAGAUUUGCUUUCAACGGUCAAAACAGAGCUACAAAUGAUUAGUUGUAGUCGUGUGUGGUCCUUCCAUCACGAGUCGGUUUUUUCUUUUGCGCUAUAGAGAAGCUUUUCAGUUGUUGUCUCUUUUACGGUUGAUUUGAUUCCUUUUUUCCUUUCUAUGGGCCUGUUUGGCUCCACCCUAUUAAAGUUUAACACCUGUCACAUCGGAUGUUUGGAUGCUAAUUAGAAGUAUUAAAUAUAGACUGAUUACAAAACUAAUUGCACAGUUGGAGUGUAAUUCGCGAGACGAAUCUAUUAAGCCUAAUCAGUCCAUGAUUUGAUAAUGUGGUGCUACAGUAACCAUUUGCUAAUGGUGAAUUAAUUAGGCUUAAUAGAUUCGUCUCGCGAAUUAGCACAGGGUUCUGCAAUUAAUUUUAUAAUUAGCUUAUGUUUAAUUUUUCUAAUUAGGAUCCGAACAUUCGAUGUGACACUAUUAAAGUUUAGCACCUCGUAUCCAAACACCCCCUAUUAAUAUAACAUGAAAAUCCUCUUGCCAUCUUUUUUUAAAAAAAAUCGUAGGGAUGCUGCUUGAUGAAGCUAGCAACAUGGAUUUCAUGGUUCUUCCGAUUGUUGGAAUGGGUGGGAUAAGCAAGACCACCUUUAAUUUGUGCAACUCAUUUUUUCGGCUGUCAGAUGAACAUCCGAUGCGUUUCCUUCAUCUUCUAGUAAGUAUAUAUCUAGGUGCAUAGUAAAAAUUAUAUAUCUAGAAAAAAUGACCUACAAUUUAAAAUGGAGGGAUUACGUUGGAACAUCAACCAAACAAAUGGACGAACCCGUUUAAUUAUUUGGCCUCCAAGAAUGCUAUACGACCUGAAUGAAUAACUGAAGGCUAUCAAGGCACUUAUUGUUGUACAUAGGAACUGAGCUUGACUUAGAUAUAUUUAUUUGCAAACAGGUGUGAAAUGUGAUACAAUAAUUCAGAAAGCUAGACGUCGUGAGCCAUCCGAGAGAUAAGAAGAAGCUUCUCAUUACGGUGCACAUCCAUCCCAUACGACUCUGACAUUUCGAUGCCUGUCAACACUGGCGGAAGCUCCCAAUUGAAGUGGUAGAUGAGGUUGGCAAGAAUGAUUUCGAAAGUGGCGGUGGUGAAGUUUAUACCCAGGCACAUCCUUCGCCCAGACCCAAACAGCAAGAAACAGAAGUCGUUCCCCCGGAAGUCGGAAGCAGCAUCCAUGGCUUCUUCCAUGAACCGCUCGGGCAUGAACUCCUCUGCACUCUCCCAGUAGGUGGUGUCCCUGCAUAGAGCCCACGCGUUGACGAUUACACGUGUCCCGAAGGGUAUGGUAUAGCCCUCCACAUUGCAUUCCGACUUUUUUAUUUUUUGAACUUUUUUUUGAAAGAUUCUUACAAAUAGGUCCUUGGCGAAAACAUUUCAAAAUCUGGACCCUUAGCUUGGCGCCACCAUCGUACACGUCUCGGCGCUAGCGGCUCUGGCGCCUAGGUCAUUGCGCAGCUGGUGACGUGGAUGCUGACAUGGCGGGGGCUUGGCACCAAGGUGGAUGACGCCAAGCUUCGUAUUUCAACCACCUGCCUCCUUCCUACCCGAGCCUUCCUCCUCUUCUUUCUCCUCCCUCUCGGAUUUUUUCUCUCCCCACUUCACCCUACAUCACGAAUCGGCCUAUUGGAUCUUGAAAACUUUGAUUUGAUCCGUGGAUCUUCGAGAGCAAGGUAUCCUCGCUCCCUCAUAGUUUUUUUUCACGUCGAUUCGGUAUAUAUUAGUCGGAGUUUUGAACUUAGGGUUCAUGCAACCGUAGGAUGUCAAGGCGUGGAAAAGCUAGGAAACUAAGGUAACCUCAACGCACGUUGUUAUGUUAUGGGUUCAUUGUUGUGGAUCGAAUGGGAAACCCUAGGUAUAGGUUUAAUGUUAAUUGCUUUCGGUUCUUACAACGAAAUGGACUAAAUUGUAGUUAUGGCGGGAUGACUGGAAAUGCCUUCGACCCAUUGCCUCUGCCAAGUGGUGUUCCAGUGCCCAUGUGCUUUUACAGCGAUCCUUGCAAGGUAGCCAAGUCCGAUGCAGAGGACACGUAUAGGAAGAGGUAUUGGAUGUGUUCCAAUUUUGCGUUUGAGCCUACACUUCGUCAGCGCCGCAUUAACAAGAUGGUGAGAAAUUGAUGUUGUCUAAUAAUUAUUUUGUUUCGUAUGACAUCUUGCAUGAUUUUUUUAUUUUCUAACAAUUGCAUUUGUUGCAAACCCCUCUACUGCUCUGUGAUUUUGAGCAGUGGAUUGACACUGAGAUCAAGCCUGAAGAUAAGGAGGAGAUGCAGGAAAUGUUGCGGUGGGAGGCAGAGAAGAAGGAGACAACGGAGAACAGACACAGAGAGGAGGCUGCAGAAAAGGAGCACAAGGAAAAGGAGAAAAAGAGGCAUGCUGCUGCGAACAGGGAGGAGAGGGAGAAGAAGCUUGAGCGUGCACGCUGAGCGAAAGCAGCGAUUGAGGAGAAUCCCAAUGCCCUGAGGAAGGGAAAGUGGCCUCGUUGCACACAGUAGUCUUCAGUACUUGCUAGUUCUAUGGUUUAUUCAUGAACAAUGUUAUCUACUGUUGGACUUUUCAUUGUGUUGUCAUGUAAUGGACUUUAAGUAUGGAUGAUGAUAAAAAGAAGUACCGACAGAUGCUCAUCACUGAAUCAACACAUGCCAUCGAAAUUUUGGCAGAAUUUCCCCUAUUAUUUUUACACAAUCCAUACAUGUAAGUGAGAUGAAUUUUUAACCUCAAUACAACAUGUUCAAACAUACAAAUAUAUGCCACAUUCAUAAUGAAAGUCCACAAAAUGCAUAAUGAAAGUCCACAAAGUUCAUAAUGAAAGUCCACAAUAGUACAUAUACACAAUAGUUCAUAAUAAAAGUCCAUAUACACAUUAGUUCAUAAUAAUAGUCCAUAUACACAAUAGUUCAUAAUGAAAGUCCACAAAGUCCAUGUUAUUACAUAAUAACAUCUACCACAAACGUUCACUACCUCCUAGUCUUACCCUUACCCUUGUGACCAAGAGUGUCGGUACCUGGAGUGUAAGGGGAAGGUGGACGAUAUCUCCUAGUGCCUGCAAGCUGUGUAGGCUGAGUCAAGGGAGCGUCCUGGAGCUGAAACGGGCCAAGCUCUUCGUGCCUCUCGUCAUCCUCAUCCUCGUAUGCAAUGCCUUUGGCCUGUGUAGCUGCUUGGCUAGACGAACCUAUGCCUCCUCUGCUUGAGGAAGGAACAUGCAUGUCUCGCAUUGUGGCUGUCCUGCAACCACAAUGAGCAGCCGCACGGCGUAGCCGACGUGAUAGUCUCUAUUGUACAAGAAAUAGGUUAAGUGAAAGAAUUUAACGUAUUAAUAAUAUAUUUGAAAGCAUAUUUAGAAUCUUAUGUCUAGGAAGCUACGCGUCUCGUCGUCUCUGACUCUCGGACGAAACUGCUCAAUGUCUUCAACCGAGGUUUUGAGGGUAUGGCCCUACAACAAAGUAAAUGUACCAUCAUUAAAUCACUAAGUCACUAUCUACCUAAAUCACUAAGUCAGUAUCUACCUAAAUCACUAAAUCACUAAAUCUACCUAAAUCACUUAAGUCAACUAAUCACUAAGUCACUUAACAUAGAAAAAUAAGGCAAUUGACUUACCAAUCUAUCCAAGAUUGGUCCUGCCUCCACUUGCCUUCCUACACAAGUACUUCGGUCGUAUGUCGUGUCUUCAUCGUCGAAGGACUCGAUGUCGCUGUAGUCAUCUUGUGUCCAUUGUAGCCUCAGCCUGCAACGGCUCGCACCUUGGUACCAAGCUUGGUAUCGCAUGUACUCACUGUUUGUGUGCGGCUCGUUGUUCUCAUCCACGUUGUCGUGGAACUCCUCCCAUUGCUCAAUGUAAGGCUGGUGGUAUACAUGUCACUCAAAAACCUUCCUGUUCUUCUUAUGAUCCAACCUGCACGUCACGUAAGAUGUAUAACUGCCCAUAGUCGUAUAACCUGAGUUAAUGUAAGGGACCAUCAUGAGAUAAUUGAAAUAGCAAAACACUUCCUUGUGUAAACUCUACGCCAGUCGAGAAUGGAGCCGUUGGCCCAAAUCUGUUCUCAUGCCAAAUUAGAGUGCAACUCGAUCAGGCUGGGUGGAACUCGACCGGCAUAGAAAACAUAUAAGAGGGCACCUCAUCUGUAUAAAGUCAUCCAUCGCUCGCACACAUGGUGCUCAAAAGGAAAAGUAAGUGCCCCCUCUCCCUAUGUAUGGCUCCCACGACACCUGCAACAUGUCCAAACAAGAUGUCAGAUGAUAUACUAAAACUAAUUGAAAUCAGCAUGGGAAAUAAAAUGUACUUACACUAGACACCGUGAGCGUGUCUAGCUCGUUCGUGAAAUCAUGGUACGCCCACUCCAACAUCGUGUGUAGAACCCUAACCUGGUCCCAAAGGUACGCCCACGUAGGAUGCUGUCUCGGAGGCUGACCUGGGAACCACUCAUGGCGAGACAGAACCUCAGGACGGCCAACUGGUAGACGCGCCCACAUCCACAACUGCUGUAGGUACACACAUCCACCAAGUGAUGCUGAGGAUGAAGACCGACGACAAGCCUCGCACAGCUGCAGGUAGAGAAAACCCAACAUUGCAGAGCCCCAGCUGUACUGACCCGCCUGGUGCCAGUCGGUGAGGCAGUGGAUCCAAAACCACAAUGUAGUGUCACCCGUGGCAUCGGGGAAGAGAAUGCAUGCAAAGAGGUGUAGGAUCCAUGCCCUGCAGUAGUUCUCAACUGUUUGCUCAUUUACAUCCUCGAGGCAUUGUGCAAACUGUUGCCGGAGCCAGGAGAUUAGAACACCAGAAGUGUGAGCACCUUGCUCGUCAACCUCAUGCCCAAGGAAGGCUGCUACUCGUUCUCUCCAACCAUCUGACCUGCACGGCCCAGUCACUGCAUCACCGCGAAUCGUCAAACCUAACAUCUUCUGACAGUCCUCAAACGUAACUAUUAUCUCUCCGAAAGGCAAGUGAAAGGUAUGAAUCUCAGGCCGCCACCUACAGUUUAGACAAAGGAAGAUUACAUGUCAAAUAGGCUAGGGCAUGAACGAUUGGCUAUGAAUGGACGCAAUGAUUGAAGAUAGUACCUGUCAACCAACGCUGUUAUGGCUGCUGAGUUGAACUUGGGCAACCCAUGACGAACCUGAAAUGAGAUGACAUCUAGGCCAGCAGCUUGCACCAUAGGAGUGUACCGGUCGUCGUACCGCAUGUCCAAGAACCCAUCGUGGGUUCUAGAACCAAGGAGCGGAAGGUCAUGCAUGCAAUGAAACAGAGUCUUCCGUUAUUUCACGAACAACACAUGUACGCUUACAAAAAAUCAAUCAACACGUACAUAUUAUUACUACCCCCCCACCCCCCGCUAUGAGACAUCCUUGAUGGGUCUGGUCGUACACCGGGUCGAGCAAGUGGAGUUGCGCCAUCCUACAAAAAAUCAAUGAAAUAUAAAUUAAGUAUGCAGUGAAACAUAAACUUAGAAAUGUACAAAUAAUUGACACAAUUGCAAGUAUAAAUUGAGACAUGCAUAAUUAAUUGAGUGGAUACGACAUAUAUGAAAUAAUGAAAAGAACCACUAGUCGCACCUCACUACUCUGCCAAUGGCACGUGCAUGAACUGUGGUCCAGUCUACCGCACUUGCUGCACUCGUUCUGCUCGGGGUCAGUAAGAAAUGGGGUUGCCCUACCACGCCUCGCUCUUCCGGGUAUUUGAUCCAUAACCAUCAUGUGCCUCGUCCUCUUUCUUGAUCCACGCCUGUUCCAACGGUAAGCUGGAUCCGCAAUGUACUUUAGCCCAUCAUCAACAUGAGGGACAUGACUAGUAUUCCAACAGAUGCGCUCCUAUUCUUUCUGCACUUCUGCUCCCAUCUCCGUGUCAAAUUGUAUUACGGGUGUAGUUUAGCACUGAACAACAUGAUUUUGUGGUGCUGGGAUUGAAUCAUAGGAGUGCUAUUUGUGUGUCCGGAGCCAACUUUGACUGAUCUGAAUUUUGGUAAAAUUUCAUCCGAAUUUGUUUAAAAUCCAGUUGAAUCCAGGCCCGAAAUUUCCUGAAUUUCCGAAUUUCGUCCAUUUCGGAAGGCUCCGAAUUUUUUCAACUUUUGAAUCCCAGAACCUUGGUUGAGAAGCGGAGAGAUGGGAGACCUAGUUUUCAUCUUCGUUGCCUCGUUGGAGGGGAAUACUGCAUCUGGAGGAAUCGCGCGGAGGACAAGCUCAUGGAAGGCCCCGCUUUCGAUUACAGAGAAAAUCUUCGUUGGUCCGUGGGAUUUGAUUACAGCGAAGGCGAAGCAAACAUGUUUAACCGGUAUCUGAUUACAUGGUACCAGAUACGGAGCGAUUUUUACUGAAACAAACAUCACCUAGAGCUGACUAUUAUAUUCAAAUACUGACAAAAAGUAGAAUACUUCUCAGACAAGCCAGCCAUUACAACAAUAACAACACAACAACUGGAUUACCGGCGUGUCACAAUAACACACAACAAGAAGCUACGUACCACGAAGCAACAGAAACAGCACUCUUGCAAAUUAAGGGAUAAACAACACCCCCAAGGAAAUGGCGAUGAAAUUAAACCAGGCCCCGCCUGCAGAGCUUUGAGCACCUACACAUAUAUAGCAGGUGCAUGCAGCUCUCUAUUACAGAAACAGUAGAUCGAAAACGACGAGCAACCAAGCAUCGAGCAGCAACACUACUUACUUCUUCUCUCAAUGCAAGCAGGAAGAGAAGGCAAGCUAGCGAGCUGAUCAGCAGAGAAGUCGCCGGGAUUCAGAUGACUGCCGCGGUCGGCGUGCAGCGGCGCUCGCAGAAGUUUCCAGCAAAAUGCGGAACUUCAAGCGGGCCGGGGCUCCUAGAUAGCAUGUACAUCUUUGGGCUUGUUCGCUUCAGCUUAUAAGCCGGCUGAAAAGCUGAAACGGCUGAUUUGUUGUAAGAGGAAAACACUGUUUGGUGGCUGAUAAGCCGGCUGAAUAAGCUGAAGCGAACAGGCCGUUUGAUCCAACAGCAGCCCAUGAACAACAAACAGUAGCAGCAGCUAGCGUAUGAGGGUGGUGUGUGGUGGGGCCAAAGGCCAAUCUUGCAAGACAGCAGGAAGGAGCGUAACAUGCAUGCCCGUGUGCAGUACUGCCGUGGGUGUUGAGCACUUUUUUUUCUUGCUCCCGUUGUACUCAUGGAAACAUUUCAAAAGUAUAGAUUCAAUAUUUUGCAUAUUAUUUAAACAUUUCAAACAUUUAUGGAAACCACAUUUUAGAUAAACUGGUUCAAUAUUUUGCAUAAUAUUGUUGAAAUAGUGUACCUUAAACGUUGAGCUAAAUAUAUAAAAAUGUUGAGCUAAUAUAUCUAAAAUGAUGAAACUAAGAAAAUAAAGAUGAAAAAAAUAUAUACAGUCAUGUGGGAUCUCAAUCCGUUAGAAAAAUUUCGAAAAGGCUCAUAGUUUAUUCGGAAUUAAAAUUAAAUGAACCGUUAGAGAGAUAAGUAAGUUGAAAAGUUCGAAAUCAAAACUCACAUCACCCAACAAGUAGCUGACACCUAUCCGUCCUUUCAGCAGCUCCACCCACCUCGCGCCAGCAUACUAGCACAUGGUGGUCCCCAGCCACCUCUCGCCAGAUCGCAGUGCCCGAUGGGAGAUCCGGCGAUGCCGUUGCGUCGAAGGAGAGGGCGGAACCGACGAGGGUCGCCGGCGGCUCCCACCCCGAACGCGUCCUGACCCACUCCGGCAGGGCCUCCCGCAGGUACGGUGAGCGCUUCCAUCCGUGGUCCGCAAGCAGUAAUGUCUGAUUUUUCGCUUUCUUCUCCGGAAUUCGUCACAUAUGUCAUCGUCCUGUGUUUAUAUAUCCUUUUUAUGCUGCAAAGCUUUCACGAUUUUGAUGAGAGAUUUGUUCAUGUUUGUGCCCACAUAGUAGUCAAUGUGCCACUAGUACUGAUUGCAAUACGUACGGAAAUUGGUUUUGUGUCUGUUCUUUCUCCAUCUCAAUCAUCAAUCAAAUGGGGGUAGUCGUCGGUACGCCGGGUGGGCCGAGUUGGCCAAACUGCACAGUGGUGGUGGCAGCCAAGGUGUUGUUCAAGGUCGGGCUGGCACGCACACGGCCGUACCACAUCAGGGUGUGUCCUGCUUCCCCGUCAACUUCCUCAAUACGACUCGGUACGCCACUGUACCUAAUCCUCCAAAACUCCAACUCCAAAGGCUCGCUGAACGGAAAAAAAUUCUAGGAGGACGGUCCCCAAAUCCUUCUCCGUGAGGAUCCACUCCCGAUGGUUGCAGGCAUGGCAACAUAUAAUUGAUCCGCCGCCACCAACGACUGAGGUUUCUUCCACCUCGUCAACUACCACCACCUCCUCCACCCACCUCUCUUCUUCUCCGGCUACCCUGCGCGCGCCCUCGCCGCCGUGCGUGCCUCCAGCGAGCUCCCAGGCCCCGACGGCGCCAGCACUACGGCCGCGCCCCGGUGGCCGGCGGCGUCUCCUACUCCUCUAACGUGGACCUGUUCCGCUCGCCUUCAGCUGCCGUGGGAGCCGCGUAAUGGAGGAGGGUGGUGGGCCAAGCGACAGCUAGCUGUGGUGUGGUGGGCAUCCUCAUUUACUAAUCUCCACCCACCUUCCGAUGAAUAAAAAUUGACCUCUUUAUGCUGCCUUUGUCAUNNNNNNNNNNNNNNNNNNNNNNNNNNNNNNNNNNNNNNNNNNNNNNNNNNNNNNNNNNNNNNNNNNNNNNNNNNNNNNNNNNNNNNNNNNNNNNNNNNNNCAUCUAAGGUUAGCAGCCUCUUUCAGUGUACAAAUGAUUAUGCACCUAAUACUUUCCUCACCUUUGCAGUGCCGUGGGCCGCCACUUCCCUUCUGGCCCACAUGUCAUGGAGGCGCGCGAGGAGGGGGAUCGGUUUCACGUAUGAUUAAUAAAGAAAGGCCCAAGACACGUCACGCUGCGGGGGACAAGGGAAGACACCGCACCGCACGCACCUCCACCACUUGCGUUGCCUUUGCCUUUGCUUUUCCCCUAGCUCGCCCGCCUAGGAGCUCCAGCAGCCGGUCCGCUCCGCCGCCGGUGCGGCAACCACGCCGCCGUCAGAUCGCCUCGCGCGGCCACGCGGCCACCGAUCGUCCCCGCGAUACACCGCCGCCGGUGCGCCGUGCGCGGCGGCGCUGUCCCGCCGCUCCUCCGCCUACCGUCGGCCUGCGCCACCGCCAGCGCACCGGCAGCACCGCGAGCUGCUGCGCCGCCCCGACGUUGGUCCUUCCUGAGCCCGGUGUCGUCACCAGCGUCGCGGAGAAGCUAAUUACCUGGAGCAAUUUGUAGAAACAAAUAGUACUGGUUCGUUCACUUAUUUCUUUGCUCAAACUUAAUUUCUGCUUAGAGUUUGUGCCUAAAUUAGCUGCUUAUUCUGCUGGUUGCACGCAGGAGAUCGAGCUGCGGGCGUACGGCCGGAUCGGAGGAGGACAUAUCAGCCGGGUUCCUGUUGGUUGUGUACUUGUGUUCCUGCCGGCGGAGAAGCAACCAUGGCCGAGUUACUGAUCGGGCCACUGAUCUCCAUGGUGAAGGAGAAGGCAUCCAGCUACCUGCUGGACCAAUACAAGGUGAUGGAAGGCAUGGAGGAGCAGCGCAAGACCCUGGAGCGCAAGCUGCCAGCAAUCCUGCACAUCAUCCAGGAUGCGGAGGAGAAAGGAGCCUCCCGACCUGAAGUUGCAGUUUGGCUUAAAGACCUCAAGACAGCGGCCUAUGAGGCCAACGACGUCUUUGAUGAGUUCAAGUACGAGGCGCUUCGGCGAGAAGCCAAGAAGAAGGGCCACCACAGCAAGCUUGGAAAUGAGGUAGCAAGACUCCUAGUCCCCGCUCGUAAUCCCAUUGUAUUCCGUUACAGGAUGGGCAAGAAGCUACGCAGGAUUGUGCAGACCAUCGAGGCCUUGGUCACCGAGAUGAAUACAUUUGGUUUCAGGCACUUGCAGCAAGCACAGCCAUCAAGGCAGUGGCGACAGACAGAUUCCAUAAUCAUUGACUCCGACAGAGAUAUUCUUAGCAGAUCUAGAGAUCGGGAGAAGAAGAAAAUCGUGGGGAUGCUCCUUGAUCAAGCUAGCAACAGGGAUCUCAUGGUUCUUCCAAUUGUUGGGAUGGGUGGGAUGGGCAAGACCACCUUUGUGUUGGAGUUGUUCUAAAUUCACUCCAGGAAUAAAGGCCGACCUUCCCGACCCUUGACACUCAGGGUCGGGCGAGGCGGAGAAUCUCCCGACCCCGGGACUCGGGGUCGGGCGAGGCGGAGCGUCUCCCGACCCAGGCUUGAGGUCGGGCGAGUCGGAGAUCGACCCUCAAGGGGUCAGGCGCAUCCGACCCCAGGCUUGAGGUCGGGCGAGGCGGAGUCCCAGGCGCAUCCGACUCCAGGACAAAGGACUCAGGGUCAGACGAGAAGGAGUUCCAUCCUUGUACGGGACCAAGAGUCCGUACAGCUCAAUACCCCCUGUCUGGGGUUUCGGUACUAUAUAUACAUACACCCUUGCUAGGGUUUUGGGUGGUGACAGAAGAGAUAGAAGAGAGAGAGAUUAUCAGAUUCUCUUGUAAGCCGCCAUAGGCGUGUAGCCCUAAACUCUUGAUAUAGUGAGAUUGUUGCCGGCUGGUGCCCGUGGUUUUUCCUCUUCACAUUGAAGGGGUUUUCCACGUAAAUCGUGUGUCUUCUUUUGUGGUUUGAUUCUUUACUUCAUAUUCCAUACGUCGUACCUAACAAGUGGUAUCAGAGCUUUGGUUGCUGUUUGGAUUUCAUGUCGACGUCGAUGAAGUUUGAUCUACCGCUGCUGAACUACGACACGCGGUUCUCUCUAUGGCAAGUCAAGAUGAGAGGAAUUCUAGCGCAAACUCAUGAUUAUGAUGAGGCGCUGGAUAGCUUCGGAAAGAAGACAAAGGCCGAGUGGACUCCAGAAGAGAUCCGCAAGGAUCAGAAAGCACUCGCCCUAAUACAGUUACAUCUUCAUAAUGAUAUUUUGCAGGAGUGUCUGAAAGAAAAAACUGCUGCAGAACUAUGGCUGAAACUGGAAUCGAUCUGUAUGUCCAAGGAUCUAACCAGUAAGAUGCAAAUGAAGAUGAAGCUGUUCACCUUGAAGAUGAAGGAGGAAGAUUUAGUGAUGAACCACAUCACUGAAUUCAAGAAGAUCGUCGCCGAUCUAGUAUCAAUGGAGGUGAAGUAUGAUGAUGAGGACUUAGGUCUUUUACUGUUAUGUUCUUUGCCAACUUCAUAUGCAAAUUUUCGUGACACCAUACUCUUGAGCCGUGAUGAACUAACCUUAAAGGAAGUUUAUGAGGCUCUCCAAUCAAGGGAGAAGAUGAAAGGUAUGGUGCAGACUGACAGAACGUCGUCCUCCAGAGGCGAUGCUUUGCUUGUGAGAGGCAGAACUGAUAACAGAUCCUCCAAUGAUGAUGGAAGAAAAAACUAUGAAAGGAGAGGCCGUUCAAAGUCCAAGCCGCAUGGUAACAAAAAAUUCUGUGUCUAUUGCAAGCUAACAAAUCACAAUGUUGAGGAUUGCAGAAAAGUACAGAAUAAGGAGAAGAAGAAAAACAAGUCGGCUGGUAAGGUCUCUGUUGCUGCUGCCGUGUCUGAUGAAGAAUCUGGAGAUGGUCUGGUGGUAUUUGCCGGUUGUGUUGCUGGUCAUGAUGAGUGGAUCCUUGAUUCUGCAUGUUCAUUUCAUAUUUGCAUUAACAGAAAUUGGUUUAGCUCUUAUAAGUCUAUGCCGAAAGGAGAUGUUGUGCGGAUGGGAGAUAAUACCCCGUGUGAUAUUAUGGGAAUUGGAUCAGUUCAGAUCAAGACUCAUGAUGGCAUGACACGCACUCUGAAAAACGUCAGGUACAUACCAGGGAUGUCCAGAAAUCUUAUUUCAUUGAGCACGCUUGAUGCAAAAGGUUACAAAUAUUCCGGUUCGGAUGGUGUUCUGAAGGUAUCAAGAGGUAAUCUUGUCUGCUUGAAAGGUGAUCUCAAUUCUGCAAACUUAUAUGUCCUUAGAGGGUGUACUUUACCUGGUUCUGAUUCCGCUGUUGCUGCUGUUACUAAUGAGGAACCUAGUAAAACUAACCUUUGGCAUAUGCGUCUGGGACAUAUGAGUCACCAUGGUAUGGCAGAAUUGAUGAGGAGAAACCUACUGGAUGGCUGCACUUCGAGUAAAAUGAAGUUAUGUGAGCACUGUAUUUUCGGGAAGCAUAAAAGGGUACAUUUCAACACUUCUGUUCACACCACUAAAGGUACUCUUGAUUAUAUUCAUGCUGAUUUAUGGGGUCCUUCCCGUAAGUCCUCGCUUGGUGGUGCUCGUUACAUGCUCACAAUUAUUGACGAUUACUCUAGAAGGGUGUGGCCUUAUUUUCUGAAACAGAAAGAUGAUACCUUUGCUGCUUUUAAGGACUGGAAGGUCAUGAUUGAAAGGCAAACUGAAAGGAAGGUGAAAUUGCUUCGUACUGAUAAUGGUGGAGAAUUUUGUUCGCGUGAAUUUAAUGAUUAUUGCAGAUCAGAAGGUAUUGUAAGGCAUCACACCAUACCCUAUACUCCACAACAGAAUGGUGUGGCCGAACGCAUGAACAGAUCCAUCAUAUCCAAGGCCCGUUGCAUGCUGUCUAAUGCCAGGAUGAGCAAGCGUUUUUGGGCUGAAGCUGCUAAUACUGCCUGUUACUUGAUAAACAGGUCACCUUCUAUUCCACUAAAUAAAAGAACUCCCAUUGAGGUAUGGUCUGGAACGCCUGCUGAUUACUCACAGUUGAAAGUUUUUGGAUGCACUGCAUAUGCUCAUGUUGAUAAUGGAAAAUUAGAGCCUAGAGCUGUUAAAUGUCUUUUCCUUGGUUAUGGUUCGGGUGUCAAAGGCUAUAAAUUGUGGAACCCGGAAACAGAAAAGACCUUCAUGAGCAGAAGUGUUAUUUUCAAUGAAUCUGUGAUGUUUACUGACAGCUUACCCUCAGAUCAAGUUCCAGACAAAGGACUGCAGCGUAUGCGCAUGCAGGUGGAGAACGCUCGUAAUGAUGUUGAUAACCCCGACCCCUUGGUCUCGGGGUCGGAUGCGCCAGACCCCUUGGCUCCAGGGUCGGCUGAUGCUCAAGCGCCAGACCCCUUGGCUCCGGGGUCGGAUGUUGCUGCGCCAGACCCCUUGGCUCCGGGGACGGAUGUUGCUGAUGCGCCAGACCCCUCAAUCUCGGGGUCGGCUGAUGCUCAUGAUAAUGUCCAGCAAACUCCAGAGGAGGAUCUACCCAUUGCUCAACGCAAGUCCAAAAGGACAGUUGCCCCUCCUAACCGCCUCAUUGAAGAGUGUAAUUUGUCUUACCAUGCUUUGAGUUGUGCUGAACAGGUGGAGAAUGUUCAUGAGCCAGCAACCUAUAAAGAAGCUAUUCAUUGUGGCGAUACUGAAAAUUGGAUUUCGGCCAUGCAUGAGGAGAUGCAAUCUCUUGAGAAGAACAGUACAUGGGAACUUGUACCUUUGCCUAAGAAUAAGAAGGCCAUCCGCUGCAAAUGGAUCUUCAAAAGAAAGGAGGGUUUAUCUCCAAGAGAGCCUCCGAAAUAUAAGGCAAGGUUAGUUGCAAAAGGCUACAGCCAAAUUCCGGGUGUCGACUACAAUGAUGUUUUCUCUCCAGUGGUAAAACACAGUUCAAUUCGCACUUUCCUUAGUGUUGUUGCUUCACAUGAUCUUGAGCUUGAGCAGUUAGAUGUGAAGACUGCGUUUUUGCAUGGAGAGCUCGAGGAGGACAUAUACAUGAACCAACCAGAAGGUUUCAUAGUGCCUGGCAAGGAGAAAUAUGUGUGCAAGUUGAAAAGAUCCUUGUAUGGUUUGAAACAGUCCCCUCGACAGUGGAACAAGAGGUUUGAUUCAUUUAUGUUAUCACACAGUUUUAAAAGAUCUAAGUAUGAUAGCUGUGUUUAUAUCAAGCAUGUUAAUGGAUCACCUAUAUACUUGCUGAUAUACGUUGAUGAUAUGUUGAUUGCUGCCAAGAGUAAGACUGAAAUAAAUAAGUUAAAGAAGCUAUUGAGUAGCGGUUUUGAUAUGAAAGAUCUUGGUAGUGCUAAGAAAAUUCUUGGUAUGGAAAUUAGUAGAGACCGAAAUUCUGGUUUGCUAUUUCUUAGUCAACAGAAUUAUAUCAAGAAAGUUCUUCAGCGUUUCAACAUGCAAGAUGCUAAGGCUGUAAGUACUCCUAUUGCACCUCACUUCAAGUUGUCAGCUGCUCAGUGUCCUAGUACAGAUGCAGAGGUCAAAUACAUGUCAAAGAUUCCUUAUUCUAGUGCUGUUGGGUCCUUGAUGUAUGCCAUGGUUUGCUCUCGCCCAGAUUUGUCAUAUGCUAUGAGUCUUGUUAGUAGAUAUAUGUCUAAUCCCAGCAAAGAACAUUGGAGGGCAGUUCAGUGGAUUUUCAGAUACCUCAAAGGCACAGCAAAUUCCUGUUUAAAGUUUGGAAGAACUGAUGAGGGUCUUAUUGGCUAUGUGGACUCAGAUUAUGCUGCUGAUCUGGACAGGCGAAGAUCACUCACAGGCUAUGUGUUUACUGUUGGCAGUUGUGCUGUGAGUUGGAAGGCUACUUUACAGUCGGUUGUUGCUUUGUCUACUACUGAAGCAGAAUAUAUGGCGAUUUGUGAAGCGUGCAAAGAAUUGAUUUGGCUGAAAGGUUUGUACGCCGAACUUUGUGGAAUUGAAUCUUGCAUAAGUUUGCACUGUGACAGUCAAAGUGCAAUUUACCUCACUAAAGAUCAACUGUUCCAUGAGAGAACUAAGCACAUUGAUAUCAAGUAUCAUUUUGUGCGUGAUGUGAUUGAAGAAGGUAAGCUAAAGGUAUGCAAGAUCAGUACUCAUGAUAAUCCUGCCGAUAUGAUGACAAAGCCUGUUCCUGUUACUAAGUUUGAGCUGUGCUCAGGCUUAGUUGGUUUAAUUGGAUAGUCCAAGAGACUAUUAUUGGCACCAGUGGUUUUUCCUGUCUUUGUUCUGUUCAGAAUGAAGGGUUGAUGAUACAAGAUGAAUUUGUCUCAAGGUGGAGUUUGUUGGAGUUGUUCCAAAUUCACUCCAGGAAUAAAGGCCGACCUUCCCGACCCUUGACACUCAGGGUCGGGCGAGGCGGAGAAUCUCCCGACCCCGGGACUCGGGGUCGGGCGAGGCGGAGCGUCUCCCGACCCCAGGCUUGAGGUCGGGCGAGUCGGAGAUCGACCCUCAAGGGGUCAGGCGCAUCCGACCCCAGGCUUGAGGUCGGGCGAGGCGGAGUCCCAGGCGCAUCCGACUCCAGGACGAAGGACUCAGGGUCAGACGAGAAGGAGUUCCAUCCUUGUACGGGACCAAGAGUCCGUACAGCUCAAUACCCCCUGUCUGGGGUUUCGGUACUAUAUAUACAUACACCCUUGCUAGGGUUUUGGGUGGUGACAGAAGAGAUAGAAGAGAGAGAGAUUAUCAGAUUCUCUUGUAAGCCGCCAUAGGCGUGUAGCCCUAAACUCUUGAUAUAGUGAGAUUGUUGCCGGCUGGUGCCCGUGGUUUUUCCUCUUCACAUUGAAGGGGUUUUCCACGUAAAUCGUGUGUCUUCUUUUGUGGUUUGAUUCUUUACUUCAUAUUCCAUACGUCGUACCUAACACUUUGUGCAACUCAUUUACAAUGACCCUGCAAUCGAGAAGCACUUUGAGUUUCGGAGGUGGUGCUGCGUGUCAGAUGAUUUCGAUGUCAGUACCAUUGCAAGCAACAUCUGCCAGACCAAUGAGAAAUAUCGUGAAAAAUCAUUGCAGGAGCUCCAGAGUACAAUAAGUGGGAAAAGGUACCUCAUUGUGUUAGAUGAUGUCUGGAAUCGGGAUGGUGAUAAGUGGGGAAAACUAAAGGCCUGCCUUAAGCAGGGUGGCAAGGGCAGUGCAGUACUAACAACAACUCGUGAUGCAGAAGUGGCUCGCAUUAUGACCAUGGGUGUAGCUGAAGCCCAUAAUAUCGAGAAUCUGAGUGACGAGCAUUUAAAGGAAAUUGUCCAGAGCAGAGCAUUCAGCUUGCAAAAUCCAAAUAUGGAAGAGCAAGAUGGCAUUCUCAGUGGAUUUGUUCGUCGAUGCGUUGGAUCUCCCUUGGCUGCCAAAGCCUUUGGCUCUAUGUUGAGUAACAGGACUAGUGUAAAUGAAUGGAAGGAUGUAUUAGCUAAAAGUGACAUUUGUAGUGAGAAAACCGGAAUUUUACCGAUCCUCAAGCUCAGUUUUGAUGACCUAUCCUCAGAUAUGAAGCAGUGCUUUGCAUUUUGUGCUUUAUUUCCUAAAGAUUAUGAGAUUGAUGUGGACCUCUUGAUUCGACUGUGGAUGGCACAUGACUUCAUACCUGUGCAGGAGGAUGACAAUCUAGAAACCGUAGGAAAAUAUAUUUUUGAGGAGCUAACUCGGAGGUCAUUCUUUCAAGAGGUCAGGCAAACACUUCAAUUUGGCUAUUUUGGAAGGUCGUCACUUCGUAAGUCAACCAUAUGCAAGAUACAUGAUCUCAUGCAUGACAUUGCUCUAUCUGUUCUGGGGAAAGAAUGUGUCACUAUAGUUGGUAAGCCGAGCAUCAACAAGGUGUUGCUAAAUCCGACCCGCCACGUCUUCUUAUCAACAAGGUGUUCUCAUUUCUGGAAAGAACAGGUUACAAGUCUACUAGAUCAUCUAUUGAAGAAACAAACUGCAAUGCUCCAUACGUUGUUUAUCAAAGGUUAUGGUCAACCCCUUGAUAUAUCAAAGUACACUUCACUGCGAGCAUUACACCUUCCAGCAUAUAUAUAUAUACCAUGUUCAGGACAGGAACAGCUUACAAGACACAUACAACACCUAAGGUAUCUUAAUCUGUCGUCACAUGAGUUCGAGAAACUUCCUGAAGGUAUAAGCAUUAUGUAUAAUCUACAAACGUUGGACCUCUCAUAUUGCAAAUGCCUUCGUCAACUUCCAAAGGAUAUGAAGUAUAUGGCAAACCUCCGACACCUCUAUACCCAUGGAUGCGAAUCAUUGACAUGCAUGCCUCCAGGACUUGGACAGAUCACUUCUCUGCAGAAUCUAACAUGUUUUGUUAUUGGUGAUGGCUUGGGAUGUAGUACUAUAGGAGAACUUCAAAACUUAAACCUUGGUGGAGAGUUAGAGUUAAGUGGUCUGCAAAAUGUAACAGAAGUGCUUGCAAAAGCUGCCAGUCUUGAAAAUAAAGAGAAACUCACACACUUAUGUCUCAAAUGGAAUGAUGAUGCCCGUGAGAAACCAGAUUCUCAUAAUGAGGUGUUAGAUGCCCUUAAACCUCAUCAUCGGCUGGAGAUGCUAGGCAUAAAGUCCUACAAAGGCACCAAUUUACCGUCAUGGAUAACAGAUCUUAGUCUGUUGCAGCACUUGACUGAGCUCCAACUGGUUGGUUGCACGCUGUGCGAGGAAUUUCCUCAAUUCUGCCAUUUCAAAACCCUUGAAGUUCUGUAUUUGAAAAAGUUGGACAAAUUGUAAAGCCUAUGCAGUCAUAUGGUGUCUACGCCAUUUCCAGCACUGAAGCAACUCCGGUUACAUGAUUUGGAGAGCUUGGAGAGAUGGGUCGCAACAGAAGGAAAAGAAGAUGAAUUAACCUUUCCUGUACUUGAGGAGGUUGAUAUAAAAAACUGUCCAAAGUUGACUAGCCUACCUGAAGCACCAAAGCUCAGGGUUGUAAGUCUGGAUGAAGGCAAGCCGCUGCUCUCCUUAGGAAUAGUUAAAUCAAGGCACAUGUCUUCAAUUUCUAAGCUAAUCCUGUGUGUCCGUGACACAGAAGCACUGCCUCAGAUAGAUUAUAAUUGGGAUUCAUCACAGAAACUGGAACUAUCCUUGGGUGGCACAGAAGCCGCACCUCUGUCACAUCUGAACAUAUCUGGCUGCAACUUUUUCUUCGUAUCAAGCCAGUCACAGCUAACACCUGGGGUCUGGAAAUGGUUUGAACAUCUUGCAGUUUUAGCAAUCAAAAACUGUGAUGUGCUCAUCUACUGGCCAGAAGAAGUGUUCCAAAGCUUGGUAUCUUUGAAGGAGUUGUGGAUUGAGUCCUGCAACAAGCUAAUAGGGCCCACACAAGCGAAAGGUGGCGAACCUACACAAACGACAGAUCAACUCCUGCCACAUCUAAACAGGAUAUGUAUACGCAGUUGUGAAAGCAUGGCACAGCUCUUCAUUCUUCCCCCAUCUAUCAGAAUUAUUGAUAUUAUGGAUUGCCCUAAGCUUGAGUUCAUAUGGGGAAAGGAGGAGCAUCUUGACACAUAUACAUCGUUGGAACAUUGCCGCGACCCUGCAUCCACUACUGGUACCCUAGAGCAAUCGCCGUUUCCAAUUAUUCGUCGUCCAUGCCUUGUACGUUUAUCAAUAAGAUUGUGUGAUAGCCUGGUAACACUUCCAAAUCUACCACCGUCCCUCAAGGAUUUAAGCAUCUACAGCUGUGAGAAGCUCUGCUCUGUGUCAGGAGACCUGUGUGCACUCGAGGAGCUACAUAUUUAUAACUGCAAUAAGUUACAGUCAGUCAAUUCCUUGGGAGACCACCCAUCAUUAGAAACACUGAUUCUUUAUGACUGCCGAUGCCUUGCAUCUUUAGGAUGUGAUGGUGGUCGUGGAAGUUACUCUGCUCUUCAGAGCCAUAAGAUCGAAGAGUGCCCAGCCAUAGACAUGAAGCAGUUUUACUAACGCCAUCAAACAGCUGCUUGACAGCUUUGAAUAUGAAGACGUAUCACACGUUCAUUCAAGCAGCUCUGAUGAAGGUACGACCUUUCACUUUCCUCUUAUUCAAUUUGUUUCCUUCAAAUUUCCCUGCUUUGCAUGCCCUCCUAUUUCACUCAUGUAACCCCACAUGCAUUUCAUUUUUGCUGUGCAGACAUGACCCAUUUGUCCUUAAAAAGCAUAAAGGAGGGCACUCACAUGUACACACGACUGCCAUCUGGAAGCUUCAUUAUUGCGAGCCUCUGCUAACGAUGACAGGCCUGCAAUGGACGACAAAAACGACAAAGUUUGUUUUCACGGCACUACCAGCUAGCUGCUGGUAAUGCUCUUGUCACUAAUGUACAGUACUCCAUUCUGUCAUCCAUGAAAGUCGUGGAGAAUGGUCUAUGAUGUUACUCCAUUCUGUCAUCCACGUGAGCCGAUGAAGCAGAAACAAAUGAUGAUGAUGAUGGAUGAUAUAGCUGCCGGGACCCACUGCAACCUCGUGCAUCAAUCAUGACGAUCUCUAACGGCAAAGGCAUGCAUCCAGUAUGGCCUGAUGAAGUAAUUUAGUCUGCCAAAUUUCUUUCUGCUCGUUGCGCAUAGAAGGCGUAUUUUCUUUUCCUUUUUUCCACCCGAGAAGGAAGAAGAAGAAGAAACUGCUGUGGCCAAUUCAAUCCGGAUCAUCAAAACAACAGCCCAUUCCAGACUAGAAGAAUUUGGUCACCAAAUUCGGAUGGAGGUAAAAAGUCACUAGUUACCUGCAGCACCGAAUAGUACUGGUUCGUUCAUUUACUGUUUCCAAAAACUUUCUGCUGAGAGUUUGUGCAUUGUGGUGACACUAAAUAUGCGCGUGCGCGGUUCGUAGGAUUCGAACCCACAACCUCCAACCUCGCGCGUAGCUUUCUUGCCAUCCCACCUACACACCACAUCUAAGUAUGUAGGGGAUCCUAUCCUUUUGUAUUAACUCGUGGGGGACCCUUUUAUCCCGGUUGGAAACACCAACCGCGAUAAAAGACCCCCUUUUAUCCCGGUUGGUAUUACAAACCGGGAUAAAAGGGUUCGAGGAUUUAAUCCUCUUCCAGCCACCUUCCAGUCACCUCGUUGGGGACCCUUUUAUCCCGGUUUGAAACACCAACCGGGUCAAGAGCCUUUUAUCCCGGUUGGUGUUUCAAACCGGGAUAAAAGGCCCCUCAGAGUCUUUUUUCCCACUAGCCUUUGCAACCGGGAUAAAAGGUCCCGGUUGGUGAGCCCCCCACCAGUGACCGAGUUUUAAUCCCGGUUGGUGAACCUUUGUCCCGAGCCAACUUUAAACCGGGAUAAAAGAGGGCGCAUGGAAAGUUAAUUCUCUACUCGUGUUUGCGGGACACAAUCAUUUCAAGCAGGAGACGGUGGUUCAUCUGGAUGGACACCGGCCUCCGAUCAACAAUUUCCCCAGUUUCCCGUGUAGGCAAGGGGGAAGAUGGCAGGUCGCCAAGAAAUAGCAGCAGAUAUGUCCCUUGUCAAAACUUCAAGCCAGUAGUCUGUAAAAUAGAAAGAGAGAUUUGUUCCACUUAGGCUGCUACGCCUACAACAAUAAUGACUGUGGGGAGCUAGGAAAUAGCAUCAUGCUGAUAAGCCCAACAUCAUUGGAAUACAGUAACAGCGUACUGAAAACAAAAGAGGCUACAUCAUGGGCCAACUGAAAUUGUGUUAUCCAUAACAUUUUUUUUUAGAAAAUCCUCAGCCAUCAACACACGCAACCAAAUUAUUACAGAAUCUUAAGCUCAGUUGCUGAUUAAAAAAAUAAAAAGAGAAAAUAAUUAUAAGCAAUGUUUAAUGUUGCUUAUCCAUCCAUUUUUAAUAGAAACUUUCCAAAGCUUUCGUUGCUCUACUAUCGAACGGACGGUCUCCCUUAUGUCUUCACACCACGUUAAUAAAUCGCAAUUAAUAUGUUCUCCCGAAGGUAACCUUCAAAGCGAUGAAUGUAGAUCACCCACGAGCAACCGAGCACGCACAAGGGAUGCUGAAACACCACAUGGAUCUCCAUGACAACACCUUCAACAAGAACAUGACGCUAAUGACACCAUUGUCAUUGGCCCAAGUAUUGGGUUGGGUUUACACCCGGAGAAUUAAAAAAUCACCAUUCGGGGGAGGUGCAAACAAAGUCGCCUCCAAGGAGGCAACGGCACCCGCAAGCGUCACCAUCCACACUUUCAUCCCGACCUCCACCAUGCCAUGCCGGCAGCAGCCUGAGCAGAAAUCCACUCACCAAGCUGUUGAUGGUGCUGAGCAAGUUCGCAAGUGCCAGCCAUCAUUAUUGAGAGCCAGCUGCUGCCGCCGCAAACUCAUGCCCAUUGCGCUAGGGCUAGGGCGCCGGCCAUAGCAAGGCCUAGAUGCACGUGUUGCGUCAUGGCUGGCACCACACUAAGCCCACCAUGUCACCAGACUGUCACAGCCGGAAGGGCGCCGGUCGUCAGAUCCGACCCCCAGCGCAUGGAAUCCACCGCCUAGAAGCUAAUAUCUCUAGAGUGAAAAUCAACACUUCAGAAGAUCCCUGAGGGAGGGGGAACGUGAAGGAGAGGCUCCCCGAGUGCCGUCAGCAUCACCGGAGAACCCAAGCAGCCACAUAUCCAGGGGUCUCCGAGGGACCCGUCGUCGGAUCCGGUCACGCCAAGGGGAAGCACCAUCACGUUCAAAGGUUUCACCUCUAUGUGUAACGCUGCACUGUCCGACUGCCCGAGUACCUCCAGCAUUGGAUGGAGUGAUGGCAAUCUUAUUAGGGGGAAAAGAAACUACACACACCAAUGACAUAUGGUAACAGCUUACAAUGAUGGUAGUGGAUAAAAGAAAUGGGAGCACCAGAAACAAAAUCUAGAGUCUCAACAGUCAAAAUCAAAUUAACAAGAUCAAACAAUAAAAGUUAUGAGUACCACAAGAGCUUACACUGUCCGACUGUCCGAGUACCUCCAGCGUUGGUUGCAGAGCACCAGGGGGGGGGGGGGAUCAUUUCCAAAGUGGAUGCAUCAGUGGAGAUCUCUCAAUGUUUGUCACAUAAGCAGUGUGGUGCCCUCCAGGUGCCCAGGUUGGUGUGUUAAACUGCCUCCGAUCCACAGCCAUCUUAGAACACUGCAUUCCAAGUUUCCAACACUUUUCAUGGUCUCAACUCUACUUUUACAUUCUCUCAGGGGGUGUUUGGGAACACCGUGCUAAACUUUAGCACCUGUCACAUCGGAUGUUUGGAUACUAAUUAGGAGUAUUAAAUAUAGUCUAAUUACAAAACUAAUUGCACAGAUGGAGUCUAAUUCACGAGACGAAUCUAUUAAGCCUAAUUAGUCCAUGAUUUGACAAUGUGGUGUUACAGUAACCAUUUGCUAAUGAUGGAUUAAUUAGCCUCAAUAGAUUCGUCUCGCGAAUUAGACUCCAUCUGUGCAAUUAGUUUUGUAAUUAGCUCAUGUUUAGUCCUUCUAAUUAGCAUCCGAAUAUCCGAUGUGACCCUGCUAAAGUUUAGCACCUCGUAUCCAAACACUCCAAUGUGCUUUAUCUUGCUCCAAUCAUCUCCUGACUCGCUGCAUCUUUGCUUAAACCUCUUUGUGCAUUGUGACAGUGUCAAGGUAUGCAAAGAGGUCAGCCUCUCAAUGCACGGAGGCAAAGUUUUCAUCCAGUAGGCCUCUACUUUGAGCUCACGGAGAGAUGCCAUAUCUCCCAACCAUUCUGGCAAGGUUUCCAUGUCCUCACAGUUCAGUAUCUCUAGCUUCCUGAGGGAUUUCCAGCCUAGAAUGCACUUUGGCAAAGGUACAGGAUCGAUGCAACUGUCAACAGUUAAUUCUUCAAUGUCAAGCAGUUGAAGAGAAUCAGAGUCAGAAGAUAUAUUUUUGAUGUACUUGAUUUCCAUUUUGGAUGAUAAAGCAGAUGUUGAUAGCCCCAUGAUCGACUUGGUAGAAUGAUGGCCAAUUGAAUAAGAACGGAUAUUGUUUAAUUCCAGAUAUGAUAUACCUGGCACUCCAAGGGAUUGAUGGUUCGAAUCUUACAUUCAAACAACAGUCUAUCUCCACAGUAACUUCCCUACUCUUACUAUUGUAACUCUUCUGAGAUUUUUCACUGGCUGUGUGAUCAAGAUGCAUAUCGAUGAUUUGGCAUAUAGGUUCACUAUAACUUCACCAUCCCCCACAAGCAGAGACACCGGGACAGACGAGAUAUACAAGUCUUCAAGAGAUUGUAAAUAAUCUAAAUGGAGGUCACCAGAUUGAACAUUGAAAAGCUCCAAUCGUACAAGAUUUGGUAGCCAACGUAACCAGUUAGGAAAAUCACCACCAACAUAGUUCUUUAUGCAAAGCCUUUUAAGGUUUUCACGAGGCUGGAGCUCUUCUAACGCGACCUUGUUCAACACUGGCCCACUCCACUCCAAACUUAAAAAUUGGAGCUCCUCUUUUUGCGCCAAUUCAAUUAUGUUUGCGUCUGAGCUUGAUAGAUCUUCGAGAUGUUUAAUAUUAAGUUCAGUAAGCUGGUGACUUGUAGUCUUUUGUAGAAGAGCCAUGUCCUUUGAUGAACUGACGGCGAAACUAGGGCCCUGCUAUUUUACAAAAACAAAGAAAAUGAAAAAUAAAACAUUCUGCUUUAGUCAAGAUGGCAUGCAUACUAUAUAAAACCAUCUCUAGGUGCAAACAUGCAGCUUAGAGCAUCUCCAAUAGUCAUCUAAUUAAUGUUUCUAGAUAACUAGUUAAUAGGGAUAUCCCGAGUUGCUUUUACAGUCUUCUAUAACCUCAUCCCAAUCUAACUACCGUUGUUGGGAGAGUCACAGCUCCUCAUUUAUUUGGGGAGUUGGGGUGAAUUAUUUGUCGAAUAAUUAUUGUAAAAAAGGAAAGGUAAAGGGAGUGUGUUAGAGCACUAUUUUUUCACAAACUCUCCAAAUAUGGUAGUUGUAUUGGAGCACUGAAUAGUACUGGUUCGUUCAUUUACUGUUUCCUCAAACUUUCUGCUGAGAGUUCGUGCAUUGUGGUGACACUAAAUUAGCUGCUUAAUCUGCUGCAGGACAUCAAGCAGUGGGCGUAUGGCGCACCUAUCAGCUGGGUUCCUGUUGGUCAUCUUAAUUCUUGCUUGUGGUAGAGCAAACCAUGGCCGACUUAGUGAUCAGGCCCAGGGCCGGCUCUAGGGGAGCGGCAGGCCGUGCGACCGUCCGGGGCCCAUGAAGCUGCGGGCCCAAAACCAUAUAGGUAAUCAAUACAUAUAAUUUGGUUGGUGGACUUUGUUUCGGCCUUUCUAAAUGGCCCGCGUAACAACUGCGGCCUGCCUCCGUCCGUGCCAAAUCAGGCCUACCAAAUUGCUCCAUGACUAUGCUGUCCCUGAUUCUGUAUACAUAUACGCUCCUGACUCCGUGGUUGUGCUGUCGCUGAGCACCGCGUCUGGAGCGCGUCAGAGGAUAUAGGCGAGCCGCGAGCACCGUUAGGGUCAGAGGCGAGUGCUUAUUUGAAGUUCAAUCUUUGUUUUCUUUUUCGCCAAUUUCGUCAAAAAGCAAUCAUUUAAUUAAUAUUAUUUCUUUCGUGUAGUAAUUCCAUUCUUCAUCAAUUGCGUAGAAGGAGCAAUGCCUUACGACAUUGAAGGAGAAUCUUGGUAAUUCUAUCGUCAAUUGCAUAUCAGAUUCUCUUAACUAUUCCAAUGACAGUAGUAUCAGCCGAAAGUAGUUUCUCCAUUUUGAAACUAUUGAAAAAUUAUUUGAGAUCAACUAUGUCACAAGAAAGAUUGAAUGGCUUGGCUAUGUGCAAUAUUAAGAAGGAUGUUUUGGACGACAUUAAUCUUGAUACUGUUCAUGAAGACUUUGCAUCAAGAAAUAUAUCCGAAGAUGUUUUUCUACAAAGCACUAAAGCAUUAUAUUUUUAUUUGAGAUAAUCAUAAUGGUUAUUGUUUUUAGUUUUUUUGUUACACUAUUAUUAUGUUUUAUGAGAGAUAUAUAUUGCAAAAAUGAUGCGUAGCUCUCCUGAAUAUAUAUAUAUAUAUAUUGCAAAAUAAUUUUUAUUAUUCGUAUUAUAUACUUUAGUUUUGAUAUUAAAAAUAGUUCAACGGGUCCUUAUGUUUGCCCAAGGGUCUUCAAAAUUAUAGAGCCAGCCGUGAUCAGGCCAUUCAUCUUCAUGGUGGAGAAGGUGAUCGAAGGCAUGGAGCGCAAGCUGCCAUCAAUCCUGCAUGCACAUUAACAAGGAUGCGGAGGAAAGAAGAGCCUCCCGACCUGAAGCAGCAGCUUGGCUCAAAGACCUCAAGACAGUUGCCUAUGCGGUGCUGGCCGGUGGCGCGAUCCAACGCUCUUGGGCAGCGGUAGCGAUGGCUUCCUGUUCCGCGGGCAGCCACAGCAGCGGCGACGGCGCGCUCAGCGGCCUCAACCCGUGCGCGGGCCCACUAGGAUUAAAACAAUCUAACACAUCCCAAUCUUAAGGAAGUGCACCAGUAGGUUCUUUUGUAUCACUUUUGGAUAGUCAUCGAAUUGCCGAACCUUUGAGCAGCGGAUCGACCCCCGCAUGCACUCAUGUCACACCCGAUUUUAAGGACAAAAUCGAGUGCAUUAAAUACAUGUGUGCCAGGAUCAAGUUACACACAUGUACGAUAAUAGUGAAUAACAAAGAUAGUGCUAAAACGAAUAAAGAGAGUAUUAAACAUUAUUACAUGACCGAAAGUCUCAAUAAACCAUAAGCCUAAUUUAUUAUGCAGCGGAACUCCAAGGACGACGACGACUCCACAGGCAGCUGACUGAAGAAACGUACGCCUAGAACUCCUCAAAGUCGUGUAGGUACUCCUCCCAAUUAGCUUAGUCUGAACAACGGUUUUGCAAGGGUGAGUACUGUAACAACUCUACCUAAAUUAAGUACUUUUAACUCUAAACCAGUGAUAAAUCCCUAAGUUAAGAAGUGAAAUGACCUUUAUAAACCUAAGAAGCUCGUUUUGGAGUUUGAAUUAAAGCUUGAAAUUUUGUAUACAAACCUGAGUUUCUGCCCAAGUAAGAGUUGUAAAACUUUUUAAUUCCAACAACUUUUGUUAAAGUCACUUUGACUAAUUCGGAGUGGAAGGAAGUCAAAAACAUCAACCAAAGCCAGUUUUUCUAAAGGACCCUGAAAAUCUCUUAAGUCCUGAAAUUCGAGUUUUCCUCCAUCUUGCAAGCUUUCAUCUCCUGUUUUCCCUAUCUAAACUCAAGUCAGGGCCUGAAUGAAAGUUGUAGUACCUCAAGAUUGUUCCAACUUUGUUACACUGAUCCAGAUCCAAAUCGGGCCCGAACUUGUUCAAAACUCCGGUCAAAGGGAGGUAAACCAGUCAACUCACCCCUGGUGCCUUAAAAAUCCUAAGUCUGGAAUCCCAGAUUUUUGGCUAACUUUGACCGGAAAUAUCUUUGAAUCCUUUCACAAUCUAAACCAGCACCUUAAACAAAGUUUGAAGAACAAUCAGAGUUGAGCAAGUUUGUUUAAGGGAGUUUUGGAAGUUGUGUUGAAAGAUUCGGAGGAAGGAUCACUCCAAAGCUGGUCGGGCUUGUUGCCCGAAGGGAGCCUCGACGCCCGCGCGCCAGAGCACGUUCACUCGCGCGCCGCGUGCCGCGUGGCCGCCGGCCACCGGCAGCUCGCCGGCACCCUAUCCCCAGCACGACAGCGAUAGGACGAGAGCCACGGCGCCCAACCCGCGCCCGCGACAGGACGGAGCGAGCGCAGGGCUAGCCAACCGCCAGCCGCGCGCAGGUCGCCUUCCGCCUGCCACGGCUCUGCUCCGCCAACCCUGUUCCGCCCGUCCGCUGAGAAAGCUGACACGCCCCCGACGUCCCGCGCCUCCGCCCGUUCGCCCAACCCCCACGGUAGCCCUUCCGUCUCGCCCGCCCGACAGACCGGAAGCCCUAGAUGUGCGCCGCCCAAGGCCAAUCGCCGCCGAAGACCACCCGGAGCUCCGCCUCCUCUGCCCAAUGGCGUUGUCGGCCAAUGGCCGCCUCGCCUGAGCACUCGCCGCUCCCGGCCUUAUCCUUUCCCCACCGGAGCCCCGCCUCGACCCUCCGCCCCACCACGACCCUAUAAAAGAGAACCCCCUCACCGGCAAUGCCACCCCUUGCCACCGCCUGCACCUGCGCCACCGCUUUCUCCUCUGCGCCCCCGCUUUCUCCUCUGCGCUACCGCUGAGCUUCCGUGGAGCUCACCCCUUUGCGCCACCCCACACUCCGGCGAUUUCGCCGCCACCCUCUUGAGAAAGUUCCCCUCUCCGCUCCAGCCGCUUCUUCCAACCCACCAGCCGCCCGCUCCUCCGCGUGGUACUCGAGCUUGCUAGUGUCCGCAAGAAGCACCGCCGCCGCCGGAGCACCGUCGAAGCAACGCCGCCGCCGGACCACCGUCGAAGUCUCGCUGCUGCCCAAGCCUUAGCGCGUACAACUUCCCGCCCCAGCCUACUCCUGUUCGGCCCCAAGGCUUCACCGGUAGACCUGGAGGUAAGUGACCGACCCCUUGUGUUCCGUCUCGACCGACCCCUUGUGUUCAGCCUCAACCGACCCCUUUUCUUUCCGUCUCGCCCGACCCCUGUCCUUUUUGUUUCGCCCGACCCCUGUCCUUUUUCGUUUCUCCCGACCCCUUUGUUUCGGUUCGCCCGACCCCUUUUCUUUUCCUCUCGCCUGACCUUUUUCCCGUUCGCCUCGCCCGACCCUGCCAAGUUUCGCCGACCCUUUCUCCGUCUCGCCCGAGGGCUCGGCUGUAACUUUUUCUUUGACCCGAGGGUAUCGGUGAAAUAUUUUCGGGGAUUCCUCUGUGUUGAGUCUGAGGACCUCGGUACGGUUUUCCUUAAACCUGAGGGUCAGACCCUAAGUUUCCCCUAAUCCGACCCUCUCAUCCUGAUCUCCUCCAACAGAAGUUGAACUCCCCCACCUUUCCUGUAGCUUGGCUACAAGUGUCCGUGUUAAAACAUUAGUGUGUUGAAAUAACCAUCUAAAAUGUUUAACCCCUGCAUUGCAUUUCCGUGUAGAGUUGAAUCUCGCCGAUGGAACGUACGAGCUUCACCCGGCACCGGAAGAAGACCCCGCCGAGGAACUGCAUCCCUUCGAAGGAGAGCCCGAACCGGAGCAAGACCCCGAGGACCCGCAAGCUUUUCCUGAAGGCAAGCCCCGGAGCAUAAAUUCCUAUCUUGAAUUCAUGCAAUAUUAUUGAUUACUUGAUUGCGCAUUUACGUUUCGAGGAGUUGUAAUGGAACCUUAGAUGCAUAACUUAGUACCUUAUUUUUGAAUACUAGUUGCUAAGGCCGAGUAGUUGCAUUGCUUAAUAGGUUCCGGUAAAAGUCGAGUGAUCUCCUGUCACUCGCGAGUUAUAGGAGUUGAAUGUUUCAGAUAUGUCGCAACUAUAAGGACGACGGACGGGGUCAGGCUUAUGUUCGAUACUUGGUGGAUUGCCCCGUCUGUCUAAAUGAAAAUGAACUAAGGUCGAAACGUGUCGGCGUUCGUGAUCAAGUGUUUGAAAGUACUAAUCUCAUACCUAGUAUGGGAUGGGGAAGCCUAGUACCUGAUUGAAUUGGGGCGUGGCAUACCCUCCGGCUGUCCUUGGAACGUCGUUCCCAUGGUGCAUCAUGUGGGUGCAAGUGCGGUCACAGUGCAGCAAUAGGCCGGGACUGUGGAGCAUUGCAUGCCAAAGGAAGUUGGCCCUGACACGUGCCUAAGGGAUCGAUGGGGACGGCUGAUAAAUGAAGCGACCCUUCGUGGUGCGCGGAUGUCAUGAGAUUAGGUUUGCCAUGCAUGGUUAAUAAAUUCGAAUCGAUUCAUCUGCCUCUCAUAGAUUGGGACUACUUGAUCGCUAUUCUGCACUGAGUAAAGAUGGAACAUGAUGAUGAUUUUAAUCUUGAUGCUUGUUAAGUAAUUGCUUGGAAACCAUGUUUGUUUAGUAUAAGUUGCUAAUCUGGAAUGGAUAAAGAACAUAGAACAUGAGCUAAAAUGUUGAAAGUAAGGACUGACUUUAGACGCUUUUGGCAAAGAAAACCCCAGAGCCAGAAAGCCUUGCAUGUCUAGGUCUCGGUCGUGUCUUUUCGACAGGUCAGUCUUGCGGAGUACUAGUUGCUCAGCCUUGUUGUGGCUAAUCUUUUUCAGGUAAUGUCAAUAGUUUGGGUGUUGGUACCACUUGGCCGACCCAGCUUCCUCCAGGUUGGACCGUCGAGUGGGAUCCUUCCUUGGAUGGCGAAGGAAGAAAUUUUUGAUGUCAUGAACGGCUCCGUCGUGAUGUCAUGUAUCGACGUUUAGUUUUCGCUAUUUUCCUUUGACUUCGAACCAUGCAAAUUUCGAUUUGAAUUUCAGAAACUCUGAUGUAAUAAAUUGUUGAACUAUGUUGUCAUGAUGGAAUGUUGUAACCUCUGUGCUACUCACCUUCGCGUGAGCGAUGCUUCUCGAUCCUGUUUAUGUGGUUUAUCGGAGGAAAUCCGACGGUCGACCAAGUUGACUUGCUUAAAGUGCAUAAUCGCGUGUCAGACGACUUCAAUGCAUUUUAGUCAGGUUAAUUUGGGCGGUUCCGCCACAAGUACACUUAUGGUUGGUACUCAACAAGUCGUGGGGAAUAGUGUAGUGUAAGGCAAAUCAAGGUACGGCUAAGGCAUAAUUAGCAUUCGCUUUUAUUUAAGUUGGUCAAGUUUUAUUAGCAAUUAACUAAGUAUAAGUUCGUACCACUCGAAAUUAAACAUGAUCAUAAAUAAAGUAAACAGCAUAUGCAUGAAAUGACAACAAGUUAAAUCCAUCUUCCGAUAAAUAUUAUCAUGUGAGGGUCCAGGCCUCUCUUAACCGUGAGCACGGCUGAUCGAUCAGUUUUACACUCUGCAGAGGUGGCACAUCUUUACCCACAAGUCGCGUAAAAGUUCAAAAGAACUUUGGACCCAACCAUGCGGUGUUUGCAAGGCACCAUACCACACUUCUGAGGUGUGAUUGCAUAGGGACGCUACGAGGCCUUUACAAAGAUUCAUUAGUCAGUGGUAACCCGCUAAGGUUUCGAUGUCUGGCGUGCACCACCCAUCCCAGGCAAAAAUGCAACGACUCAGUCCCCCCUCUUGCCUCAUCAUGAGUAAGGUCACCCUAGACUAAGGUUUCUAAUUAUUCAGCCAAGACCAGAGCCAUUUAGUCUUGUGGUAGCACUAUUUUCCUGGGUGGUCGCUCCAUGUUACGAUUAAUAAUACAUGAUCUUAUAUUAAUGAAAGGUAUAACAGAAGUAAAGCAAGAUUAAACAUUGUUUUUAGUUAAACCACCAUGUACCAAGUAAGCGCUAAGCAUGAGCUACCCAACAAAAAGUAAACCGGUUGAUCAAGGCAAAGGUAAUUCAAUCUAGGCGAACCUUAAUUGGGACCCAUCAAUUCAAUCUUAACAUGUGCAUAGCAUAAAUGUUGAGUACGAGAAAGUAAAGGUGUAUAGGAUGAAAAGUAGUGAUCAAGGACACGACUUGCCUUCUUGGCCUUGCUCCUACUGUUCGUACUCCUCGAAGGCUUGGUCUUCAACUCCCUCGAACUGCGGGACGUCUACACGCGUCACACGAGCACAUACAAGCAAACAUGGGCAAAAAGUAAGAAACAGUACACCAAUCACAAUUAAACAGAGAAAACAAGCUUGAAAAGUUGAUCUACGCUUUAAAACGAACACGUGGAUAUAAAGAACGCGAAAAACGGAGUUAAGAUGCAAAAGAGAUGAUUAAAACAAGAUCCAGGGGCUUUUCUGUGAGAAAAACAAAACUUUUAGGGCAAAACCGCAAAAACCGAGGGCUUAUACGUAAAUACGCGUAUAAACCAAAGGUCUAACGCGCAAAAACUCCAAAACGGACGGCGGGUUGAUUUUUAGAAAACUCGGGGUUUAAACCGAAAAGCACGAGGGCAGAUCUGUGAAUAUUUUCAACGCGAUCUGGACCGCGGGUUGAUUUGCGGAAAAGGCAGGGGCUUAAGAGCAAAAUGGCGCGGUGCGGCACGGUUGACCGUUACGCGGUCUUGUUUGACUCGCUAUCGGCCGUCGGAUUUAGGUCCGACGGUCACGGUCGGCGAUGACUCGCGACGGCGACGGGAAAAGGGCAGCCAGCGGCGGUGAGCGACGGCGAGGUCGCCGGAGUAGGCCGAAACAACGCCACGGGGCUCGGUUUCGCGCGCGGAAAGCACCAGAAGAGAGCGGGGAACAUGGCGAACCCGUUUAGUGCCUUGGCGGGAGCCACGGCGCGGCGGCGCUCACCUUUUGGCGGCGGCGUGCGGCGGAGAGAGGCAGCGGCGCAAGAGCUUGCGGCAGCUAGGGUUUGGAGGGUGCUGGCACGGGUGCUCGUGGCCGGGGGAGGCGGCAGCUUAAAUAGGGGCGGACGGCUUGGAGAUAGAGGCGGCCCCGGAUUCAAACCGGUCGGGGAAUACGGCACCCACCCGGAGAUCUCGCGCGGCGGUUGCGGGCGGAGGAGAGUCUGGUCGGAGGUGGGAGACGAUGGCGGGUCCCACCUGUCGGCGGUAGCGGGCGGUAGGCGGGCCGUAGCGGCUGUGGGCUGGCGCGCGCGUUCGCGGGCCGCGGGAAAGGGGCGAGCGGAGAGCUUCGCAGGCCGGCUGGAGGUGGAGCGGUGGGCCGCACGGGCAAGGGGGUUCGCGGGCCGGCGAAGAAAGGCGGAGCGGGCCGAGCGGCUGGCACUGGGCUGCCGGCAGAGGAGGAGGCGCUAGGCCGAAAGAAAAAGAAGAAGAGAAAGGAAAGCAAGGUGCGGCCCAGGAGGAGAAGAAGAAAAAGAAAAAGAAGAGGGAAAAGGAAAAAGGUUUUGGAGAUUGAAUUUAAAUUUGGAAUUCAAAUUUUUGAUUCAAACCCAAGCAAUCAAAAUAAAUGCAGCAGCAUGAAUGCACAAUUAACUCCUAUGAUGAAUUAAUUAAAUUAAAGAAAAUGAAAUUAAAUGCCUAGAAUUUAAAUGACACCCUAAUUUGAGUAAAUUUUAAUGAAUUUGAAUUCUCUAAAAUUUUGGGUGUUACAACUCAUGAAACUAAAAGGGAAAUCCUUUUCUCAUAGCUGGAUAAUAGCGCGCGGCGACAGAAAAGCCAGCAUCGUUUCUGAUCUCAUUCACGUAUAUACAGCCAGUUGCUCGCUUCCGACCAUGCAGCUGCAUGAAGAAUAUGGACCGAAUGUUUAGUCAGUAAGCAAACACUGCCUAAAGUAAGUUUACAGAGCUACAUGCUGGGCAUUUCAGACUUGUUUAAACAGAGGUGCAAACAAAGUCGCCUCCAAGGAGGCAGUAGCACCCGCAAGCGUCACCGUCCACGCUUUCGCCCCGACCUCCAUGCUAUGCCAUGCCAGAAGCACCAUCACGUUCAGAGGUUUCACCUCUAUGUGUAACGCUGCGCUAUGGAGAGAUGACAAUCUUGGGGGGGGCGGGGGGGGGGGUACCAAUGACAUAUGGUAACAGCUUACAAUGAUGGUAGUGGAUAAAAGAAAUGGGAGCACCACAAACAAAAUCUAGAGUCUCAACAGUCAAAAUCAAACAAGAUCAAACAAUAAAAAGUUCUGAGUACCACAAGAGCACCAGGGGGGGAUCAUUUCCAAUGUGGAUGCAUCAGUGGAGAUCUCUCAACGUAUGUCACAUAAGCAGUGUGGUGUCCUCCAGGUGUCCAGGUUGGUGUGUUAAACUGCCUCCGAUCCACAGCCAUCUUAGAACACUGCAUUCCAAGUUUCCAACACUCUUCAUGGUCUCAACUCUACUUGAACAUUCUCAAUAAGCUCUAUCUUGCUCCAAUCUUCUCCUGACUCGCUGCAUCUUUGCUUAAACCCCUUUGUGCAUUGUGAUAGUGUCAAGGUAUGCAAAGAGGUCAGCCUUUCAAUGCACGGAGGCAAAGUUUUCAUCCAGUAGGUCUCUACUUUGAGCUCACGGAGAGAUGCCAUAUCUCCCAACCAUUCUGGCAAGGUUUCCAUGUUCUGACAGUUCAGUAUCUCUAGCUUCCUGAGGGAUUUCCAGCCUAGAAUGCACUUUGGCAAAGGUACAGGAUCGAUGCAACUGUCAACAGUUAAUUCUUCAAUGUCAAGCUGUUGAAGAGAAUCGGAGUCAGAAGAUAUAUUUUCGAUGUACUUGAUUUCCAUUUUGGAUGAUAAAGCAGAUGUUGAUAGCCCCAUGACUUGGUAGAAUGAUGGCCAAUGGAAUAAGAAUGGAAAUUGUUUAAUUCCAGAUAUGAUAUACCUGGCACUCCAAGGGAUUGAUGGUUCAAAUCUUACGUUCAAACAACAGUCUAUCUCUAAAUAUUGAAGUCCAGGAAAUAAUGUGCGCUGGUUGGAGGAUUCCCUGCCACUAUCACUGUGUCUUCCUCCCUGCUGCUCUCUUUGAAAUACGUUCUUAUCAUCCUUCUGCUCAAUACAAGGCAACGUCGAUGUUUUCCACAGUAACUUCCCUACUCUUCCUAAUGUAACUCUUCUGAGAUUUUUCACUGGCUGUGUGCUCAAGAUGCAUAUUGAUGAUUUGUCAUAUAGGUUCAGGUCAUUUGGCCUAUUAAUCACCGGGAAAGACGAGAUAUACAAGUCUUCAAGAGAUUGUAAAUAAUCUAGAUGGAGGUGACCAGAUUGAACAUCGAAAAGCUCCAAUCUUACAAGAUUUGGUAGCAAACGUAACCAGUUAGGAAAAUCACCACCAACAUAGUUCUUUAUGCAAAGCCUUUUAAGGUUUUCAUGAGGCUGGAGCUCUUCUAAUGCGACCUCGUUGAACACUGGCCCACUCCACUCCAAACUUAAAAAUUGGAGCUCCUCUUUUUGCGCCAAUUCAAUUAUGUUUGCUUCUGAGCUUGAUAGACCUUCGAGAUGUUUAAUAUUAAGUUCAAUAAGCUGGUGACUUGUAGUCUUUUGCAGAAUAGCCAUGUCGUCUGAUGAACUGACGGCAAAACUAGGGCCCUGCUAUUUUACAAAAACAUAGAAAAUCAAAAAUAAAACAUUCUGCUUUAGUCAAGAUGGCAUGCAUACUAUAUAAAACCAUCUCUAGGUGCAAACAUGCAGCUUAGAGCAUCUUCAAUAGUCAUCUAAUAAAUGUUUUCAGAUAAAUAGUUAAUAGGGAUAUCCCGAGUUGCUUUUGCAGUCUUCUAUAACCUCAUCCCAAUCCAACUACCGUGUUGGGAGAGUCACAGCUCCUCCUUUAUUUUGGGAGUUGGGGUGAAUUAUUUGUCGAAUAAUUAUUGGAAAAAAGGAAAGGUAAAGGGAGUGUGUUAGAGCACUAUUUUUUCACAAACUCUCCAAAUAUGGUAGUUGUAUUGGAGAAUAGGGAUCUGCUGGAGAUACUAUGUAAACCAUUGGACAAUUGAAUGCUGAUGAGGCUUAUGGAAACAGAGCCAGCCAAGGAUCCCUACCUAACUCUACCAAUCACGGGUAUGCACAGCAGAUAUGCUGGCAACAGAUCCUACCAGUAAGUUUUUUUUUCCAAAAAAAACAUAUCCUACCACGUACACAGCACAAAAAUACAAUUCUAAAAAAUUUGAUGUUCGCCUGGUAUAUCCCAAAAGUUGCAUGACUAUUUUAAUUUGGAACUUGCUUGGCUACUCCUUCCAUCCCAUAUUAUAGGUCAUUUUGGCAUUUCUAGGUUUAUGAUUUUUUGUUGUACACCUUGAUGUAUAUUAUAUCUAGAAGCUAUGAAUCUAAAAUUGUCAAAACAACCAACAAUUUGGAUAAUUUGGGAUGGAGGGAGUAUUUUAAUUUGGAGAAUCAGGUCUACUAUAAGUGCCACAAUUAAGCAAGGUAGUGGCAUAUCAAACAAUAAAUUAAAUAUUUAUGUUAGAAAGGGAUUCCAUUAAUUCAUUCAUAUAUACGAUAUUCACUCCCUAGAAUUAAUGAAAAUACAGUAACAAAUCACAUGCCUGCAUGAUAGAUUGAGCCUCUUGUUAUGCAACCGUAAUUUAUAGUAUACAUUGUAGAACAAAAAAAGUAAUAAUUAAAAACAGUGCAUAUUACCUCAUGUGCAUAUACAUGUUUGAUGGGUUUAAUCUUGUCGUAGUCCUCUCCUAAACGGCUGCAGCAUUCACGCAGUUUGUAAUUGCACUUCUUAAGAGUUAAUGUCUUCAAGGAGGUUACAUCCUUGAUGGAGUGAGGCAAACGCUGCAGUUUGGCAGAAUAAACUUCUAGAUGCUCCAGAGAUGCCAGAUCCCCCAACCAAUCUGGGAGUGCCGCAAAAUUACAACAACUGUCCAAUAUCUGCAAGCUCCUAAGGGAUGAUCUCCGGCAAGGUGAUCAGAUCACUGUCAGAUUUAAUAGUUAAAUACCACAAGUCGGUGCUGACGUAUUGGAGAAAUUCUGAAGCGUCAGAGAAGCCAAACAUAUUUGGUUCCAAUUCAAGUGUAAAAAGGUGUGAAGAUCCAACAAGUAUCACGGGUGAUAGUUCUACCUUACUGCAUGAUGCAACUAUAUGCUCUAUGUAUCCUUGAAAAGCUGAACCGAGGGUCAACGUGGAAAUAUUUCAUCUCCUUGCACCUUCUGUUCAUCAUCAUCCCAAGACAUCUCUCUAGCAGACAGCUCCAAGUUCGUGGACAGCACCUCCAAAUUCUCCAUCUUAUUAAUACAAAGUUCCCUUAAUUUCCUGAAUGGGUUCCUGCCUCCAUAAAAACUAGUAGCCACUUCUCGAAUAUUAGGCAUAUCUGAAAUGUGCAGUUCUUCAAGGUUUGCUAACUGUCCUAGUGAAGGGAGGCGUGCGCACCUUGGCUGCCCAUCAGCACUAUCUUCACAAGAUUUGGAAGAUCGAGAUUUGGAUCGCUCAUCCAGCCACAAAAUGUGGCAUCUCCAUAACCUUCUAUUUCAAGUGUUGAUAGGUUAGGAUGAGGAUGGAGUCUUUGGAGAACUGAAGAAUCAUCAGCUCUGGAGAAUUUUUUGCUCAGAUUAAGAUAUACAUUGUUAGGCCUAUCGUCUGAUCCAGAUAAACCAUUGCUGGAAUAAGAGUUUGCGUCAGCGUGCGCAGCUGGUCAUAUGUAGCCAACUCUCCAAGGCCAACUUCAUCAGCGCUAUUCACCUUCUCAAGAUUUGAAAUAAAUAGGUCUGUGAUUCCAAAGUCUGUAUUUUGACAGAGGAGAAAAUCACUUUCUUGUACUGCAAAAUACACUCCCUGUGAAGGAAGAGACAGAGUUAGACUAUUACCAAAUGCAACGAAAAUAUUUAUGCAUCCAUUCUGUUCUAGAUAAGAAUUAGAAAAUGUCCAUUGUAAAAGAGGAGUAACAAAGCACAGCCAAGAGAACUUACCUCAUUUAUCUUGAUGCAUUGAAUGUGAGGAAUAGCCUGUAGGAUUGCAGCUUUGUCUCUGUCCAAGAAAUUCCCAGGAGAUGACAAAGUUAGCUUCGCCAAACGAUCCAUGCAUCUCAAUUCAUCAAAACGGUCAAACAUCUCGAGGCAAUCAAUUUCAAGCUCAUGUACUGAUUGAAUGCCAGGAAGUUUCUGAAGAUCAUAGCUCUUACAGUUCGAUAUCUUGAGUUUUUGGAUGGUUUGUGUCAAUAUAGGGGUUUAUGACCACAGAUUAAUCUUGGAUAAAUCACUCUCGUUGAUGAAUAACUCCUUGCUGUUGGGGAUUCUUGGAUAUAGUUCCAGAUAACCGCAGUGUUCUAUCUGCAGAUAGCAAAGCGGAGGGAAUUCUUCUUCAUCAGUGUUCAUCAGUGCGGAAGAAGAUACAGGAACGUGUGUCAUCAGUGUUCUCUUUUUAGUCACUCCCAAAAAUAUUUCCAUCAUGUUCCUAAACUUUGCUUUUCCUUUUCCUCGGGAAGGAUCACCAGACUGCGCCCUGAACAUUUCAAGCCUCUUGAAUUCUUCUAAAGGAUCUAUUUCCAUGUCACGUAUCUCUUCACCAUCUUGGCAAAACCACAAGGUGCAUCUGGAUGCUAGUUUAACAAGCGACAGUCGCUUUAGGUUUCUGCAUGGUGCUAAACAUGCUUCCAUAAGUUUAGGCAUAUUACGAAUUUCAAGCUCCUCUAAGUUUGAUAGAUUUCCUAGAGUUGGAAGCUGGUCACACUCUACGAGAUCAGACAAUACCAGUUUCACCAGAUUUGGGAGUGUAGAACAUAUCUUCCUCAUCCAACUAGGAAACAUACUGUAAUUAUAGCCCUUUAUAGUGAGAUGCUUUAAAGCUGGAUGAGGCUUCAAAUUUUCUAGCACAUCCAUUGUCGUCACUUUGGGUUCCUCUGACCAUUCUAAUAAGGACCACUCCAAACUCAAAGAAGCAAGCCGAUGUCUCCUUCCCAAUUGCACCCCCUUUGCUUCCUCUGCAGACUUCACAACCUCAAGGCAUUUGAUAUUUAGUUCACUGUUUGUAGAAUCAAGGAUAUUCUGUAGAAGGAUAAUGUUGCUGCAAUCACCACUGCUGCCACUUUCUGAGACCACAAAAUCCGGUAGGGUUAGUAGGUCACUGGAGAUGCCUUCCUUUCAGAACAGUGACAUCCCUCCAACUGAAAGGUACUCAAGACGAUGCAUGUUUUUCAAUGUGUCAUGCAGCAUUUUCAGGCUCAACUCCUCACCAGAAUAAUCAGAGGAAUGCUGUGUAGAGGAGCUUGGAGCUUCAGAAUCUUUUCUUACAUCAAAUCCUGAUAAUGCUGAUAGGUUUAGGUACUCCAAAUUUACAAAUUUACCAAGAAAGCAGAUAAUUUUCAAAAUGCAAGGACAGCCAGAUAAAUUCAGAAAUCGGAGUUUAUUUAGUCUGGCACAAGAUUCAGAAAGAUCAAUAAGCCUCGCACAAUCAGAUAAAUCCAAAAUCUCCAGGUUCAGGCAGCCAUUGUUGCCCACACAAAAUUCAGGAAGUGCCUCAAGGCAAGUACAACCAGACAUAUUAAGAUAAAGAAGUCCCUUCAUUCUAUUGAAUGACAGGGUACGCAGUUGCUUAAGCUGGCAGCAGGAGGACAGAUUCAGAUGUUCCAAAUUUUUCAGUAGACUGAAAGAGUCUGGAAGCAUCUCAAGCUUUGAACAACAUGAUAAGUUCAAGAACGAAAGCUUUGGCAGCUCUCCAAAUUGUGAAGGUAGCUUUUGUAGGCUGGUACAACCUGAUAGAUCGAGGUGUUCCAAAUUUUCCAGUAGACUGAAAGAGUCUGGAAGCAUCUCAAGCUUUGAACAACAUGAUAAGUUCAAGAACGAAAGCUUUCGCAGCUCCCCAAAUCGUGAAGGUAGCUUUUGUAGUCUGGUACAUCCUGAUAGAUCAAGAUGUUCCAGGACUUGGAGUCUGUGAAUGGGACCUGGAAGUUCACUAAGAUUCGAGCAGCCAUGUAGAUCCAAAUAGUGAAGCUUCUGAAAGUCACAAAUGGAAGUGGAACUAUGGAGCUUUAAUUUUUCAGAAAAGGAGCUAUGGAGCUUUUUGAGGCUGGUAUUUUCUGAAAGAUUUAAAAACUGCAGGUGGUGCAAGUUUUGCAUAGAACUGGGUAGCUGGACAGUUUGCAUGCGUGGGAAGUCCAAUACACGCAGCCAUUUAGUUUCUGAAAAGGCACCCUUCGAAGGCUGACAUCCUGUGCAGCCACUAAAAUGAGCAGCCCUUGCUUUGAAAGGCGUAUCUUUGCAUUUUGGGUACUGACCUUUGAAAUUCAACAACAACGUGUAUCGAUAGUUGUCCUCUUUACCGAAGCUUCUUUGUUUGCCAUCACAGAUGGCAACUUCCUCAAUAGCAACUGACCUAGCAAGUUCAUGAACUAAAUCGUGCAUUUUGAAUAAUACAUUAUGCAUAUGAGGGUUAUUAAGCUUGGAGUAUCUUGCAGAAAUCUGAAAAGCAAAUUUGCAGGUCGAUUAGUAGUGCACUAGAUAUUUUUUUCAAGGACUCAACGGUAGGUCAAAAGAAAAAAAUAUAUAAAGAGCAUGCCAAUUUCACAUUUAGAAACGAGAUUGAUCAUUGCCACAUCAGCCGUCCCGCAUGGAGAUGCUAGAGCAGUCAAAGGGAGUGCAAAGGGUUUAAAAUUGCAACGAAUGAACAUUAUUUUCUCUCCAGUAGCAAUUGUGUCAAGACAACCAAGUUGACGUUUCUUCUAUCUGAAAUGAAAGAACACUGCCGAUUUAUUUAUUGCUAUAUCCAAUUUAUAGAAUGGAUAUACCAUUUAAUUGAUAUCUUUUCGUAAAAAUGAAACGCAUAAUAUGCAUCCACAUUUCAGCUUCGAAUUUUACUGGAUAGAGAUACAUGAUCUAGGCUAUUAAGUAGCGACUCAUAAAAGCUAAAUCUUGUAACCAAUGGUGGGUCAAUAAUGAUCAUUUUUGUAUAUAUGUAUCGACUGUUGUAAAAAAGUGAUUCGCUUUUCCUAUGCAGUAACCUUCUGCUCCUAAAGAAUGCCAGGAUUGUGUUUUAAUUAUUGCAAUUACUAUUCACUUAGUAACUUAACUCGCUGUCUUGGCAAUGUUGUAGAGCUUAUGCCAAAAAUACAGCUCAGCCCUUUUUGCUCAGAUUCCAUGACUUUAUGCAGAGAAAACUUGACUUAAAACAAAACUUAGGCUAUGUUACUAGUAAUUUGCAACCUCAGGGAGUUUACUUGUCAUGUUUAUUUGCUUGGUUGAUUUCAGUAAGCAUAAAACUGGCAACUUAAGAAAUAAUGUUCGUGUCGCUAUAUUUAUCUUUUAAAUAAUGUUGACUCAAAUAUUUAUAAGGUGUUAGAAUUGAGGAACCAAUACAACCAUGUCCGAAUGAUUCAUCGUAGGAUCACUCCAUGAAUUUUACACCUUGAUCAAUAUGCUUGUGCGAAAUGAAGUGGAUUAUUCAAAACUAGAAUCAAAGGAUUUAUGACUAUCUCAUUCUUCAAACCAAAGAUUAUAUUGAAUUAGUAGUAGAUAAACACCAUAUUCUGAAAUAAGAUUAAAAUACUAAUAAAUCAUGCGAGAAAUGACAGCACAACUCGAUACAAGGAAAAAAGUUAACUGUACCAAGCUUGGGUAUAUAAUAUAACUCACCGAGAUAGAGUCACUUGAAGCCUCCAGGAAUGACAUCUGACAAAGUUCUAGUAGGUAUUCCUCAGCACGAUGUGUGGUCAGAACAAAUCUCAGAGCAAUCCACUUAUGAAUCAGUUCUCUCUUCUCUAUGAUGAAGCCUUUUGGGAAGGCAGAAAAGUAUACAAAGCAAGGUCUCAGAUAAUAUGGCAUGUGGUAGUAACUAAUCUUCAAGGAUGGUAAUAUUAAAGUAGAUGUUGUUCCAGUCGUUGGAUCGCAUUCGUCUUCCCACAGGUCACUCUUCAGUGUUUCUUCCUACUUGUGCAUCGGCAUAUCUAGCAGACGAUCCCCAAGAGACUUGACUGCCAAAGGCACUCCACCGCAUUUCUUUACUAUUUUCUCCCCCAUAUGUACCUUUGCCAUUUCAGAUUCUUUAAUUCCAUUUGGAAAUGCCUUAGCUUUGAACAGCUUCCAGCAGUCAUCGUACGGCAAGGCACCCAACUUGAAUGGCAACUCACGAUUCAGCCGCUUAGCAACCUGUUCACUUCGAGUGGUCACAAUUAUCUUUCUGCCUGGUGCGCCACCUUUCAACAUCGCUUCUAUCUUUUCCAAUUGUCCUGUGUUUUCUUCCCAUAAGUCAUCUAAAACAAUAAGAUACUUCUUUCCACGGAGGAUCAUCUCCACGCGCAUCUGCACGGAGGACAGGUCAUACUGGUUACUCUGUCCAUCUACUUGGGAGAUAAUUGAUCGACCAAUCUUUUCAUCGCUAAAACUUGUGGAGACAUAAACCCAAAUCUGGAUAUCAAAAUCUCUCUUAGUUGUAUUGUCGUCAAAAACCAUUUGGGCGAGAGGUGGUUUUACCCAGACCACCAAAGCCAUAUAUAGGGAUGAUGAUGUGUUUGCAAUCUUCUUGCAGCAACUUCAUCAACUCUACCUUGUCCUUGUCCCUCCCAAGUAUACCUUCUACAAGGCAAGGGCCUGUAGCCCUUGUCUGGAUCACGUCCUGGUCGUCAGAGCUUGUGUCCACCAUCAAGUCGAACUGCCUCAGCUUUUCUAUGUCGUCCAAUCUUUGCUUCAUGGCCUUCAACUUGCUAGGCAUGUUUAGCCGCAACUUCAGAGGAAUGGAGAUCUCCUGCAAAUCCAUGUCGUGAAUUAGAAAAGGGACGAGAAAUGGAAAUGGACAUAUCGACAUCAAACACACUCGAGACCUACCGUUGUAGAUUUGUUAUUCUGAGAGCCAUCUUUAUUACUCAGGAUAUCACCUUCCAAUUCCAAUAAUAAUGUCCUCCAUGUCAUAGGCUGCUGCCUUUAGCUUCCUCAUCCAGACGCAGACGUCACCAUCUUUCAUCAGCCGCUUCUCCGCCCUAACCAUGCUAUUUUGGAUGGUAUCCACAGUAUCCUUGAGGCCUUUGAGCUCAUCACCUAGCUUCAGCUGCGAGGCGAUCGCCUCCCAGAUGGCACUACCUAGCAUGCCGCCGACCUUCUUCAAUGCGGCCGAGGCAAGAAACUCCCCUACCCCCACCAUGUGGCUGAAGGGGACGCCAAUCACACAGUGUGAUGAGUGCUUGACGUCAGGCCGGGUGAGGAACAGUCCCAAGAGAAAACUGGAGAAGACACAGCGAGAAAUUGUCAGAGUCUCUCUGUUUUUGACCUGAAAAUCACAACCCUUGCAGCAAACUCUGUAUCAAGGACAGGCAGGAAAUAUUUACAAGCAAGGAGGAAAAGGGCAAAUAUUUCAGUCAGAAUUGAGACAAAUAAUAGCACCCAAGGUGCGCUUUAGAUCGCACUCUGUUUCAAUUAAACUGACUCGAGAUGGAAACCCCAAUUCGGAUGCGAGGUGGAAGGAAAGAAAGGUGAUUAGUUCUCAGCUUUUACCGUGAGGGUGGUGUGUUGUGUCCAGCACCCGAUGGGAUGGCAGGUAACUAAGGCCCCGUUUGGGAGGGCUUCAGCUUCGGCUUCUCUACUGGCCGAAGCUUGAGCCCUACCAAAUGACGAGAUGGCGAAAGGCUUCGGCGGAGAAGCUCCGCGAAUCGCUCUGACUGAAGCUGAUUGAGGGAGCGGGAGCUAAAAAAAAUUGGCUCCCCGCGGCUUCUCGCGUCGUUGGACACCCUUGUGCUUCGAUGGGGCCCGCGGGUGGAGGUGGCUGGCGGUGGGCGCAGACGAGGCAUGAGGAUGGCGGCGCGGGAGCAGAAGUGGCCGGCUGCGGACAAGCCGCGACAGAGGACGGCCCAGGACGACCGGCGGCGGUGGGCACGGGGCGGAGGACGUCCGGCGGCGGCGGGCGCGGGGCAGAGGUGGCCGGCGGCGCGCGCUGGGGCGUGGGCGCGUGAAAAGGGGAGGCGGGGGCGCUAGGGACGUAUCUCAGAUGGCAGCGGUGAGAUUCAGCCGGGAGAAGGAGGCCGGGUCAGAUCUUUCACCGGGUGAGAGAGGGGCGCGGCGGAUGGAACGGUCGGUGGUGGUGGAUGGAACGGCGCGUCAGUGGAUGGAACAACGCGUCAGGGUGCCUGGGAAUCAGGGGGUGAGGAGGUGACGAUAGGGUUCGGGGCGCGAUCGAUCCUACCUCAACGUAUGCGUAAGUAGAAGAAUGCAGUGGCGAGAAAUGCGUACGCGAUGGAGAGGGCUAGAUCCAGAAGUAGCAAGUUGCCGAUUCGUAGAAGCGGAAUAAUAAGCUAGUGAUGAAACAAUGCGUUAUUAGCUCGCGUUACGUUGUUUAGGUCCAGAGAGGAGCAGCAAACUCCAUAGCUUAUAGUUUUAAUUUCUCAUUGUUUAUUGCGGCCGGUCUUUUGACAGUCUAGGGACACAGUCGUCGUAGAUCUCGGGAGCCCUGGUGGAAAACAGAUCAGCUUGCGGUUGUUUAUGUAGAGUCUCUCGAGACAAGGCAUGCAUGGCUAUACUCCCACUCACCAAGCCCAAACAGUGCCAGCUCUACUAGUUUAGUUAAUAAUGUUUUAAGUGACUUUUGCCUUUGCAGAAUAGCCCAUUCUACUACGGAGAGGCGACGAACAAGCUGACCAUGUACGUAGCUGCCUGCUUGUCGUCGACCACCACCGCAGAUUCUUCUCUUGCCAUGCAUGUACUCAGCAAAGGAGCGGACCACAUCGUCGUGCAUCUCCAGUUAUCCAGUUGCUCAGGCAGUCCAGCUACUGACCAUGCAGGACUUGUCAAAACAACAUUCCACUCACGCUCGCCUUGCGUAUCUUGUGCUUAAGAGCCCUCCAAUCGCUUUAAUUGCAAGUGGUAAUUAUGCCUUCACACUUCUCAAGAAUUUCCAUCCCAACGUUUUUUAGGCGGUCAGUGCCGACUACCUGCCAACAGUUAAUUAUUUAUUGGAUUAUUAUUUCUGACUACAGUAAGGUCGUCGCGGCACUACUUGCUUAAGUACAUUUUCUUACGUUCCUGUUGUAAAAAACAAUUGGUCAUCAUUUUUUUCAUCCCUUGCACAAAGCAUGAACAGACGAUCCAAUUUCAAAUGGGCUUUACAAGGAUUUUGCAUAAACCGCCACAAAAGUUGUAACGAUCUUACGUAAAUCCUGCAUUCCAAAUGGGGCCUAAACAUUUCAUUUGGGACCUUGGAAUGCAGACUAGAUUGUGUUCCAGUAGCUUGUAUCGUCUUUCAUAAUCACGUUGCCUUUUGUUUUAAAAGCAACAAUUUCAACUAAUAAUGCCAUAAGAUCAAAUUUGUCUACUCCAUCUCAUUUCAAAUAUAAUUCAGUCGAGCUUGUGCACAAGAAUUCAUAAGGUAGGUGGUGAAGUGACACUACUUGCUUAAGUACAUUUUCGGGCAAAAAAGAUUUGGCUACGUUCCUGUUGUAAAAUAAAACAAUUGGUUCACCCUCAGCAUCAGUUCAACAAUGGCCGACUCAUCAAACUCGGACGUCAUCUUCUGUAUAGAACUUGAACUUGAACCCGGACUCAACAGUUAGCAUCCUCGGCUCCGGAUUGAACUUGAACUCGAACCUGUCUGCCUCCUUGUGGAUGCCAUCAAGCCUCUGGUUGACGUCCCUGAUGCUGCUGCCUAUCUCGUGGGCGAACACGGGUUACGCAGGCAGAAGAGCAAUCGCUGGAAGAAAUCCUGCAUCUUUUCUAUGCUCCUGCACGUGAGGGUGAAGAUGGGGUUCCGUAGGCACAUCAACCUGCACUCAUCAGCCUUGAGUUGGCACAGGUCUAGGAUGUCUGUGUGGCAUCGUACAUGGCGUCCUUGAGCUUCCUCACCCAUCUUUGCACACUCUUGUCAGUGACGCGCACCUCCUCUCUGCAUCCGCGAGGAAAGCUUUGAGGCAUCCGGGAUGGCGGCCAUGGCUCCAGAGUACGAUCUAGCUAGUACACAAUACAUGAUCCCUCCGUUUCAGUGGGAUGAGCUCAACCGGAUCUCAAAGGAAUAUACUAUAAGGGUUGGGAUUCAACUCACACUCCUUUGCAACCAGAUAUGGGUUGAAGCGGGUCGAACCCAUCCUAACCCACUUUGACUCCAGAACCAAACACAUGAAAAAAGAUUGCACGAGGAAAAAGAAGGAAAGAGAAAUCGGCGACUCGUAGCAGGGAUGACUGUACGUUGAUUUGGUUGGUUCGGAGCUAAUGUCUUAGAAGAAAUAUCUCUGUAGGAUAAAGGAGAGAAAGUAUUUUUAUUGUGUCACGGCAGGAAUAGAGCAUUCGUCUAACGCGUUUGUCGUUGUCAAGAUUAGCGGAUCAAGACUUAGACUAGUAAAUUUCUUUUAUGCGCGUAAGGCUUCGGAUGGUGGCGUGGGAGACACGGGGUUUAGACUGGUUCGGGCAAGGGAAUGCCCUACGUCCAGUAUCGGGAGCUGCUCGUGUUGCCCACGCGGGGUUCUGUAGUAGGGGUUACAGGAGUGCGAGAGAGGGAGCUGAUCCCAGGUCUCUUGGGUGUACACUGAUGCUCUAGGUGGGUAUGAGUGUGUUUUGUGGCUUGGAGAACCUCCUUUGUCUCAGGCCCCCGGUUCUCCUUUUAUAGCGCAAGGAGGCCACCAAGGUUACAGGCGAGACCGGGUGUAUGGAGAAGUAAAAGAAAUAAACAAAGCUAGGUAAAAUACAACACAAGGGGAGGGACCAAGUCCCCAGGCCACCGGCAUCCUCGCCGGCCUUCGGCUCCUGCCGGCGCGUCUGCCGGAGGAGGGCGGCCGCCGUCACGUCCCGUCGAUGGUCUCCUCGGCGGCUGUCGCCGCCAGGCGUGAUGAUGGUGUUUUGUUGUGGCACCUGUGUCCGUUGGGGCAUUAACGAGUCAAAGUUAAUGCCCUCUCACCGUGUUAUCUUGUCUAAGUUUAAUUACAUAGUCAUGAAAUUGAUUAGAUUUUGUUAACUUAAUUGGCUUGUAAGCGGUAGGCAAGAUGUCUUUGGUGAUUGUGCUCUAGUCUUUUAUGUUGAUAGAUUGAGGUUAAUUCCCUCUCAUUCGUGUUGCCUUGUCUAAGUUCAAUACACUUAUCAAGACAAUUAUUAAGAUCUAUUAAUGUAUCUAGGUUGCGUAUAGUCAGCAUCGGCUGGUCCUUGUUGUUAUGUUCUAAUCUUUUAACUUAGUAGAUUGAUGCCAAUACCCUCUCAUUCUUGUUACCUUGUAUGAGUUCAAUACACUUGUCAAGAUAUUGGCUAGAUCUGUUAGCUUAUCUGAUAAGCAUGUGGUUAACAAGGACUCCCCUUUAUGGUUGUUGCGUUACAAUGCUUUGUCUUAGCGCGUCGGCUGAGAUAGCCGAUGGCACAUGCCAUUAAUGUUUUAUUUAUUUACACUGCAUGCUUACAUUAAAUAUCUAUCUGUCAUAGUGUUUAUUCCAAGAAUGCCUACCCAUGAGUUCGAAAGGCUUCGUCGCCGAUCGGCAAUGUUUACCUUGUCAAUUUUCAGGUCAAAUUGACUGACAGGCCUUGCACCAUUCGCGAGCUGAUUUGGAGCCUGCACUGGAGGUAAGCAGAUCUCCCAGAUCAUCCGUGUUGUUCAACGCAGAAGCCUGAAGUCCGGAUUUUGCAUCAACAGGUAUAGAGAAACAAAAGGAUCUAAGGAAAUAAAACAAAAGAAAAUUAAAGGGUAUUGAGCUACGCAGACAUAGCCAGAAUCAAAGAGGGUUUGGCUCUGAGCAACAGUAAGGAGAAUUCAGACAUAAAUUUUCUUUUACAAGCUUCGAUUAUAGGAUCAAUGUUACUGAAAAUCCGUUCGUUUCUAGUGGACCAUAUGCUCCAUAACAUUAAAAUGAUGACCUCCAUGAAGAACUGGACUUGAAGCUUGUCUUUGAUGAGCUUGAAAAUUUGAAGGAGGGGCCUUGUUGUUAUGACUGACACCCCUAUAGAGGCCCGUCAAGCCUUGGUAAAGUUACAUCUUAAGAACAUAUGGGCAACCAUUUCUAGCUUUUGAAGGAUUCACAAGUCACAAGUAUAAGAGUCUAGGAUCAUGUUUUUUCAUCUAAGAAACUCUCUUGUGCUUAAACGGUCCUUGAGACUAACCAGAAGAAUACCUCGUGUUUCAUUUGGCAUUUUGAACGUUUUGAUGUCCAAUGAUAACGGGAAGCGGCAAGACGGUGAUGUCUUGCAGUGUAGCAUUGUCAUUAGUUGACGGCCAAGAGCAGAAAAAAUUAUGAGAGAAGGAAUGAUAAUGAUUUAGCCAAGGUUGAGUGCCGAUGUGAUAUACAACAAGGGAGAACUAGGAAAUCGAUGUUUGUCAUGCACAUCCAUCCGUAGUAAGCUGAAUGAAGUGGUUGACUAGAGAGAAUGAUGUGCCCAGUAAGUGAUGCAUAUUCCAUGACCACGGUAUAGCUGGCAAAGAUCACAAAGGAGAACUCUAUCUUACUAUUACUAAUUGGAGGCUCCUUUUGAAGCCUCCAGGUGAAGCCACCUAGGAUUACUAGGUGGACACUCUAAAAAAAGAGAGAAAUCCUAGAAAUUCUCACAAAAAAGCAAAACAUCCAACCAUCAAUCUAUAGCUUCAAAUCAUCAUAGCCAUUGGAUCUAUUAUAUUUUCUAAAAAAUUACCCACCUAUGCCAUUAUGAAAAUAGUCUAAAGUAACCCCCUAAAUCUAUAUAUAAAUUACCCACCCCACCUCUGCCAUUAUAGAAAAUAAACUAAAGUAACCCCUAAUCUUAAUCAAAAUUACCCACUUAUGCCAUUGUAAAAAAUAUUUAAAAUAACCCCCUAAUUUGCGACUGAAUUGCCUACCACUAUUACUUAAAAAACUUAAAGUAACCCCUUAAAUUUGCAUCUAUAUUACCCACACAUGCUAUUAUUAAAAAUAACAUGAGGUAAUAACCCUACGUAAUGUACAACAAUAUAUGAUUCUAAAUUAUCUAUAUCUUGCACUAUUGGUAUACAAUAUAAUAAUUAAGAUCUAUACGUAUGAUGUGUGUCACCAUUUAUAAUUAAAGAUAUAAAAUGAUGGGAAUAUAGAUUUCUAUGCUAAAUUAAAGAUAUAAAGUGAUUGCAUAGAGUAAUUAUUAAUUAAAAAUUAAUCAAAACUGAAUAAAGAUAGGUACAUGUAUUAUGUUGAAGUAUUGAAAAAAUAAGAGAGUAGUAGGUAAACAAUUUUGAUCAUUAGCUAAGAGUUUAACUUCUAAAUAAUUUUCAAAUACAAUAGCUUCUAAAAAUAUUAGUCCGUGCGGGAGCACGGGUUGAUGGACUAGUAUGUAAAAUAAUAUGGGAACAUUUAUUUAUGGGGCUACAACCACCGGAUAUUGGUGAUCAAAGUAAAGAAAGGAGAUUGUCACACCCGGUUUUAAGGACAAAACCAAGUGCUACCUAUAUGUAUGCCAGGAUCAAGUUUCAUACAUAUAGUGACAUCAUAAGUGAAUAACAGCAACAGUAUCACGUAAAAAGAUACAAAUAAAGACUUACGAGACCAUCAGAGAUACACAGCUUAAAUACUGAAAACGGAGACUCCAAACUUCACAGGCAAUCGACUGGGGGUUGCGUACGCCUAGAACUCAGCAUCAUCUUCGGAACAUUUCACACACCUUCUUCUUCUGAGCAGCAGUAAGCAAGGGUGAGUACACUUAUGGUUGGUACUCAGCAAGGCCACAAGAAAUAACCAGAAUAACGAUUUGAGUCCAUCUUCAAGUUUAAUUAAUCAUGUGAGGGUCCAGGCCGCUCUUAACCGUGAGCACGGCUGAUCGAUCAGUUUUACACUCUGCAGAGGUGGCACAUCUUUACCCACAAGUCGCGUAAAAGUUCAAGGAACUUUGGACCCAACCAUGCGGUGCUAGCUAGGCACCAUACCACACUUCCGAGGUGUGAUUGCAUAGGGACGCUACGAGGCCUUUACAAAGAUUCGCUAGCAAUGUGGUAACCUGCUAAGGUUUCAGGUCGAAGCAGAACAUAGCAGUCCCCUAGUUGGUAUAGUGUCUUAGCAAAGCCCACUUCCCCCAAGAGCGAGUGCUAUAUCCCAUCAACGCCUCCCCUCUUGCCCUUUCGGUAAGAUCACCCCAGACUAGAGUUUCUAAUUAUUCAGCCAAGACCAGAGCCAUUUAGUCUUGUGGUAGCACUGUUUUCCUGGGUGGUUCUCCAUGUUCCGAUAACAUAAUCAUGAUAUUAUUAACAAAGCAUAGGUAGAAGGAUGGUUAGGGACACUUGCCUUUCUCCAACAGAAAGUUACUCUUACUGCUUUUCAGCUCUUGCUCUCUUGAAGCUCUUACUCUUCAAAACUUCCGAAUAGGGAUCCUUCUACUCAGAGCAAACAUCGGCACAAACAUGCAAGCAACAAACAAGUACAACUAAGAACAAUACACCAAAAUAAAAGGAAAGCUUUAAAAGAGCGUACUAAACGACAAGGCUCGAUCUAAGGUCACGCGAAUGUAAGGAACGCUUAAAACGGAACUAUGGUUGAAAAGAUAAAGCUAUCGAGCAUUUUAAAUUAUAAAAGAAAGAUGAGAGCUACAAGCUUCAUUUAUUUUAGUUGAGAAAAACAAUGUAAAGAUAUUUCACAGAAAUAUCCUUAGUUAGAAUUAAUCAAGUCAUAUUUAUAUUUUCAUAAGAAAAGACGGUGUAAAGCUUAGUCCAAUUUUAUUUAUAAAUAUUUAAGUAUAAUUUAUGCAAUUUAAACAUUUAAUAAAAAAAAUACAUGUAGACAUCUAAGCGUAUAGCUUUACAUUUCGACUUCAACUAAGUAGAUUAAAUUAAAAACAUAUUUAUAUUUAUAUUAGCCAAAUUAAUAUUUAAUUAUGAAAACUCGAGAUAUAACCUAUAUAUAUUUUAUUUAGAAAAAAAAUUAAAUAAACAUUAAUCAAAUUGAAUUUAAUUUAUGAAACACCAAGGUAUAACUCUAAGUGGCUUUUAAUUGAAAGAAUUAUUUGGACAGGCAUUAAUCAAUUUAAUAUAAAAUAUAUUUUCAAAAACAUGUGUGAAGGAAAACUUUACCACUAACGUGUAAUUUACAUCAUUAUGAAUCUAAUGCAACUUGAACGGACAAAAACGGAAUUAAAACGUAGAAUCUAUGGUUUAAACAAGGUUGUAGGGGUCUAAACAUAAUUAACCGUAUACUUGGAGGGUUAGCUGAGAAGAUUACCAAGACUCAGAGAAUAGUCACUGCGAAUAGAUGGAUCUUCGGGGUUAGAUCUGCAAAAGAGGAUGGCUUGGAUCAGAUUGCAAGGAACUGAAAGUUACAGGGGGUUUUCUACAAGGUUUGAAAGACACAAGAAAUAUGAACAAAAAUUAACAGAUUUUCCAGGGGCUAGAUCGAAAAGCAGCGCUUCAUCUUCUUCCUCACGCCAGGAGCAUGGUGCAGCUCCUGGCCGGCGGCCUGCCGGCGUUCUGGUGCGGCGGACGCCCGGGCGGGUGGUGCAGCGCGAUGCGCAGGGCAAGGAGGCGAUGGUGCGCGUGCAGGCAAUGGCACAAGCGAGCCGGAGGUGCUGGGCGAGCAGGAUGAACGGACCAGGCGUGCUGGCCCAAGUUGCGUACAGAAACACAGAAACAGGAGGGAAAGAGAGAAGGAGGGGGUAGCCGGAAACGAAAUCCGAUCUCGCGCAUGAACGGCAAAAUGGAACGAUAUUGAUGAGACGAACAAGAUGGUGUGCUCACCUUCGGCCAGAGACGAACAAUGGCGGCGGAAAAGCUCGCCGGAGUUGGGGAAGACGACGGAGCCGACAUCGGAUUCAUGCAAUUCACCACACCACGGCGUAGAGCUCGAAGAGAGGAACUCCAUGGUGGUGUCGGUUUUCGCCGGAAGUCCACGGUUUCGCCGGAAAAGCUCGCCGGAGUUUGACGAAGACCGAACUUUGACUUCACAUCUACGGAGUUAGGAGAUGCAACUCGUGAAAAGGUUUGCAGAUCUGAAAUCCUCGCGUCGAGACGAACGCGGUGAUAUAUAUAUAGGCCACACUCGGAAAAAGAUAUUUUCGAGUUGACUUUUUAUUUUCGGAAUUUCUGAUUUUAUUUAUCUGCGCGAAAACAAUUCCAGAAAUAGCUGGACUCGUUUUCUAAAGCGAGAAAAAUACCUAGAAAAUUCCGAAAAAUCUGAGAUAAAUCUCAGAGAUGGAUUGGGAUACAAAGAAUCCAAAUAAAAUACUUGGAGCUCGUGAAAAGGAUUCUAAAGCCUUCCAAAAAUUGGAUUUAGCUCUAGGAAAAGGAGAAUAAUUUUCAGAAAAAGAUGGAAAAAAUCCUCACAAGGGUCUGGGCAACGUCUAAACGCAUUUUUCAAACUUUUACACUCAAGAAACACCAAGAUGCAGUGACAUGAAUGCACAGACAUAGAACAACAUUAUUUAAUUUAGAAAAGCAAACAAUUAGUUUCCUAUACUAAAUUUCCUGUAAAGAAAAAUAAAUGUUGGGAAAAUUUUAAAAUGAUGAGAAAAUUAUUGUUUAUUUAUUCUUUUUAUUCACAUCCUGAAAUUUGGAAAUUUCAGGGUGUGACAGAGAUGAUUACUUCUGGUGCUAUACAUUGAAUCACUAACCUUAAUCAUGCAUUGUACCUCAAACUCUCAAGCAAAAAUUUACAUCACCAGCCAAAAUAAAUGUCAUAUUCAUGUUAAAUAUAUAUAUAUAUAUAUAUAUAUAUUAUUGUCAGUACGCACCAAAAAGUGUGUGUGUGUGUGUAAAAGGUACUCCCUUUUCUCUCCUAUCAUGUUCAAAAAAUACAGAAUAUAAUGAUGGAAAAAAGCAUAGACGACACUUUGGUCUGGGCCAUUAGGACAAAAACAAUUACAAGGAUAUGACUAAACAAAACUAUUUGCAUCCAUUUAUUUAUAAAUAAACAUCCAAAAGUAGGUUAAAAAAUAGUACCCACCCUAUUUGUGCGGGCCACAUUGCUAGUUUGACUCACAAGACUGAUCAUUUAUAGCAUGGGGAGAUGGAAAGGGAGAAGAACACAGCGCUUUUAUAUUCCCCAGCAUGCAGCUGGCAAGAUUGUGGAUGAGCAUGACCAUCACGAGCUGGUUAAUAGCCAUGGGAUCGACGACGAACCUGGUUCCUCCAGCCUCAAAAUGGGUUUUACGAUUUCUCCGGACCAUUUGGCAAGCUCGCUCUCCAAGUGUUGCUUGAGGCCGUCAUCAUAGGGACUGCUAAGCCAGACUUCCACCAGACCUUUUAUCUUCUGUAGGCCAGAGAACCGCAGUGCUGACACACACCUGCAGCGAAUCCUCAGCACCUUAAGAUAAAAGUCAUCGUGAAACGUUAUUGUAGCUGGCAACCUGGCGUCAUAAGAGAUCUCGAGGAAGGAUAAGAUGACAGGAUUUUGUCUACCAAAAUGGAGGUCAUGAAACUCUGACAAAAAAAGACGUGUAUUCUCCGGCCAACCAGGACUGUCAACGAGAUCUUGCUGCAACAUAAUCAUCUGUAAACUCAAUUUUGUGAGAUUCUUAAGCUUUUUGGUCCAUACUGGUAACUUGCUUACCAGCCCGUAUAACUUAAGACUCCGUAGGUUCACUAGAUGUUCGAAAGAGAUGCCGUCCAUGGUGCCAGCUUCAUCGUCCUCAUCGACCUGCAUUCUCAAUGACAACGAUUCCAGAUGGGCAAGACCUGAGAUGGCUGAAAAAAGCUUCCAGAUGUUGUCCCGGUUAAUGCCUGACACUCCAAGUUUGUGCAACUGAGUAAGCUUCUUGAGCUCCUCUAGAAUGGCGUCCCCUUUUCCAGUGCCAAUAUCAACGUCACCCAGCGUGUGCAAGUUAGAAAGUUUCCCAAUACCUCUGGGCACCUUCACGCAAUUAUGAGAGCCAUCGUCGAGAUGGUGGUAUCUGCUCAACUUGGACAACAAGCAGGACCCCAGCUGAGUAGCACAUGGCCAGCUCAUUGGCGUUGCGGUUAGUGAUGGGUUCUCUGCUGCUUCUGUAGCUUGAUGAUGCUUGGUGGUACCAGCACGAAUGUACUGCAGUUUCUCCAGCUUGAUGAUGCUCUCUGGUAGCUUCAUCACAGAUGUUUCCCUGAUAUCCAGAGUUUGGAGGUGCUUCAGAUCGCCCAGGGAAUCUGGCAGAUGAGUGAUUUCUCGGCACCUUCUCAGGGAAAGGAACUUCAAGCAGGGCAGCAGCUUCACCAUCUGCUCGACGUCACCAUUUGUUACACCUGAAGACACGUCCUCCAGAUCAAGCACACGGAGCAGCCUCAUCUUUUCAGAGAUGAAGAACGAUUUCCACUCACCAAACACUGUCAAAGAUCGCAGCCGGGAAAAGUCAAUGCUCUUAAACACAUUUCUGUCUCUGUCCCAGCUUCGAUCUAUGGCAAGGUGACGUCCCGUGCGAUGGAAGUUCUUUUCGCAAUGGCCCUCUAGUGCAAAGACAAGAUUAUCUUCCAUCGACUGUGAUAUGAUGUAUUCACGGAAGAAACCAUUAACUUGGCACAAUGGCAUCCUCUUGGAUUGCUGAACUGAUGCUGCUGUUGUUUCUGUUGUUCGUGGCACCUGGACCAUGCUUAGACUGACGAGCUUGGAAAAGGAUAUCUCCCCGUUUUUCUCUGCGGUGUUUUCUUUACUGUCUCUAGAGUAUCCCUCCGCGAUCCACCGUCUCACCAAACGCCUCCGCCGGAUCGUGUGGUUCAGAGGGAAGAUUGACAGGUAGAAUAUACAUGGCUUGAGGAUAUCUGGGCAGGAACGGAAGUAGGAAAGCAACCAGGCAAACAGAUCUUCUAGGCUUGGUUUGUCCUUCAACGCAGACACAAGGUUAUCUUUUCUGAGAAAAUCCCAAAAGAAAUUGCGUCGCGAUCAUCACCAGCUAUAGCGCAUAUAACUUUGGGAAGUCCACCACACUUGUGCAAGAUUUGCAUUUUGUCCUCGGUCCCUUGUCUCUGAAGGUUAUAUCUCUGAGAAACAUAUUGUCCAAAUGAUAUAUAUAUAUAUAUAUAUAUAUAUGAAUAAAUUUAUUUAUUACCAAAAAAAGAUAACCAUAACGAUGGCAUAAAAAAGAGUGUAAAAUUUCUCUUAAAAAAAAACCAAAAACAUCCCGCCCUGAGAUAUUAUGCAGCUACCAUGCAAAUUUGGCAUGUAUAGAUUACUGCAUACUACAAGGUCAGUCUUGAAUUGGAUUUUGAAAAUAGACUAUUUGCUGGAUUAGGUACAUUUGUUAGUUACACCUUCCAAUAAAAAUGGACUAUUAAUUUGACGCAAUACAUUUAUGAGACAAACCUUUUUCAAGAUAAAUGCUAAAGUUAACUGUUGAAUCUAGCCGUGCCCUACAAAUGCACGGGCCACCCCACUUGUUAUUUCUAAAUGAUAUAAGUUUGAUGCUGACAUUGUGCGUUUUUGUUGAUGUCUAAGCACAUGGACAACAUUGUAAGUAAUAUGAUUUAAUUAGGAUAAAUAAGCUGUGAUGUGGUCUAAGACGAAGAGGGAACAUAUGUUGUUAUGACAAGUAUCAAGUCGUUCUCCAGAGUCCAAAAAGUAAAAUAUGACCUUCAUUCCUACCUUGAUCCCAAAUAUCAGCCUAUUUCAAUUAUGUAUAAGAAUUUAGGUGGUCUACCCAUCACUUAUUGUUGCAAACAGUAAGGUAGUUGGAAUGUCUAUUUCAUUCAAUAAGCACAACUAUAUAGGGGCAAAAUAGGAAAGGGUGGGGUCAAAUAGAGCUGCCACGAUGUUUGCUGCUGGACAUGUAAAUAUGGCAUAUAUAAGAUGCCAUGCAAGAACGUUUAGUCUACAUGACAGUGACUAAACGAAGAGAGAGAGCAAAACUAUCUCUUCACCAAGAAAUGGAUUUGGCACAUGAUAUGAUGACCAGCACAAUUGACAAUGUUAUAUAAACAAUGCUCUACCAUUGUAUAUCUCGUCUAUGUGUCAUCAUUAAUUAGUAUAUAAUUGUUGAGAAACGAUGACAUAAUAAAAAAAUCUCAUUAUAUGAGCUAUUUAUAUUACUGUCUUUAUGUGACAUGACAAAAACUUUUAGAUGGUUGUUGUCUAACGGUUGUACAUGCCCUAAUUGUUGAGGUAAUAGAUAUGCUAGAUGGACUUCUAUUGGGGAUAAUAUAGUUCUCCAUUUUUAUUAAAGAUUUUCUUGGUUUAGAAAGUGCUUGCAUGAAGCUAACUAAACAAGGAAUUUUGUGCAUAAGAUGUUAAAUCUAAUUCAAAGAUGGAACUCAUUGGUAUACUGAAGGAAUUAUUAGAAUUGCGGAAUGCUUAUUGCGAGUAAACGGACCUCUGCGAUGAGUUCAAAGGCGCUGUCAACUCCGAGACCUUUGACAUUCCACACAUUCUUGCUGUUUGUUGCGCAGUAUUGUGCGACACAUUCUUCAUUGGUAAUGACAAAUAUAUCCAAGCCGAAUUUUUUGGUUCCUAGUUUCAAGGCAGCUUCUAUCAUGUCCCAUUCUUCUGUAGAUUGCAGACCGUCGAUAACAAUUGUGCAUCCAAAUUGUUCAUGUAGAUAUUCACGGCACUCUUGAAUUAGGUCUUUCAUCGUUGACAUCUGGCGGUCAUGGAGAUAUCCAGGAUUCAAAUCCAAAAGUAAGCGCCAUGACAAGUCCAUCAAAUCGAAUGGAUGGGAUACAUUCACCCAACCGAACUUGAUAUAAGGAUCUUCAAUCCGCAUCUCGUAGCAGAGAUGUUUGACAAGAAAUGAUUUGCCAACACCAGACAUCCCCCACACAGAGGACACAGGCCCAGUACGACGAGACCUGCGCAUAGAGAAACAAAGUAAAUCCGCCUCUUGGCCAACAAGUGGAUGUUUGUCCAGCCAUUCACGAGCAGUUUCCCGCAAGUCCGCCACGGUUUGCUCAACUUUUCCGGGCGCAUCCUGCAAAGAAUUGGAAAGAGCAUUGUCAAUUGGGUUUAUUUAUUGUGUCAAAAUUACAUCCUUGUAGAAGACAACAUACAUGCUCCGAGUGAAGUAAAAUGCAUCCAACAAAGACAAACAUACACGCGUGCAGUAUUAUGCUUUAUUUGUAGCAUCCAUGCAGCAAAAGGUUAAGAAGCAUGAAUCAGUUUUAUAUCACCUGGGCAAAAUGAUCUGAGUAUUCAAUAACACACUUUGACUAUCAAUAUAUAUCAUAUAUUAUAAUACUCAUGACCAUAAAAUUGGCAUCAUAUGAAAGUGCUUUCAAAUUGGAAUGAUAUGAUAAAAGUUUGUACGGUAUAAAAUUUACAAAUCCUUGAUAAUCCAUUGAUACCAUGUUGUAUAGUUAGAAAAUUUGAAUGUUGGAUCUUCGAAACACCCAGUGUUCGAUAGGCACAUCCUUCUAGAUAAACCAUUCUUUACUUUAGAGGUCAAAUCAAAAUGUUGGAUAAUUCUGCGAUCCACAAAUUAAUCACCUAUGUACAACCAUGCCAUAUACUACACGAUGCUAACCGCAAUUUGUGGUUGCCUGAACACUUGCGUCUCAGUCCCACAGACCAUCCGUUGCUUCCACAGUUUAACCUAGAGUAAUCACCGCCAUCCGCAGCUUGUUCAGUACCCCUUUCAUAGUUUUUUCUUUUGCGGAAUUCAUAGUUCUUCCUCGUGAUCCUAUAAUUUAACUGUUUUGAAUUUCUCAACCCCUAUGCAUCAACUAUUUACAAACGCAAAAUGAUGAAAAAUAAUAAUGGCAUAAUUGGCAUGUAAACUAAGUUUUGUAGAAUUACAUUAUGAAGCACAAGUCAGGAAUGUGAUAACAGUCAAAUACGUGCAUUGCAGACCACGUUGAUGCAAAAAUGUAAUGGAAGUAGAAGAGCGAGUAUAUCAUUUUAUUGGAAAUAAUUGAGCAUACCUCCUCGACAAGGGCAUAGACAGAGUGAUGAGCCGAGAUUUUUUCAAGCUCCAAUAGUCGGUGUGGAUGCCUGACACAAAGGCUUGCAACUUCAAACUGAUGCGUGCUGACGAUGAUGCAGCUGCCGUUCUUGUUGUCUGGCAGGUAAGCCCUUACCGCCUCCCAGUCAUCCAUGGUGGUCACGUCUUCAAGGACAACAAGGUAAUUUUGACGGCACAUUUGCUUCAUGAAUUCGUUGAUCAGAACGCCUUCUGUGGCCACCGUCAUCUUCACAACAAAAUCUACGGUAGCGCUUUCUUGUGGACUAUAGCUUCUGCAAAAUUGGGCCACCAAGCGCCUGAUAAAUUCCCGGGCAUUGAAAGGAUGCAUCAGCUUCACCCAGGCGCGGCAUCUGAAGUUGGUGCAGAUUUGUGUGUCUUCAUAGGCCUUCUUGAUGACGGACGCCAUCCCAACUGUUCCUAACAACGAGAUCACUUGAAGGGCAUGGUCACCUUUCCCGCUGAUCAACUUGACGAGUGCCACAGGUGGCCAGAUGGGCUCCCUGGCGGCUUCCCUCGCUGUGGCGGAACGAGGGAGGAUGUUUGAUGCUGUUGCGCUGGCCGCACCCUGCUGAUGCGUCUGCUCGGCAGGCUUGGAGCCAGGGUUACCGGUGUGGUUGUAGCGCAGGUUCCGCUGACCCAUGGCCUCGACCCUAGCCUUGAGUAGCUCUAUACCAGCGACAGCGUUGUCCAAGGCCACGGCCGGCGCCGCCGCUGGUACCCAGGAGGGGAGCAUGCGGCGCCACCAGCUCGAUUUGUUGUCCAGGUAGAGAAUGGAGUCAAUGCAGUCCUCCACGUCCAGGGCCAUGUCGCGGACCUGCCUCACGCAAGUCGUCGUCAUAUCGUCCGCGACACGAUCCUUGGCAACGUUGAGGAAGGAAUGCAUCAUCUCGAACUCGUCCGAGACAAGCAUAAGGUCACGCUGAACGCUCUUCUGCAGCUGCUUCUCCUCCUCAAUAGCGGACUUGGCAAUAUUCACCGUCUCCUUGACCGCCGACUUCGCCAAACCCAGCACAAGGUCCGCCAUUGCACUCCCGUUCACUCUUCGAUCUGUGUGAGGGGAGGUGGGUGGGUGGGUGGGUGGUGUACAAGAUAGAACCUGGUGACGAUGCUUGCAAAUAUAUAUUAUGCUUCAAAAUCAUGCAUGACAUCGGCUGCAAGACAGAAAAUUUGCACAUUAUAAAACAAGAGUGUCGCAGUAAAAGAAGCCAGUUAGAUUCCCUAAUUAAAUUAACAGUGGGCUUUCCCUUAUGGUCUUAUUUUUAGGGCUAAAAGUUGCUUAUUUGGAGGAACUAACCUCAAUCCUACCUGUUUGGUUCCAUGAGCAAAACAACAUUUAAUAAGGUGAAGAAUGAUUUGUUUACCUCUAAUCAUUGCGACGCGUGGGGGGAGAGAGAGGAAUCAGAUAGGCAUUGAAUGAGAGCAAUGGGUGUCCAGUGCACCUUUUAGUCCAAAUAAGCAACCCAAAAUUACCUUAUGGACUAAACUUUAAAAGCUAAACUUUAACUUAAAUAAGCAAGGAUGUUCGGCUCUUUAUUUGGUACUAUAAAAGGGACUAAAAUUUAAUCUCUAAAGUUUAGCAAGGGUACAGCCCCUUAAUCUUCGCCGGCCAAGCACUUAAAUUAAGCUAGGUCAGACAGCUGAUGCAUCGAACGCAGCAGCAGUGAAAAACAAAUAAAGGCCAGUGUGCUCUGUAAGAAAUAUAAACCAAUAAAAUACAUCUUGGCAGAAUGGGGUCAAGUGGGUCUAUAGUCUAUUCUUGUGGCAGUAAGCUGAUCCUUUAUAAUACCGCUGGAUCGGAUCUCGAUCUCCUUGAUUAGCGCUCCACUAGCCCACUAAUGCUUGUCUCGUACUCCAACCACCGAUACCCAGCCCAAAAACUAUGCAUCGGGGAUUCACUUAACUUUUUAUUAUUUCGAGGUCUAAUUAAUAACACUGUUUGGAUUACGUAUGGGUUGCCUGCUGCUGGUAAAUACAUCUAUUUAUCUUUCAGCAAAAGCAUGCCUGCUGGGAAAUAUUAGUUCUGAAAUCUGAGCGCAUACCAGCUGUCAGUUAACAUAUUGUCUGUCAGCAAAUCCCUGCCAGAGCUUACGAUAAGUGGUCCGUCAGCAGACGUCAUCCCCCAACGGAUAAAGUACCCCAUAUUGCCUUCUUCAAGUUUCAUGAUGAAUGCAAUUCUCACACCUUGAAAUUUUUGGAUCUCACGAGGUGAUUAGGAGGAAUAAUUAAACAAUCAUUUUCUCGUAAUUUUAAAAUUUUUCAACAUUUGUUUCUUGACAGAAAAUUUAGUGUAGGAAUAUAAUUGGUUGUGUUUCCUAAACUAAAUGAGGUUGUUCUAUGUGUGUGCAUUCAUGCCCAUGCAUCUUGGUGUUUAUUGAGUGCAAAGGUUUUAAAAUGCCUCUAGACGACGACAAGGUUCUUCUGAGAAUUUACCAGUUUUUUCUGGAAAUUAUUCUCAUUUUCCUAGAGCUAAAUUCUUUUCACGAGCUUCAGUUAUUUUAUUUAGACUCCUCGUGUCCCAAACUAUCUCUAGGAAUUUUUCUGGAAUUUUUAGGAUUUUCAGAGUAUUUUUUGUGGGUUUUAUUGAAUUAUCUGGAUUUUCCUUUAUACGGGAAAUUACUUCUGAAAAGAAAAAGAAAAGAAAACCUCAACCUACCCUUUUGGGUUAAGCCCGCACCCACAAGCUCUACCAUGGCCCAACUCUCCUUCCCACCCUCGGGCCUCAUUGGCUCAGCCCAGUCCAGGCCCGACCAGCCCAGCCAGGCCCAACCGGGACCAUCUGCUCUACAGCUCUCUCCCAAGCUGCACAGGCAAGCAACGCCACCACCAAACCUUUUUGGUGUGUGUGCCACGCCAGGCGCAACCACCGGCGCCCUAUCAAUAGCGAAGCCCGACCCCCGCACGCCACUGCCAUCCUCGCAAGCCACCCUGCCUCGCCUGUGCUGCACCGCCGCCUUGCAAGCCCGCCAGCCGAGUCGGGCACCGCCACCGACUUUCCACUCGAUUCACCAGCUCCGCUGCCCGCCGGACGAAGCCGGCCCCUUCUAGAGCUUCGGGACGUCGUACAACGGUAGAAGCACCAUCGGUGUAGCCUGGGAGGAUGAGCCACAGCGACGGCUGCGUUCUCUCACCGUAUUAACUCACGUACACGUAAGAUGAACUAGCUUUGCUGGCGGUAUACAGACGCCCUCGCAACCACCGUGUACGUGCCCUAAUCUGUCCUGAAAAUUCUAGAAUGCCUUAUAUUAGGAUAGAGGGACAGAGGUGGUACUCUUCAAAUAUCUAGCCCAAAAACCAUGUCAAGAACUUACAACAUGCCUAUAAAUACCCGACUCAAUUCAUUGCAUGCUGCGACACUCCUACCUUUUGCCUUUUUCUUAACAAAUCCUUGCAAUGUAAAUAUAAAUCAUAAGCAAAUCAAAUCAAUCGAAAUUUUUUAUAUAUCGUUUCUUUGUAAAUAGCCACACCAAGAACAAUGUCUUGUAGUCUGAACAGACGAAAAUGGUGGAUGCCUUGGCUUGCUCAGGUGGCUUCUCAAACUUGUAGUCUUAAUUGAUGAAAAUGGUAAUUGCUUUGACUUGCUCGGGUGUUUUUUUGAGCCCUGGCAACCUGCCAAUUGCCUCACCAAACAAGUUGAUAGCUAGAGUUGCCCAAGCUCAAAAAGAUUAUUGUUCUUUUCUCCUUCAAUAAUGAUUUUGCUCCCAUGUUUUGUGAAGCGCUUUCCACGAUUGUUUUCACAACAUGUUCCAUACUUAUAGCUCAAUGCAAUGCAAAAGCAUCCACAUAUUCCAAUAUUAAUUCACUGGUAUGUGGAAUAUCCAACACCUUCUUGGAUUCUAAAAAUUUUGUGCCCAAGUAUCAAUAUCAGGUGCAACAUUUUCGUGUCAGUUUACCUGUCCGCAUUGCUUCACAUAUCCGUACCUUGUCAAGAAAGGUCUAUUUUCCUGACAGAGAUUUCAUUACCGUCAGUGCAAUGUGACCUUCCACAAUAGCCUGUUGCCGCUUGGUGUCCAUUGUGCUGCCACGGACGGAGUGAUCCCUUUUACAGUUUCUUUCUUUUGUUUUCUGUGGAGGACUUGAGAAGAGUCCGGUUUUCUAGAGAAUACUUUGUGCAAAUGAACAGAAGUAAUGUUCCUCCCUUCUAUACGAAGUUCACGUUAGGUGAGUACUCGAUCAUGUUAUUAAUUUAAUACUAGAUACUCCUCGCUCCAUAUGGUUGCGUGAGUCCGCGAAACUUGCUGACAUUGGCUUCUAGAGCGAGGAAAUAUGUUAACAGGAAUGAGAAUAUAUAACAAGCAGCUCGUACAACUAAGUGCGCGCCUUAUCACCUAAUCACCUAGCCAAGCAUCUAAUCACGUGGGGUACCUUUUUUUAUUUGUCUCCUCUUUGAGUAUCCUAUGCUUGACUUGAACCUAGUCUUGCGUAACCAAUCCAUCUUCUCCCGGGUUACUUUACAAGUUUUGAACUGAAUCAACAUAAGGGGCCUCUCAUAUCAGAACCUCGCUUUGCUCCCUUUCGUUGUGUUCUCCCAGCUAGGAUCCCUCAACUGUUUUUCUCGGCCCCGAGGUUAGUACCUUUAAUCAAGAAGCUGGUGUUUUUUCUGUUCCACAAACAGUUAAACAUAUCUAUGUAUAUUUUGUAAUUAUGUCUAGUUGUAAUACAACUGUUUUGUUUGGAUAAAAGAUCUAGUUGUAACGAUAUGAGUUGUAGCAGCUUAAAUCUAUAUCUAAAAUCAUCAGAAAUGGACACUGGUUCGAGCACGCCAAGCCUGCUGAGUACAGUGCCGAAGGAUCUAUCAGCAGCAUUCCUGCGUGAUAUUACGGAUGGUUUUUCCACUGACAGAGAAAUAGGACAAGGGGCGUUUGGAACAGUUUAUAAGGUAUGUUUACGACCUUUUCUGCGUUUUUCAGAAACUGGUAGGCAUGCCAAUAUAUAGUAUAUGGACGGUUAAACAGGGAAUCCUCCCAGAAGGGGAUUGUAUUGCUGUGAAGAAGCUUGUGGAUGAGGACAUAUAUGACAAACAAUUUCAAAAUGAGAUUACGCAUCUUAUGAAUGUCUGUCAUGAAAAUAUUGUGAGGAUAGUUGGCUUCUGCCAAGAACGUGAAAAGAAAGUUGUGGAGCAUAAUCGAAGAUAUAUUAUUGUAGACUCAGUUGAAAGAUUUAUCUGCUAUGAGUAUUUACCAAAUGGGAGCAUUGAUAAGUGUAUAUUUGGUACGGUAAUUUUUUAUCUUUUCUUUCUUUCUUCACUCAUACUUUUUAAUUUGGAGUGUGGAUAUCAAUUGUUAUAUAUUACUUCAGUUUCCUGCACUAAAAUAUUAUUCUCUCCAUCCCAAAUUACUAUUGCUUUUGUUUUUUCUAGAUAUAUAGUUUUUAUAUGCACCUAGAUAUAUAUUAUCUCUAGGUACAUAGAAAAUGUUAUGUAUCUAGAAAAGUCAAAAUGAAUAGUAAUUUGGGACGGAGGGAGUAUGAUGGAACUGAUUAUGGUUCAGGCUAUGAACAUACGCUUUCUAGUCACUAUGUUAUGAAAAUUGAUGUUUUGGAGGUCCUUAUACCAGAUUACUCAUAGAGGAUCUAUCCUUUUUUCUUUCUUCAGAUGAUACACUUAAUUGGGCUACACGCUUCAAAAUUAUUAAGGGGAUCUGCCAAGGUUUACAUUUCCUACAUGAGGGAAUGGAAACACCUACAAUUCAUAUGUCUCUUCAGCCUGCCAAUGUAUUGUUGGAUGAUAGAAAGGUGCCUAAAAUUACAGAUUUUGGUUCGUCGAGAGUCUUUGGUCGUGCUGAUAAAUCAAUGAUGAUCACACAAAACCCUGUGGGAGUAAUGUAAGUUUAAUUCAGAUAGUGCAAUAAGAGUACUUUCCCAUCAAGUAACAAUGCUUACGAAACUCUUGUUGGUAAUGUCAUUCAGUGGAUACAUGGCUCCAGAAUAUCUUUAUAGAGGUGAAAUCUCAACCCAAGCAGACAUAUAUAGCCUAGGCUUAAUGAUAAUCGAGAUCACAACUAGGAAGAAGAAUUAUUCAGACGAUCGAGACAAGUCUGCCCAGAGAUUUAUUGAUGAAGUAAGGCAGUGUUGAUGAUUAGUUGAUUACAAAAUAAUUUUCAUAGAAGCAUGUGUUACAUUUAUUUCGUGUAUCCGUUUUUACAAAAGAUAUAUUUUUAUUUUUAUUUCGUGGUUUAUUAGUGAGUAUUAUGAGUUGAGUUAUGUAGGUGCGCCAGACAUGGACGGAUGAUGUGUACAUUUUAUCCAAAUACUCCCAAUUGGAUGCAGGCUUACUGCAAGAAGUAAAGGCAUGCAUUCAAACUGGGCUUAAGUGUGUGGAUAUUGAUCGCAAGAGAAGACCUUCCAUAUCUGAAAUUGUUAGACUGCUCAAUGCUGCAUGGUAAACGGUGGACGAGGUAUGACUAGGAAUAGCAUACAUUCCCUCUGGUCUUUGCACAUACUUACCAAAUUUUACUUUGCACAUAUAUAUUUAAAGUCCUUAAUAUUUAUGGGAUUUUGCAAGUGUUGCUCAAUACAAUUCCACAAAUACAACUUGCAUGCUUUCAAACUUAAUAAUGUAAAAGUUAUUGAUGUUUUUAAUUUUUAAUCUUUGACAAAACCUUGUCCUAAACAACAUGUUUUUUAUGACUGGAGUUACGGGGUGUUUGGAUACGAGGUGUUAAACUUUAACAGUGUCACAUCGGAUGUUCGGAUACUAAUUAAGAGAACUAAACAUGAGCUAAUUAUAAAACUAAUUGCAGAACCCUGUGCUAAUUCGCGAGACGAAUCUAUUAAGCCUAAUUAAUCCAUCAUUAGCAAAUGGUUACUGUAGCACCACAUUAUCAAAUCAUGGACUAAUUAGGCUUAAUAGAUUCAUCUCGCGAAUUACACUCUAUCUGUGCAAUUAGUUUUGUAAUUAGCCUAUAUUUAAUACUCCUAAUUAGCAUCUAAACAUCCGAUGUGACGGGUGUUAAACUUUAACACCUGGUUCCAAAUAGGCCCUUAGUAUAUGAUCACUAAUAGUUUUCUUAGUUUUUUGAGAGGAGAGGAGUUUUCAUAGUUUUACAUGCAACAACUACAUAUGAUCACUAUUAGUGGAAUCUUGUACUUCUAUAUAUGGCAAACUGAUCAGGUGAUCUUAACAUGCUAUCUCAAACUACAGGUCUACAUAUAUACCGUGUUCGCAUCAUGAAUAAAAGUUGUCAUUGUGGAGAAGACAUGGCCAAGAUGAAAUAAAGCAUGCUCUAUUAUUUCUAGAAGACCUGAACUUUUCUAUCACAACUAAGAUUCCUUUGAUGUAAUUUCAUUGUGGAAGCUACAUUUACUCCUCUUUUGGAGAUUGACACUCCAAAAGUGAUUUUCGAAGACACCCCAUUUACGGCACAGGUGGUCCACAAGGGAAUACGCUAGGGUCCUCAGUCAUGGAAAGCCUAUAGAAAUGAGUUUCCAGAGAAUGUUGGUUCAGCCGAUCAUGUCUGAAAAAGGUUGCUGACUUAAGUGACUGCGUUAGGAAAUCCCCAUUACUAGACGUAGACACUUAAGCUGAUGGACUAGAAAUUGAUUUCAAGAGAUGGUUCCUCAAUUUGGGCUGCCUCUAGAAACUGUUUUCCACAAGAGGCAAAAGAAAAGGUCAUCCCAUUUCCGUUAUCAAUAGGUUUGUGGUGGGAUGGCAAGGGGGGAUGUUGUUGUGGGUUUAAAGGUUGACACCCCCCCCCACACACACACACACAUUUCACGCAAAAAAUUGCAUGUGUGGUGCAGCUCAAUGGUUUUUACAAAUCUUUUUGUAGUUUUUCCAUGCCCAAUGUUAUCGUAGACAGACCGACAUAACCAAUGUCAUGUGGAAAUGCAUUUUUAGAGGUAAUUAAUUCCAGAGGUAGUGAACUUAGGGAACUUCCUCUAAAAAUGUCUUUUCUUAAUACGAUUGAUUGUCCACCUAUGAAAAUGCACCAUUUCCAUAUGCGAUGUCACACCUGGUUUUAAAAAUAAAUCAAAUGUACACCAUAUGUGUGCCAGGAUCAAGUUUCAAACAUACAACAAGCCAAUAGUGAAUAACAGAUACAGUAUCAUGUACUAACGAGUUCAACUAAUACAAAGUGACAUAAAUCUCUAAACAAAAUAAACAUACAAACGUCUCCUAGCAGCGGAUUACCAUUCUCCAUAGGCAUUCAACUGGGGGAACAUACGCCUAGCACUUAUGGAAAUCUUCUAAUACUAACAUCCUCUUGUUCUGAGCAGCAUUCAUUGUGUGGUACAAAUAUAUGUAGGAAAUAGCAAGUGUGAGUACAUGCCGUACUCCCACUACUACAGAAGAGGCCAUCACCGCUGGGCUAUCACCACCAGUUAUAGAUGAAUCAUUUGUGAUGCCUUUUCACUGUCGGUUUUGGAGCAAAUGGGGGCAGCAGCCUUUACAACCGGCGGUGGUGCUCGUUUUCAUUGCCGGUUCCUUAUUGAGCCGCUAGUUUCAAGCAAGAGCCAGCAGCGAUACUCGAUGCGAACCUGAAAUUUUUCUUCAACCCAAUUUAGAAAACGACUUUGCGUCCACUUGCCUCCCUCUCCCCACUCCUCCCCUCCCCCACCCUCUCUCCACCCCCUCCCUCUCUCCCUCUCACCCCAGCCCUCUAUCCCACUCUCCGCGGGCCCCCUCCCUCCCUUCCUCUCCCGCCGGCCCUCCCCUUCUCUCCCUCUCCGUUCGCCGCCCCUCCGCUUGCUUCCGCACCCCCCCCUUUCCCCCUCCACUCGCUACCCCCUCGGCCUGGCAUAGAGGAGCGCUGGCAGCGUGCAGGGAUCCGCAGCGGCAUGGCAGGAUCCGCGGCUGGCAGUAGGGAUCCACAAUGCAGCGAGGCUCCAGUGACAUCAAGAUGUGCGGGGUAAGCAGCGGCAGUGACAAGGCCGGGUCAACGGUGGCGGCUGCAGCGUGAGUAGCAGCAGCGAUGCUACCUAGGGGCCCACGGUGGGCGCGGUGCGAUGGCGGUGGGGACGCCAGGUAUAUUUCUUCUUUUUUUUGUGAUGUGCAUCACCGUCAGUUCCUGGUUUAGCGGUGAUAGGGACUCCUAUCACCGCCGACCUAAUAAUGUCCUCACUCAAAAUGAGGGUUGCCUAUAUCAUAUUGAGAUAUGAGAUACAUCCCCCUAAUGCUGUUCUAUGGACAUUCUUGAGGCACUGACUCUGGAGCCAAAAAAAAGGUUUAGUCAACGAGCACAAAAGUUUCAUACUAGAACCACUAGACCUAUGCUAGUCAAUUCACUGUGCUAAGGGCACAUGCAAGAGCUACAACCACCCUAUGCCCAUUGAUCACAAUUAAUUUGAAAGGAUGUUUAUGGAUGCUUUUGUUUACCAUAAGUGUAAUAAAUCUUGUAGUCAUUUUCGGCACAAGUCUUGCAGCUAGCCAAUAUAAUCCAAGUUUUUGGUACCCUAUAAUCCAAGAUAAGAUAUAAUCUCCUACUGUUUUCAAAUCUCAGAAUCUUUUGCAGUAAUCUCCUACUGUUUUCAAAAAGUGGUAUGUCAAUCGUAACAGGAUUAGACAGAGGGAAGUACCGAAUGGUUGCUUGCAGAUGAGGUGAUUCUAACUUUAGACUUUGCAUGUAGACGGCGUGGAGGAUAUGAAUAGUUGCAUGCAGAUGAGAUGGUGCUGACAUUAGCCUUUGCAUGUAGAUGGCGUGGACGAUUUGAGGUAAAUGACACAAGAACACACACCAUAUAUAUAGUGGCAUUGUUGGACCUUGUUUAGUUACCCCAAAAUCCCAACUUUGGCACUAUGCAAAAAUAAGAUUCCCCAUCACAUCAAACUUGCGGUACAUGCAUGGAGUACUAAAUGUAGACGAAAUAAAAAACUAAUUGCACAGUUUUGUUGUACUUUGCGAGACGAAUCUUUUGAGCCUAAUUAGUCAAUAUUUGGACAAUAAUUCAUAAAUACAAACGAAACACUACAGUAUGCUACAGUGCUGGCACAGUGAUUUUGGUUGUCCAAAAUUGGGCAACUAAACAGGGCCUCGUUCUCUUCUCAUUAAUUGUUAAUAGAAGUUACUACAUGUACCUAGAACUCCUAAACUAGGUGUCCUAUCAUAUGAUUUGCAAUUAAUUCCAUUAAGCUUGAAGCAGGUGGAAAGGGCACUUGCAUCGAUAGGAGGCGCACGUGCACAGAGAGUCUGUUAUGUCUUUUAUCUUUUAAUGAAACUAGGUGGCGUUGGGGCUGCUGGCCUUUCCUCGCUGUUUAGCAUCCUGAGAACAUCCGGCAUGGUUGGCCGCUCCCUUGGAUUGUCUUGGGUGCACAACAGUCCGAUAUGUAUUCUUCUUUCCACUUCCUGUAGCUGUGACUCUCCACAAGAUGCAGAGUCAAAUAAAUCCUUCAGACUCUGAGCUUCCCGUACCUCCCAAGCCUGUGAAAAAGGUGUCAGUGUGUAUAACAAGGCAACAAGUAAAACCCAUUGUGUAACUGAAGUUCUUCAUGUGGUCAGCUAAGUUGCCAUUUUCUUCAGAUCCGUCUAACCAAUUUUGAUUAACGUGUUGGAUCAUUAACACACUAUUGCUUCUUGACUGCAUCAUUUUGGUCGAGAUUGGUCACUGACUAGUCCUAAGAUGAACAUCCACAAAUUCAAACAAUGAUGACCUAUAUGCUACGUUAUUGAGACUGCUAUUUCUUUGAUAAUCUUAUACUUGUCUGUAUUGAAAGAUCAUGUUGAUGUUUGGUGUAGUAAAAUUUGGAAAGGUAAGAGAACUUUUGAGAUUAUACGAGGCUACUACCCAAAGUAUGAGGUGGCACCCAAAUAGAACGACAUAUCCUUAAAAGGAACAACAUGACAUGAAGAGAUGAGCAAUUAUAAACCAAUCCAGUUUUUUAUGCUCAGAAAUUAUUGCUAGCGCUGACAGCGAGCAAGAUGCAGAAUUACCAAAUAAAGUAUGACCUACAAAAGGAUUCCUCUUUUUUUUGUGUCACAGCUGAUUACACUUUUUUCCCUUGUUGAAAAAAGUGGACAGUUUAAGGCCAAUAUCUCCACCGAAGUAUGGAUAUCAGAAUAGAUCGAAUAAUGAUGAAUGCAAAAAAGAGAAAACCUUUAUCUGAACAAGUUCCUUGUGAAGAUACCCAACCAAUGCCUGCCUAUAAAUGUUUUACGUACCCACUCAAUUGAAUGUUGGAGAAGUCCAGACCUGCUCAUUCCUCUAAUGGUAGAUAAGACUAAGAGGCCAAAACUGUAGACAUCAUUCUUGGCUGAGAUGACACCUUGAGCAAUAUAUUCUGGAGCCAUAUAUCCCCUAAAUGGUGAAAAAAUAAAUAAAUGGGUCAGCAGAAGGGGGGAAGCGACAAGAAGCUUGAUCGUGCAUGUCAUGGCAACAAAAAUACAGUAUAUAUGGAAAGUCGUCCUACAGGGUGCCUGCUAACUCUUCCGUGACUUCUUGAGUCACCUCUUGAUCAAAUAUUUUGCACAUUUCAAAAUCACAGAUUUUAGGGUUCAUAUUAGAGUCAAACAGGAUGUUUUCUGGCUUCAAAUCCAUAUGGAUAAUGUUUUUCCAGUGCAGAUGAGCUAUGCCUUGUGCCAUCCCUUGAAUUAUUUGGAAUAUGAUAGACCAAUCCAUCUGCGGACACUGUCCUGGAAAAUUAAAAAAUCAAACAUCCUAUAGAGUUAACAUUGUUAAGCUAAAUUUUGCUCCAAAUGAUAACUGGAGUCAUUCUUUAAGUGGAAACAUGCCUUCGAUAAUGUCGGACAAGUUUCCAUUCGGGGUGUACUCUUCGACCACUAUCAUACUAGUUAUUUCAGCCUCCACAUAGCGGCCCUUGUAUAGCAUCUUCUCGUAUGUGGUUUCCUGGCAAUAUCCGAGAAAGCAAACUAUAUUUUGGUGCUGACCCAGCAAUGCAAAGACAUUCACAUAAUGAUCUACAUCUCUUCGUAAGUGCCGAGCUGCACAAAAUCUCUUUAUGGCAACCAAUACGUCAGAUAUUACACCCUGGAUCAUAGGCAGCAAUUUUAAUCACGAAUGCAGUUAACGUGAUAUUAUAAUUUGAAUGCCUCAAACAUAAUUAAAAUACCAAGCAUAUGGAGUACCUUGUACACAGUAGCACUGCCACCUCUCCCAAUCAGGUUGUGUUCCGAGAAGUUAUUUGUAGCGGCCUUCAUCUCAGAUAAACUGAACAUUCUAAAUCCUGUCAUAAAAACAGGUACACAUACAGGCAUAAAUGAUGUUCUGCAAACACACACCAGCAAGAUCACUAUCACUAGUGAAUAAUAAAUAGCUCGAAUUCAAGAUCAAAGAGGCCGGUAAACAAAUAUGUGAUCUUACCUGAUUGGUUGAGAAAGUGCUCCAUACAGGCUGGAUCACUUUUUCUCUCACCAUCAGCUCCAAAUCUGUCAUCGUACAUUCGAUAAGCAAAAUGAGUGCCCUCCGAUCGAUGUAAUAAUACUGAAUGGAGGUAGACCAAUGGUGGUAGCAUAAUGGUAAGGUUUUAGAUGCUUCCUCCAUCCCAAUUGUAAAUCGUUUUGGCAUUUCACCUAGAAAUGCCAAAACGAUUUACAAUUUGCGACAAAGAGAGUAGUUUACCAGGGCUUUUAUGGAAAUAAAAGCUAAAAUUGCGCAAGUGCAUACUUUGAUGGUAUACAGACUUGCCAAGGGAAUUACAGUUUUUCGUAAUGGUGAUUAAUUUCUAUGUUGAACUCACUAAGUAUUACAACAUAUAAUUUACUAUGCUACAAUUGGAAUGGCACACUGUAAAUAUCAGACCUAGUAUCAUUGUUUGACGCACUGCUAGACGAGCUCUCCACUGCCCCUAGAUGGCCAGCAUCCUGAAAUAGAAAACCAAAUCCCUCAAGGUAUUAUUGAUGAAAUUUUUAUCCUAUCUUAUUAGUUGAAAUGGAAGAGCUAGGAAGUACCAAUUGAAUGAUACCCCUGAAAUAAAGAAACUAUCUAAAGGUUGCUGCGAAACAAAAGAAACUGUCCGUAUAUUGAUCUUGACGAGGUGAGGUGGGACACUUAAAUCUGUUAAUGCCGGACCCAACACCUGGGUCAACCGUGCUUGCGGUAGAGGCAUACAUUCUACAAAUAUGAUACGUACAGGUUGCAUCUGUCCAAUUUUUAUUCUUAACAAAAUGAGUCUAUCAACCCAAAGCUAAUGAAAAACAUGGAGAAGUUUCUCUAAAAUGGUGGAUAGAAUCGUAAGGAACAUUAUAUAUGGAAGUGACAAAAUUAAAAAUACGCUGUAAAGAUGUAGUACCUGUGUAAUCCAGUUUGCGGCCGCAAUUUGGUCCAUGAUAACCUGGUUUACCUGGCGCAACUCUUUGGUCAGGUAUCCAGUUGCACCCAGGUGAAUGUUGCGCGUCGACUGGCAGGCCCUGACAAGCUUCAGCGCCCGAUACAGGGUCUCCUCGAGGUUCUCAAGCGCCUGGAUCAUCGCCUGGUCCUUCACCAUCUCCAAAUUCUCCAUCUUUGACAGGAUAGCACUUAAUCUGCUUACGCGCCUUCCGAUCUCAUAACAAUCAGCCUUAUUCUUUCGAACGGUGUCGACCGCCUCCUUGAUCUGGAGCGCAACCUCGACAAUGUUCCUCACCCUGCCCAAUGCAUCGGACAUCCUCUCUCUAGGGGAUUAUAAUCUGCAGAUCGAAAGGAUAAGGGAGUCGUAUCGAAUCAGACGAACAAGCCUGAUGAACCAACUGGAACAAACAAAAAAAGCUCUUCGAUUUUCUUUCUCAAAGCAAUCAAAGCAAAUAAAGAAGCAAGCAUAAACCUGGCGUCUUCGGCCCUCCUUUACUAGCUGCGUCAGGGAUCUCUUCCUCCAAGCUAUGGUACGCCCGGAGCAUCCGGUGUUCGCCGGGAAUCAAGUCUGCUCGAUGGGCAAGCUUAUCUGAUAGGGACAUAAACAAUUCCGUGAAAAACAAAUAAAGGCCAGUGUGCUCUGUAAGAAAUAUAAACCAAUAAAAUACAUCUUGGCAGAAUGGGGUCAAGUGGGUCUAUAGUCUAUUCUUGUGGCAGCAAGCUGAUCCUUUAUAAUAACGCUGGAUCGGAUCUCGAUCUCCUUGAAUAGCGCUCCACUAACCCACUAAUGCUUGUCUCGUACUCCACCCACCGAUACCCAGCCCAAAAACUAUGCAUCGGGGAUUGACUUAACUUUUUGUUAUUUCGAGGUCUAAUUGAUAACACUGUUUGAAUUACGUAUGGGUUGCCUGCUGCUGGUAAAUACAUCUAUUUAUCCGUCAGCAAAAACAUGCCUGCUGGGAAAUAUUAGUUCUGACUUCUGAGCGCAUACCAGCUGUCAGUUAACAUAUUGUCUGUCAGCAAAUCCCUGCCAGGGCUUACGAUAAGUGGUCUGUCAGAAGACGUCAUCCCCCAACGGGUACAGUACGGCAUAUUACCUUCUUUGUGUUUCAUGAUGAAUGCACGGUUGUCACACCUUGAAAUUUUUGGAUCUCACGAUGUGAUUAGGAAGAAUAAUUAAACAAUGAUUUUUCUCAUAAUUUUAAAAUUUGCCAACAUUUGUUUUCUUGAUAGGAAAUUUAGUGUAGGAAAAUAAUUGGUUGUUUUUCCUAAACUAAAUGAGCUUGUUCUAUGUGUGUGCAUUCAUGCCCAUGCAUCUUGGUGUUUAUUGAGUGCAAAGGUUUUAAAAAUAUCUUUAGACGACGACCAGGUUCUUCUGAGAAUUUACCAAUUUUUUCUGGAAAUUAUUCUCAUUUUCCUAGAGCUAAAUCCUUUUCCCAAGCUCCAGUAAUUUUAUUUAGACUCCUCGUGUCCCAAACUAUCUCUAGGAAUUUUCCUGGAAUUUUUAGGAUUUUCAGAGUAUUUUUUGUGGGUUUUAUUGAAUUAUCUGGAUUUUUCUUUAUACGGGAAAUUACUUCUGAAAAUAAAAAGAAAAGAAAACCUCAACCUACCCUUUUGGGCUAAGCCCGCACCCAAAAGCUCUACCAUAGCCCAACUCUCCUUCCCUCCCUCGAGCCUCGCUAGCUCAGCCCAGUCCAGGCCCGACCAGCCAAGCCAGGCCCGAUUGGGACCAUAUGCUCUGCAGCUCUCUCCCAAGCUGCACAGGCAGGCAACGCCACCGCCACGCCCUUUUGGUGUGCGUGCCACGCCAGGCGCAGCCACCCGCGCCCUAUCAAUAGCGAAGCCCGACCCCCGCACGCCCCUGCCAUCCUCGCAAGCCACCCUGCCUCGCCUGUGCUGCGCCGCCACCUUGCAAACCCGCCAGCCGAGUCGGGCGCCGCCGCCAACUUUCCACUCGAUUCACCAGCUCCGCUGCCCGCCGGAUGAAACCGGCCCCUUCUAGAGCUUCGGGACGUCGUACAACGGUAGAAGCACCAUCGGUGUAGCCUGGGAGGAUGAGCCACAGCGACGGCUGCGUUCUCUCACCGUAUUAACUCACGUACACGUAAGAUGAACUAGCUUUGCUGGCGGUAUACAGACGCCCUCGCAACCACCGUGUACGUGCCCUAAUCUGUCCUGAAAAUUCUAGAAUGCCUUAUAUUAGGAUAGAGGGACAGAGGUGGUACUCUUCAAAUAUCUAGCCCAAAAACCAUGUCAAGAACUUACAACAUGCCUAUAAAUACCCGACUCAAUUCAUUGCAUGCUGCGACACUCCUACCUUUUGCCUUUUUCUUAACAAAUCCUUGCAAUGUAAAUAUAAAUCAUAAGCAAAUCAAAUCAAUCGAAAUUUUUUAUAUAUCGUUUCUUUGUAAAUAGCCACACCAAGAACAAUGUCUUGUAGUCUGAACAGACGAAAAUGGUGGAUGCCUUGGCUUGCUCAGGUGGCUUCUCAAACUUGUAGUCUUAAUUGAUGAAAAUGGUAAUUGCUUUGACUUGCUCGGGUGUUUUUUUGAGCCCUGGCAACCUGCCAAUUGCCUCACCAAACAAGUUGAUAGCUAGAGUUGCCCAAGCUCAAAAAGAUUAUUGUUCUUUUCUCCUUCAAUAAUGAUUUUGCUCCCAUGUUUUGUGAAGCGCUUUCCACGAUUGUUUUCACAACAUGUUCCAUACUUAUAGCUCAAUGCAAUGCAAAAGCAUCCACAUAUUCCAAUAUUAAUUCACUGGUAUGUGGAAUAUCCAACACCUUCUUGGAUUCUAAAAAUUUUGUGCCCAAGUAUCAAUAUCAGGUGCAACAUUUUCGUGUCAGUUUACCUGUCCGCAUUGCUUCACAUAUCCGUACCUUGUCAAGAAAGGUCUAUUUUCCUGACAGAGAUUUCAUUACCGUCAGUGCAAUGUGACCUUCCACAAUAGCCUGUUGCCGCUUGGUGUCCAUUGUGCUGCCACGGACGGAGUGAUCCCUUUUACAGUUUCUUUCUUUUGUUUUCUGUGGAGGACUUGAGAAGAGUCCGGUUUUCUAGAGAAUACUUUGUGCAAAUGAACAGAAGUAACGUUCCUCCCUUCUAUACGAAGUUCACGUUAGGUGAGUACUCGAUCAUGUUAUUAAUUUAAUACUAGAUACUCCUCGCUCCAUAUGGUUGCGUGAGUCCGCGAAACUUGCUGACAUUGGCUUCUAGAGCGAGGAAAUAUGUUAACAAGAAUGAGAAUAUAUAACAAGCAGCUCGUACAACUAAGUGCGCGCCUUAUCACCUAAUCACCUAGCCAAGCAUCUAAUCACGUGGGGCACCUUUUUUUAUUUGUCUCCUCUUUGAGUAUCCUAUGCUUGACUUGAACCUAGUCUUGCGUAACCAAUCCAUCUUCUCCCGGGUUACUUUACAAGUUUUGAACUGAAUCAACACAGGAAUUUUCGUGGAAUUUUUAGGAUUUUUUGAGUAUAUUCCGUGGCUUUAAUUGAAUUAUCUGGAUUUUUCUUUAUACAGGAAAUUACUUCUGAAAAUAAAAAAAAGAAAACCUAAACCUAACCUUUUGGGCCGAGCCCGCACCCGCGAGCCCAACCAUGGCCCAGCUCUCCUUCCCUCCCUCUAGCCUCGCUGGCUUUCCGCUCGAUUCACCGGCUCCGCUGCCCGCCGGACGAAACCGGCCCCUUCUGGAGCUUCGGGACGUCGCCCCGCACACCCGCCGCUACACCCUGUCGUCGUUUGGCCGCCGGAGGAGCCCCGCCCUGUGGAGCCCGAACUAGCCGCCGCCUCCACAGUCCGCCAUCGAUUCCGGCCGGUGCCGUCGUCCUCUACCGUCGGUGAGCACGCCCCCGUGACCCUCUCGACCUCCUCUAUCUCCUUCGCCACCCACCUAAGCCCCUACCUCUCAACCACCGGCGAUUUCAUCUCCCAGUGCGCCGUCCGCCAUGGCCAAAAGCUCCUCGAGCUUUUCCGUGGAGGCCCCUGAAGAAAUCUAUAAUUAUUCCAAGAUCUCUGUGUCUUGGAUCUUUUUUGAAAAGCCCCCUAGAUCUAUUAGGUUCCUUCAACCGAGCCCAAGCCGUGAUCUAUUUCAGAUCGAACCCUGCUCUUUAUCGUAUUCACGGGCACUAUGUGUCUCGGGAAUCUUCCUCGCUAGCCCUUGUUCUCUAGGGUUAAUCGCGAUUAGACCCCUGCAGCUUGAUUAGCUCGUAGAUCUUAUGUUUCAACUCCGUUUAACCUCUUUCUUGUUGCGUUAGAUUCAUAUCAAUUUAAAUUACGCAUUAGAAGCAAUGUUAAUCAUUUUAUCUAUUUUAUAAUUUACUUCAAAUAUUAAUAUGAUUAAGUACUUACAUACUUGUUUUUCUAAUUAAAAUACAAUAGAGUUUAACCCCGUGUUUUCAUGCUAAUGUUAAUUUGUUUAAUGCUUAUCUAAAUAAUUUUUCCAAUUAAUAGCUAACUAGAGUUAUACCUCGGUUUUCAUAGUCAAACUUAAAUUGAUUAAUGUUUAUUCAAUUUGCUUUCUAAACAAAAGUUGCAUAGGUUCUAUCUCGAGUUUUCGUAAUUAAAUGUUAAUUUGGUUAAAUAUAAAUAUAAAUAUAAAUGUGUUUCUGAAUUAUAAUUUGUCUAGUUCAACACGAAUCAUAAAGUUAUGCGCUUAGAUCUUCCCACCUAAGUUAUUUUCCAAAUAAAUGUUUAACUAGUAUAAUUUAUACAUGAACAUUUAUAAAUAAAACUUGAGUAGGAUUUACCUCGGUUUUUGCCAAUAGAGUAAAAUUUGCAUUAUUUCUAAAUUAGGGUAUUUUCUUUCCAAAAUAUCCUUUAGAUAUGUUUUGCUAAUUAAAAUAAAUCCAGCAUAUAGCCUUGUGUGCUCUCAUAAUUGUUUGAUAGCCGUCUUUGUUAGCUUUAGCUUUGUAUCUCUUUUGUAGAUCUAGUCUUCUGUAAAGCUUUAGAUCUUUGUAGUUCCAGAUCAAGCUCACACUCAGUUUCUUUCACAAAUCUAGCCAAGCCUUUCCUUUUCAAGCACGGUUUGUGUGCUUUAGUGAUCCAAAUAGUUUAUCUUAGAGUUUUUGUUCUGCCUAAUAGUUUUGGUCUUCAUGAGUAGUUUGGUGCUGCUCAUUUCCCUAGCUAGUAUAUUUUUUAUCAUGCUUGUUUCCUGUUCCUCUUAGAAACCUGUUUAUCAAAAGCUAGCUCAUAAUUACUAUGUCCUAGUUGUCUCUUUGUGAGUCAGCUAUGUUCGUUAUGGCCAAACCUUUCGCAGCCAUCUCUUUAGAGCUAAUCUUGUUAGUUGUGUCUCUAUCGACCAGUUCAGUUUAGCUUUGACUAGUUUGUUAUCUUUGCAACCUAGUUGCUCUCUUUGUAGACUAGUUUUCCCUAAACCAUAGUUUAAGGUUUUCUUCUGCGCUCUAAAGUCUGAUUUUGAUGUUCUUGUUCACUUAACCAUAACUUAUGCGAUAGCAAUGUGUAUUGCCUGUUGCUUGUCUUUAAAAUCAAAAUUGAAUGUCAAUUUGACUAAUACUUAUUAAACCAGUUUUCUAAUUAAAAGUUUACUAGUUAUACAAUAUGGGAUUUCAUAUAAAAUUUUAAACUUUACUAAUUCUUAUUCAAUUAGUUUUCUACAUAAAAAUUUAUUAGGUUCUAUCCCGGAUUUCAUAAACUAAGAUUUAAUUAAUUAAUUCCUAUUUAUAACUAGCUUUUCUAAAUAAAAUAUACCUAGUGUCAUACAUCAUUUUCCAUGAAUGAAGUUAAUAUGCUUAAUGGUAUUAUAAACACCUUUUUCACAUUAAUAUGUUUAGCUGAACACAAAAUACAAAGUUAUUCGAUUAGAUGUCUUAUACAUGCUCUGUGUUUCUAAAGUUAACUGUUAAAUUGGUGUAACUUGUACUUCAAUAUUUACAAAUAAAAUAUGAUUAAAUUUAUCACGUUUUCAAUGUUCAAAUAUACCUUCUGUUAAUUCCAACUAAGGAUAUUUCUCUAAAAUAUCUACGCAUUGUUUUUUAUUAAAAUCUAAAGUUAACUGUUAAAUUGGUGUAACUUGUACUUCAAUAUUUACAAAUAAAAUAUGAUUAAAUUUAUCACAUUUUCGAUGUUCAAAUAUACCUUCUGUUAAUUCCAACUAAGGAUAUUUCUCUAAAAUAUCUACGCAUUGUUUUUUAUUAAAAUAUAUCAAGCAUAUAGUCUUUUUAUUUCUUUGAUAAUUCAAACCUCUCGAUAGCUUUGUCUUUUCAUCCAUAGUUUCAUUUUCAGCAUUUUUUCUACGUUGCGAUCUUAGAAUCAAGCCCUAUCCUUUGGUAUGAUCUUUUAAAGCUUUUCUUUUGAUUGGUGUACUGUUCUUAGUUGUGCUUGUUUGUUUGCUCUGUAUGGUUGUGCCGAUGAUUGUUUUGAGUAGAAGGAUUGCUAUUCGAAAGCUUUGAAGAUUAAGAGUUUCAAGAGAGCAAGAGCUGAAGAGCAGUAAGAGUAAUUUUUCAUUGGAGAAAGGCAAGUGUCCCCAACCUUCCUUCUAUCUAUGAUUAUUUAAAUACCAUGCAUGCAUUAAUUGGAACAUUGAGCGACCACCCAAGAAAACAAUGCAACCACAAGAACUACAUGGCUCUAGUCUUGGCUAAUUAAUUAGAUACUCUUGUUUGAAGCGGUCUUACCGAAAGGGCAAGAGGGGUGACGGCAGAUGGGGUAUAACCCAACCCUCAGACCGAUAUGCUCAAUGGUAGCUUCGCAGUCUUGAGAGAGGUUUACGCUCUGCUACUUAUCCGGAAACCUUAGCUGGCUACAUCUUAUUAGGGAAUCUUUGUAGAGGUCUUAUAGCUUCCCUAUGCAGUCACAUCUCGGUAGUGUGAUGAGUGCUUGAUUAGCACAGUAUGGUUGGGUCUAAAGUUUUUCUGAACUUCUACGCAACUUGUGGUGAAAAUGUACAACUUCUGCAGAGUGUUAUAUCAACUGUGCUCACAGUCAAGAGUGGCCUGAACCCUCACAUGAUUAAUAAACUUGAAGAUAUACUUAAAUCAUUAUUUUGGUUAUUUUUUGUGUUCUUGCUGAGUAGCAACCAUAAGUGUACUCACCCUUGCUAACCGCUGCUCAGAAUAAGGUGUCUGAAGUUAUUGAAGAUGAUGCUAGGCGUACGCAGCCCCAAUUGAUUGCUUGUGAAGUCUGAAGUCUUUGUUUUCAGGAUUAAGCUGUAUAUCUCUGAUAGACUCGUAAAUUUUUAUUUAUAUUCCUUUACGUGAUACUGUUACUGUUAUUCACUGAUAAUGUCACUAUAUGUAUGAUACUUGAUUAUGGGAUACAUAGGUAGCACUUGGUUUUGUUUUAAAAUCUGGUGUGACAUCGGUUCACAUCAAGCGUGACGAUAAGAAUUUAUAUAAAUGUUGCCCAACCACCCGAAUAUCAUAAAUUGAAGGUAUGUUUGAUUUUUUUACCAUACUUACCUGUGGCUAAACUCCAAAUGCUAGUUUUAGAAUAGUCGUAAUGGAAUUGCCAAGGGCGAGAGAAGAAUUGUUACUGUUGUGCCAUAACCCACAUUGGCUUAUGUGUCUAGACAGCUUAGAUGUCCAGCGUGGCCUAGCGCAUUUUAUGUAAACAUUUACAGGUGCACUGCUGCUGAUUUUAUGUAAUUAUUAAACCUAAUGCAGUUUCAUCAUGGCAAGAUGCAUUAAAGAAAGAAAGGGAAAGACAAAAUGAAAUACACCAAAGAGUUCAGUUCCAGCUGAAAACGUGUCUGCCCCAAGCGAGCUCCUAUACAUCUUCUGUGUUGAUUGCACAGCCCAUAAGGCCCAGCAAUUUACAGCCCAAGCAGCAAUAAUACACAUGCGCCGCAGGCCCCAAUACGAAUAUGUAAGUAUGGGGAAAAAAAAAGAUACGUACCACCUAAGCAGCAUGCCACGGCAGGCCCCAUCAGCCACCAGCCGAAGAUACGUGUUGCUUUACUAUUUUUAUUCAUAUUCCAUUCUACAGUAAUCCUCCUAAUACUAUAUUCAACAUUUUGUGCGAAUUGAUUCAAACAUUCAAAAUAACUAGUUAAACAUUUUGAUAAAACGAAUGCAAAAUUUUCUUAAAAUGUUGAAAUAGUAUAUUAAAAAUGUUGAAUAAAAUGUUGGAAUAGUGUAUUAAAUUUCAACAUUUUUUAUAAAUGCAAAUUCAACAUUUUUAAUAAAAUAUUGAAAUAGCGUAUUAAAAAUGUUGAAAUAGAAUUUAUGAUCUAAUAUAUUCAAAUAAUAAACUAAUAUAGUUAACAUUUUAAAUAAUAGAUUCAUCAUUUCUUUGCAUACUUAACUGUUGGGUAGUUCAUCAAAAAUUUUGAAUUUUAAAAAUUAGCAAAGAUAUAUUCGGAUAUCAUUAUGUUCGAUUAAUUCUCAAUAAUGUAGUGGUUUAAACGAUUAAAAAGGGUUCCCAGUUUGGGAGAAAAAUGCAUUUGAAGUUUGGAAUCCAAAAGCACCAUGCAACCACCACAAGAACCACACUGUCUGUCCUCCCCAUCAGCCGUGCAUGUUCUUUUCUACCUGGAGCCAUGGUGCGCCUGGGCUGUUGCUGUCAAUUGUGGUGGAAAAGGCAAAAUCAUUCCUACAGCUUGGAGAGUACGACACAAGUCGCGAGCAUUGGAAGAUGCUUAAGAAAAAAUUCUUCAAGAAGACACAUAGGAUUUCCAGCCCGGUCCAGCCUAGAAGAGUUUGACCCGCCCAUCAGUCUGUUCAGGCCUAUUAACUUCAGGUCCAAUUAGAAUGUGGGUCGUCCAUUCUCUCUCCUCUCAUAAAAAGACUCGUUCUGUCCUGCGUAACCCAUGGGCCGGCCCAGCUUCCUGUCGCGCUCGUGCCCAGAGCUCGCAGACGGAGGACGGGGAGCCACCAGUGUGGCACUCCGAGGGGCGACCGCGGCGGCGGGGGCACUGAGCAGUGAGCACAGCACAACCCAAUGCUAGCGCAUCGGAGAAGGGCGCGGAUGCCUCGACGAUCUCCGAAGGGUCCCACUGUAAUCUCGUCCGCCAUGUCCGACGGCCUCCUGCAGCCGCGUGCGUUCAAGCAGGUGAGAUCCCACAACUAAGGUUCGUGGCCACGGUCGGAUUCCCGGCCUGAAAGAAACUUAUCAGCCACCUCGUUCUGUUCAUGCUUCUUUGUGCUCUCCAAAUUAAAGUUUCCCCAAUUUUGAUGUAAAUUUCGGUCACGCGCAUGUGGUGUGGCAGUCACCGGAGUGUUGGCAAUACACAUAAAAUCGACAAAUACAUAGACAUCGUAGAGUCUUGGCACUAUGCAUAACUAAUAUCUUACGAAUUUCCCUGUAUGGUCUAACAAGUGCCCUGAAAGGUUGUAACAAGUCUAAGAUGGUGUAGCUUAGUCUCCACUUACCGUCCAUAUCGACCGAGUCUGAGGAGGACGUUACUUCUUCCAGAUGCUGACAAACAACUGCAGAGCACUCCGUCCAUCCUUCUUACUCGCAUUGAGCCCCUUCUCUCCUUCUCGAGACCAAUUCCAAGAGGCAAAACUUUUGGAAACUUUGGAGCAAUGGCAUGGUGCUUAAGUGUAUUAUUGUCAUGCGGUGCAGAACCUGAUUCCUUUCACCCAUUAUUAUUGUCAUGCGGUUGAUUCUGAAAACUUUAUUUUGCUCAGGUUCUAUUUCCAUGUUGCAGAGCCUCCAUGCCUGGUCGAGGCACUUUGUCCUCAACAUCAACUAAAGGUGUGUUUGGAUGGAGGGACGUGACGGAAUGGGAUCAUCCCACUUUUACAUAUGUUUGGUUGGAGGUUAGGUGGGACGAGGACGGCAUCAAAGUAAAAUAUUCUUCGAAAAAGAGGGAUGAAACAGUUCCUCCAAAUCGGUCGGACCAAUCCGUCCCACUUCGAUGACACAAACACCGUGACGAGCAAGACGACACAAACGCCGUGACGACACAAACGCCGUGACGAGCGAGCGCCUCGAGCGCAAGCGCACGUCCAACUCCAGCGCAGCGCCACGAGAAAAGCCAGGCGGCAGGGGCACGUAGCUCGGGCGGUAGAGGAAUGGAGCUGGGUGGUGGGGAGGGUGGAGCCCGGUGGCGCAGGGGACCGCCAGGAGGAGACGGGGAUCGACCUCCUGGGUUCCAGUUCCACCCCACCAACGAGGAGCUGGUGGUGCAGUACCUCCGUCGGAAGGCCCUGUCCCGCCUGCUGCCCGCUGCCAUCAUCCCCGUCAACCACGACCAUGCCAGGCUGGAUCCAUGGGACCUCCCUGGUGCGUCCGCACGCUCUCUUUCAGAUUAAUGGGAAGGAAGGCUGAGACAGAGUGUUCUGAUGUUCCUUGAUUGAUUGGUGUGUGUACAGGAGCGAGCGAAGGGGAGGGGUACUUCUUCAGCGCGCCUUCGUCGAGCAGCGGCCGCUGGAGGAGAGCUAGCAGCGGGUACUGGAAGGCCACGGGGAAGGAGAAGCCUGUGUUCCUGCAGUGCGGCGGCAAGCGGCAGCUGCUCGUGAGCGUCAAGACGGCGCUCGCCUUCCAUCGCAGCGAGCCGUCAUCGUCACAGGGGACCGCCGGUAGGAGACGGGAGGGCGAAGCCUGGCGGCGCGGGGUGGUGUGGGCCUCGGCUGCGGUGGCGCGGGUGAUUGCGCCGCGACACGCCGAGAAGGGGAUGAGGCUCUGAGGCUAAUAGUGAGCUCCGCGGCUAACGGAAUACAAACACCGUUUAUUUCAUCGGUCCUCAUCCCUCAAACCAAACAACGAAAUUAGGAUGUUCCCAUCUUUCCAACCAAACAUUAAGUGGGAUCAUCUCAUCCUAAAAAAGAGGAUGAUCCUAUCUCAUCCCACCUGUCCCUCCAUCCAAAUACACCCUAACUGCGCCGGUCGAUGUGAUUGCGACUGCUUGUUCUUACCGGACUGGUUAUAUGAAGCUGGCAUCAGAAGUAACCAGGUUCUGAUCCUCCCUGUGUUGAGUUCCAGCUAAUAUCACUCUAGGAUCAGUGCAAUGAAUGGUUUCUGUGAAAUCCAUCUUCAUCUCCUUUCGUUCCAAAAAACUAUCCUGUUAUCUAAGGAAGCUCCCAACUGCAAUCCACUCCUCCGUAUUUUUUGGGUCCCGGAAGAUAGAACUCUUUUUCAGUGUACAUUCUAUUUUCGGUAUAAUUAACAUACAUUAUGAAAAUCUAAGAAUGAGGCCCCCUCCCCCCGAGAGAGGCGACGCCCAUGGUGACACCCCGCCCGUACACCAACCUCGUCCCAGACCCCCCACCCCAGUAACCUCCACCAACCAACCGGCCCCAGAUCCGAGCGCAUCUGUAGAAGACCUCCAAGCUCGUACUAGCCGUGUCGUGAGGGAGCAAGAGAAGGAGGAGAUCGAGUUCACUCAGAAGAAGGUCCAAGAUCCAGAUCCCAUCGGUGAGGUCGCAGUACAGGAGCAGUUAUCGCCGGAAGAUCGACAGUCUGGCCAAGCUAUGCAUACCCAGAGGCUAGAGGCAGCGACGGAGGCCAGCAUCCUCCCGGAUCUCGUCCAAGAUUUGCGAGCACAAGCUAGCCUUAAGUCGACGCGGCUGGAAACAGGCAUUGAAUGCGACGAGGCAAAUCACACGCCAAGCACAAGCAUGCCAGUGAGGCUGGCGAGGGGCUCGACGAGGAAGAAGAAGACCGGUGGUUCGCGCCCUCCUCCAACGGCUUGUCAAGCAAGAGAAUCCACAAAAUCUGCCGCACAGCAGAGUUUUUGAGCCUGUAAAGCAGAAGCUCACCAGCGCAGUGAAAGGAAAAGGAGCAGGGACAGAACGGCAACCAUGCCAGCCAUCAAAUCUGCAUCAGAGAAGGGAGCAGAGCAUUUCAACAAGCAGCUGGCAAAAGCAGCGGGGUCAAUGCUUGAGAGAAGGGGAGGUGGGUAACCUUCAAUUCCCCUCUCCUCCAUUCAGGUCCAGCUCAAGGAAUAGACAGCAAUGACAUCAGCAACAAGAUCCGACCAUGGACAAAUCUUCAAGGACACAACACACUGCACUGCAGUCAGAGACCUGGAUUGAUGAACACGGCUUCCAAGUGGUAAAACCAGCAUAUUGGUGGCGAAGGACUGGAGACCAUUCAAGAGAAGAUUCAAGGCUUCACCAACCGGACAUGGAAGAGCAUAGGAGGAAGAGGUACAGGGAACAUGUCAGGGGAAAAUGUCUCAAUUGUUUCUCCACAGAACACAAAGCAGCUGAAUGCAAGCAACGCACUAAAUGCUGAAGAUGUCUGCAGACGGGGCACAAGGCCCUCGCCUGCCCAACCUGGAGAGACCAUGUUAAAAGGCCACCACCGGAGACUUAUUCUCAUUCUUGUCAAACCAAGACCAUCCCCACCACCACAUCUUUCCCCCCACUCCUGCUGGCCGGACCGUCUGCACGGCCGGCCGUUUCUACCUUCGGGCAGCAAAGGGCGAGGCAGCUCCCAUGGCGACAUACCCGGGUGACCCGCGUGCCCGCCCAGAAUACGCGGUCUGUGCGCUCUCAGCGACUGGGCACAUCAAGCGCAAGCAGGAGUCCAUGAUCGGCAAGACAGCAGUCUGUUGGCUCAACGGCAACAGCCACGACAUGGAGAUAUGCCACGUCGCUGAUGCCCUUGAAGAACAGCUCCUCAUCAGCCGCCAUGAAGUGCGCGUCGUCAAGCACUUCCCCGAGCAAUAUCUGGUGUUCUUCACCGACUGCCGAGCAUACCAUCGCGCUAUCGACCAGUGGGGCGUCCACAAAUGAGGAAGAGUCUUCAACUUCGAGCCAUGGACAGAGCGUUGGAACGUCGUGGAGAGCAAGCUAGAGUUCCGGGUCAGGCUGCGCAUUGAGGGAGUGGCGCUGCUGCAUGCCUGGUCCGAGGAGGUGGCGGCCCAAGUCAUUGGCCAAUACUGCGCCAUCCACUACGUUGAGGAACACGCACGCCAGUAGGAGUGCACACGAACCUACGAUCUGUGGGCGUGGUGCUCCAACCCCCAAGAUCCCUAAGAAGUUGCUGCUCACCAUCACCGACCCUGACAGGGAGCAGCCGGCAAUCGACAUCCCGCGGCAGCUCGUCAACCCCAACCACGACACACCUGAUGACAUCAAGGGCGCGUACAACUACAAGCUGCACAUCCACCUCGACGUGGUCGAGGACCUCUCCUUCCUCAGAGGGAGGGACGGAGGGGACGGAUAGCACAACAGGAGGCCAUGCCGUGAGUUCCUCUGAAACUACGGGGCACCGGACUCCCAGGGGGAACGGCGCAGUGACCAGUACCAUGAUAACUUUGCAAGCCGCGACUACCACCCACGCCGUGACAGAGACGACCAUGACGACCAGCACCAUCGAGGCACAAGGCGCCACCGUAGUGCCUCUUCCUGGGGGCGAGUGACGCGCUGCCGCGGAGCCAUGGAGGACUGCUACAGCUCCACACACCGCAACGGCAACUAGGUACACUCGGGUCGCCACAACAGAGUCCAGAACAACACAGCUGGCCAGGACAACAAAAGCCAUUCUCUGAUGGCUUGGCGCAAGAAGAGCACAGGAGGCAAGAAGGUCUCCUUUGCAAAUCCUCUGGUGCAGAUCAUGGGUGAGUUUGAGUUUGACCCUAGUUGCUAUCAUUUCCCAGCGCCUUCGAAUUCUGACUUGGUGGGUGAGUGGUUUGACCCCAUGAGGGAAGAGAUGCUCAUCCCUAAUAUUUUUGUAGGCGACCCAGGCAAGGAGGAUCGUAUCCUGAACAUGCUGCACUCGGCAGUGGGAUGGACCCCGGUUGCUUCACCAAGGAGUGCUCCGGAGGAAGGCGAGCUGCCGGAGCCAGUGACCGAGCUGCAGGAACCAGAAGGGCACAACAUGCAUUCGCCAAUCACCAACAAGCAGUCACAGGUCUGUCUGGUUUCUACUCCUCUAGAUGCAUCAGUGAGGCACACACAACAAGCUCAAAUUUCAGAAACUGUCAACACGGAAAACACUAGCUCAUCGCCUUUUGCACAGUACACCAACAGAGUAGAGCCCCCUAAUGUCAACAGAGAAGAGGUGAACGGUAGCAACAUCAUUAGUGAAAAUAACAACAACAUAGCAGCACCGCACAACACCGUAGCUACUUCAGUUAUAUGCAAUGAUCAAGAUAUGGUAGCCACUUCUGUUGAAAAUGGGGAGGGUAACAUAGAGGUCGGUGAGGGUCCUAAAUUUGACGACCUUUCAGCUUUCAUUGAUUUCAUAGCCUGCAAGCCAAAUGCGCAUAUUGUUUGCACUCCACCCAGAGCAAACCCCAUCACAUCAGGCAACGAAAAUCAGGGCCAAAACACAGCACAAAGAAAAAGCUCUAGGCUAGCGGAUAAAGCUAAGCUAAACCCGGGCAAGGACAGCACCCAACUUGCCCAAAAAGUCCUUAGUAAUAAGCUUGGGGAGCUGUCUCCAAAGUCGAAAGUUAAUUCUAAUGCUGAGGUUGAUCAUUUGGUGCAGCACCUUCCAAAGCCACUGACGGACCUGAAGAUGAUGGCCAUCAAAACCUUGGUGGAGCAGGGAAACCAGGCCAAGCACAAGAACAUGAAGAGGAGCAAGAUCACUCCAUCAGCAAUUGGAGAGAUGGAGGCCCAAGUGGCCUGAGGGAUAACCAUCCAGGGAGGAAGCGUUUCAGUGGUUUUUACUUCCCUAAUGUUAGGCAUAAAAUAAUUGAACUUAAACUUAGUCGAAUCUGUAUCUUUAAAUGGGCCAACAAUUAGGCCCUGCGACUUCAGCGGUGCUUUGUAUCGGGCAGAAUGCCCAGCAUCGACGUCCACGAAGCUCGCCAAGCUCUCCUCGAGGCAAUGCUUUAGUGAAAAAACAAGUCUCCUGGGACUUCUCAGCUUUGUAUCAGGACCAUGCGCCAAGCAAUGUUGUCCGCAGGUUGACGCUUUCCAUGAGUCUACUAUUAGUUGUGCACCUCUGAUCCAUGUCACAAAAGGAUUGUAAUGUGUUGUGUUGGAAUGUUCGUGGGCUUAAUGUGGCAGCUAGGAGAGCAAGUGUACGAAGCACGAUUCGUUCAUCCGGAGCAACGAUAGUAUGUCUGCAAGAGACCAAAAUAGCACACUGGACAUCUAAACUCGUGGCAGACACCCUGGGCAAUAAUUUUGCAAAGAACUUUGCUGUGUUACCAGCCCUUGGCACAAGAGGAGGCAUCCUUAUAGCGACAACGGUGAACCAUUUUGAUAUGCACAACAUCCACACCAUCGAUCACACAGUAUCCACAACAAUCACUAUGAAAGUAGACAAAAAAAUCUUGGACACUCACUUGCGUCUAUGGCCCUCAGGAUGAACACGACAAGCUACUAUUUCUAGAGGAACUGAAGAGCCUAAAAGAACAAGUUCUCACGGAAUGGCUCAUAGUUUGUGACUUUAACCUUAUAUAUAAGGCAGAGGACAAAAGUAACAAUAGGCUCAACAGAAACUUGAUGAAUCGUUUCAAGCAGGCAAUUGACAAGAACCAACUGAUGGAAAUCGACCUCCACGGAUGGUGUUUCACCUGGAGCAACGAACAAGAUCACCCAACAUUCACAAGGAUAGACAGGUUCUUCGGUACACCAGAAUGGCAUCUUCUCUUCCCAAACCUUGACUUGCAAGCCUUGCCAACCAUGGGCUCAGAUCACUGCCCAUUAUUUUUAACAGGUGACGUAGAGAGACAGAACUAUAUGGGCUUUCACUUUGAAUCUUAUUGGGUGAACAUGCCAGGUUUCUUAGAGACUAUACAAGAAGUCUGGAGCCAGCCAGUGCAUACUCAAGAUGCCAUACUGCGUAUGCAUGUCAAACUCAUUCGCACAGCAAAGGCACUUAAAUUGUGGAAGAGAAAAAACCUUGGCAAUCUAGCCCUUAGACUGGCAAUAGCCAAUGAGGUGCUAUGCUUCUUGGAUGCAGCUCAGGAACAAAGAGCCCUUACAACAGAGGAAUUAGAAUUUCAACGAUACCUAAAAGCGAAGUCGGUGGGCUUAGCAACGGUUCAGAGAGCCCGUGCAAGACAACACUCCCGGCUCACAUGGAUGCGAAAAGGAGACGCAUGCACACGCCUGUUUAUGCUGCAUGCUAACAACACAAGAAGAAAUCUACACAUCCCGUCCUUAACCACCGUAAAUGGAACAACAAUCAACAACCACCAGCAAAAAGAGGAAAUAAUAUACGAUCACUUCGUAAACCUGUUGGGCAAAACACAAGAGAGAUCCCUCAGCCUAAACUGGACAAAUCUCGGAUGUCAUCCACAUGACUUGACCGACCUGGAAGCACCAUUUGAGGCAGAAGAAAUAAAAAAGGUCGUCAUGCACUUACCAGCAUAAAAAUCACCUAGCCCGGAUGGAUUUAUUGGUCUAUUCUAUAAGAAGUGUUGGGAUGUGAUCGGAGAGGAUCUGAUCCAAGCUCUUCAUGCCUUCCACUCCCUUAGGACCAGACGCAUGGAAUUGAUUAACGAGGCCAAUAUCAUUUUGCUGCCAAAGAAAGAAGGAGCAACCAUGGUUGCAGAUUUCCGACCCAUCACUCUCAUUAAUAGUCUAGCCAAGAUCAUAACAAAGGUGCUAGUAGAUAGGUUGGCUCCGAGACUGAAUGAGCUAGUUUCCGGAUGUCAGAACACCUUCAUCAAAAAAAGAUGCAUUCAUGACAACUUCGUCUACGUACAUAGUGUAAUCAAGGCGUUGCACAAAUCAAAGAGACCGGCACUCUUUGUAAAACUCGAUAUCUCAAAAGCAUUUCAUUCGCUUAAUUGGGUAUUUCUCAUCGAAACAUUACAGGCCCUAGGUUUUGGCCAAAAAUGAGAGAUUGGAUUACAACACUAUUAGCCACCUCAUCAUCCAAGGUGCUACUUAACGGGAGACCUAGGAAAAAAUUGAAGCAUGCUAGAGGCCUCCGUCAAGGAGACCCACUAUCACCCAUGUUGUUCAUCCUUGCCAUUGACCCACUCCAUAAAAUGGUGGAACUAGUAGCCGGCAACAACAUCAUAAGACCAAUCCUCCCCAGAGCGGCAAAGCUACGAUGCUCCCUUUAUGCAAAUGAUGCAGCUAUUUUUACAAACCCAGACAGAGAAGAACUACAACGUAUCGGACAGUUGUUACAUAUCUUUGGAGAAUGUUCAGGACUCAAGAUAAAUAUGACUAAAACGGAAAUAUUCCCUAUCCGGUGUACCAAUGAAACCAUCUUAGAAGCUCUAGAGCACUUCUCGGGAAAAAUUUCCUCCUUCCCUGGAAAAUAUUUGGGCUUGCCUCUUCACAUGCGCAAACUCCGAAGGGUGGACGUCCAACCAUUAAUUGACAAGAUCGGUGGAAGGCUUCCUGGAUGGAAAGGUAAAAUGUUAUCGUCGGCCGGGAGAGAAACACUGGUGAAGAGUGUAUUAACAUCACAACCAAUAUAUCACCUCACAGUUUUCCCUACUCAAAAAUGGCUGAUCAAACAGAUUGAUCACCUACGUCGCAGUUUCCUUUAGAAAGGAGAGGAACCAAAAAAGGUCAAUGGAGGACACUACUUGAUUAAAUGGCCAACAGUAUGCACGCCUAAGGACAUGGGAGGGCUCGGGAUUCUCAACCUCGAGAGACUUGCGAGGGCUCUAAGAAUGAGAUGGUGCUGGUUCCAGUGGAAGUAUAGUGAGAUACCUUGGGUAGGACUUGAUAUCCCGUGCGAUAAGAAUGAUAAAGACCUAUUCUAUGCGUCAACAGUAGUAAUGGUGGGCAAUGGAAAGAAAGCAAACUACUGGAUAGCGCAGGUUUACCCACUCAUGACAGGAGAGGAAAUCAGAGAGUAUGUGCAGCUAUUUGAGGAAAUAAACAUGCUACAACGUGACACUAAUGCGGAGGAUGAAAUAUCAUGGAGGUGGACGCAGGACGGGGAGUAUACCACAAAGAGUGUAUACCGUAUACAAUUCCAAGGCCAACUGAAGAAGUUGAGUAUCACCUCAAUAUGGAAAGCUAGAACUGAACCAAAAUGCCGGAUCUUUGCCUGGCUUCUCCUGCAUAGGAAAAUCUUAAUAGCAGACAACUUGGAAAAGCUGGGGUGGCCUAAUGACCCUCAGUGCAAGCUAUGCAAUUCGGACCUGGAGACACCCACACACCUGUGCAAAGACUGCCCUUACACAACGGCAGUCUGUGACCGGCUGCAGGGAUGGUUUUCUCUUAACCACUUACCCCCAGGCAACACAUCGCUUUCGAUCCACAAGUGGUGGAAGAAAUGUAGGAGCAUGAUCGACAAAAGGAACAAAACUUUCUUUGACGGCCUCAUCAUAUAUUUCUAGUGGAACAUUUGGAAAGAGCGCAACAGACGAAUCUUUAAUCACGAAACCAAACUGGUGGAAGACGUCGCGUUCUCUAUCAAAGAAGACAUCCAACAGUUCCAGUUCGCCAAUAAAACGCAUGAAGCUCCCGCGGUUGAGCCAACCUAGCAGCAUUUUUCAUCUUUUAAAGUGGGGUUUUGAAGUGGAGCUCGUAGUUGUUGUUGUUUUUUCCUUUCUCCCUAGGGAGUGCUAUUUAGUUGGUGCAGUGAGAGCCAUGUACAUAGAGUUAUUUUUUGUUUUAUUUUCUUGUCUUGUUUGGUUUUACCUCUUCUAAUAAAAAUUCGGCAAAGCUUUUGCCGUCCGUUAAAGAAAACAUACAUUAUGAUAAUUUUAUAAAUUUUAAUGGAGACGGGGAUGCAUAUGAUAUACUCCCUCCAUCUAUAUUUAUAAGGCGUGGAAGGACUUAGCACGGUCUUCCAAAUAACACUUUGACCCUUUAUUUAUCUUAUAUUAUAGUAUUUAUAGUUAUAAACUUAUAAUCAUCGUAGAGUAUAUUUGAUUACGAAUCCAACUAUAUAAAUUUUGAAUUAUAAAAAUAAAAAAAUAAUAGUUAAAUUAUUGGUCAAAAAUUGUAAAGUUUAAAUCUUGAUAUGCGUGUGCGCCUUAUAAAUAAAAACGGAUGGAGCAUAUCCCCCAAAUGUUUCUAUAUAUUGUGGAACUCAACUUAACUGAAGGAUAUAAAGACAAGAUUUUCAUAGGAAAUCGAACCAUUUUAAGAGGCGGUUCACACGAGGGAUCUCCUAGGAUAAUGCUAUUUGUGCACAACCAUACCCUUACAUGAACCGUCUCUGGAACCAGAAAUCAUUCCGUUUUCACUUACGGCAGACACGAGUGUAAUGGAGCCGUACAGGUGCAGGAGGGCGAUCCCCAUCUAGACUUUAAUUUGGCCAUGUGGAAGUAGGACACACUAUCUCUAGCACCAGCACCAUGUGUAGUUGGUCCCCCGUGUAUGCAUCAAUGCUGCACCUAUCGACUGUGACCUGGCACCUAACCGGACAGUUGGUUACGGUAGCCAUUCUUGUGAUUUCACAACUCAAAGGCAUCGUUUAUCCUCCCUCUCCCUGCUGCUGCUCAUCCUCCCUUCACUGAACUACUUGUUGCAAUCAGAAGAAAGAUCAAUCGAGUUGAAGAGACAGAUCGGAAGCUAGUCAACGUUGAUUGGUUCGUGAGUGAUGUUAUGAUCCGUCCCUCUGUUAUAACCAUCCAACCCAGCUGGUGCAGAAGCUAAUUACCUGAAGCAAUAUAUUUGUAGAAACGAAUAGUAAUAUAUUUAUAGAAACGAAUAGUACUGGUUAGUUCACUUAUUUCUUUGCUCAAACUUAGCCGUUUGGCAAGGCUUCGUCUUGGGUUAAAAUGACUCCGGAGCUUCGGCUCAUCAAGCAACUUUUUAUAUCUCUAGCUCAUCCUAUUAAAAAAUAUUUGGUAAAAUGAUUUCUCCAAAUUAGUUUGAGGUUGAUAGAAAGAUAAAAUGUCCAAAAUACUCUAAGAACAUAUAUUUUUCAUUCCAUUUUUUUCUUUUCCAUCAUUCUUUUAUUCCAUCUACUAUUUUUUCCUUACGCUUUUUUUUUUGGCCAGGUGUGCCUUAUCCGCUUCGGCCCUUCCCACCAUGCCUUUUUUCCUAUUUCUUUUCUUGCCGAGCGUGCUUUAUCUCCUUCGUUGACUUCAGUAGCACCUGUUGCGUUCGAUGCUCGCGCGGCAGCCCGGGGACCUCGACCUCGCCCGCCUAGGAGCUCCAGCAGCCGGUCCGCUCCGCCGCCGGUGCGGCAACCACGCCGUCGUCAGACCGCCUCACGCGGCCACCGGUCGUCCCCGCGAUACACCGCCGCCGGUGCGCCGUGCGCGGCGGCGCUGUCCCGCCGCUCCGCCGCCUACCGUCGGCCUGCGCCACCACCAGCGCACCGGCAGCACCGCGAGCUGCCGCGCCGCCCCGACAUUGGUCCUUCCCGAGCCCGGUGUCGUCACCAGCGUCGCGGAGAGAAGGUAAGGGGAGUGGCAAUUUUGCAGUAGUUUUGACGAACUUGAGGAGCAAAGUUAAAGCACAUGGCUGUGGGGAAGAGGAGAAGCGGGGAAAGCUACUUUUUAUGACUCACGCUGCUCAGUUCGAUUUGAUGAUUGGCUUCACACCGGCUUUUCCUGUGAAGCCCUUUUCAACUCACCCGUUUGGUAGGGUUUGGCCUGAAGCCGGUUCAUAAGCGGGAGCCAGAGCCCUACCAAAACUAUUUGGUGAGACUAUGAGCCGUUUGGUUCUCUGACUUAUUUUUAGCACAUGUCACAUUGAAUGUUUAGAUACUAAUUAGGAGUAUUUAACGUAGACUAUUUACAAAACCAUUACACAGCUGGAGGCUAAAUGGCGAGACGAAUCUAUUAAGCCUAAUUAGUCCAUAAUUUGACAAUGUGAUGCUACAUUAAAUAUUUGCUAAUGAUGGAUUAAUUAGGCUUACUAGAUUCAUCUCGUCGUUUAGCCUCUAUCUGUGCAAUUAGUUUUAUAAUUAACUCAUAUUUAGUCCUCCUAAUUAGCCUCCAAAUAUUCGAUGUGACACGGACUAAACUUUAGCUCAAGGAACCAAACCUCGCAUAAAUUAGCUGCUUAUUCUGCUGGUUGCAUGCAGGAGAUCGAGCUGCGGGCACACGGCCGGAUCGGAGGAGGACAUAUCAGCCGGGUUCCUGUUGGUUGUGUACUUGUGUUCCUGCCAGCGGAGAAGCAACCAUGGCCGAGUUAGUGAUCGGGCCACUGAUCUCCAUGGUGAAGGAGAAGGCAUCCAGCUACCUGCUGGACCAAUACAAGGUGAUGGAAGGCAUGGAGGAGCAGCGCAAGACCCUGGAGCGCAUGCUGCCAGCAAUCCUGCAAAUCAUCCAGGAUGCGGAGGAGAAAGGAGCCUCCCGACGAGGAGUAGCAGCUUGGCUCAAACACCUCAAGACAGCAGCCUAUGAGGCCAACGACGUCUUUGAUGAGUUCAAGUACGAGGCGCUUCGGCGAGAAGCCAAGAAGAAGGGCCACCACAGCAAGCUUGGAGUGGAGGUAGCAAGACUCCUAGUCCCCACUCGUAAUCCCAUUGUAUUCCGUUACAGGAUGGGCAAGAAGCUACGCAAGAUUGUGCAGACCAUCGAGGCCUUGGUCACCGAGAUGAAUACAUUUGGUUUCAGGCACUUGCAGCAAGCAAAGCCAUCAAGGCAGUGGCGACAGACAGAUUCCAUAAUCAUUGACUCCGACAGAGAUAUUCUUAGCAGAUCUAGAGAUCGGGAGAAGAAGAAAAUCGUGGGGAUGCUCCUUGAUCAAGCUAGCAACAUGGAUCUCAUGGUUCUUCCAAUUGUUGGGAUGGGUGGGAUGGGCAAGACCACCUUUGUGCAACUCAUUUACAAUGACCCUGCAAUCGAGAAGCACUUUGAGUUUCGGAGGUGGUGCUGCGUAUCAGAUGAUUUCGAUGCAAGUACCAUUGCAAGCAACAUCUGCCAGACCAACGAGAAAGGACGUGAAAAAUCAUUGCAGGAGCUCCAGAGUAUAAUAAUUGGAAAAAGGUACCUCAUUGCGCUAGCUGAUGUAUGGAAUCGGGAUGCUGCUAAGUGGGGAAAACUAAAGACCUGCCUUAAGCAAGGUGGCAAGGGCAGUGCAGUACUAACAACAACUUGUGAUGCAGAAGUGGCUUGCAUUAUGACCAUGGGUGUAGCUGAAGCCCAUAAUAUCGAGAAUCUGAGUGACAAGCAUUUAAAGGAAAUUGUCCAAAGCAGAGCAUUCAGCUUGCAAAAUCCAAAUAUUGAAGAGCAAGAUGGCAUUCUCAGUGGAUUUGUUCGUCGAUGCGUUGGAUCUCCCUUGGCUGCCAAAGCCUUUGGCUCUAUGUUGAGUAACAGGACUAGUAUAAAUGAAUGGAAGGAUGUAUUAGCUAAAAGUAACAUUUACCGAUCCUCAAGCUCAGCUUUGAUGACCUAUCCUCAGAUAUGAAGCAAUGCUUUGCAUUUUGUGCUUUAUUUCCUAAAGAUUAUGAGAUCGAUGUGGACCUCUUGAUUCAACUGUGGAUGGCACAUGACUUCAUACCUGUGCAGGAGGAUGACAAUCCAGAAACCGUAGGAAAAUAUAUUUUCGAGGAGCUAACUCAGAGGUCAUUCUUUCAAGAGGUCAGGCAAACACAUCCAAAGUGCUAUUAUGGAAGUCUUCGUAAGUCAACCAUAUGCAAGAUACAUGAUCUCAUGCAUGACAUUGCUCUAUCUGUUCUGGGGAAAGAAUGUGUCACUAUAGUUGGUAAGCCGAGCAUCAACAAGGUGUUGCUAAAUCCGACCCGCCACGUCUUCUUAUCAACAAGGUGUUCUCAUUUCUGGAAAGAACAGGUUACAAGUCUACUGGAUCAUCUAUUGAAGAAACAAACUGCAAUGGUCCACACGUUGUUUUUUACAGAUUAUUCUGACCCCCUUGAUAUAUCAAAGUACACUUCACUGCGAGCAUUACACCUUCCAGCAUAUAUAUUCUCAUGUGUAGGACAGGAGCAGCUUACAAGACACAUACAACACCUAAGGUAUCUUAAUCUGUCGUCACAUGAGUUCGAGAAACUUCCUGAAGGUAUAAGCAUUAUGUAUAAUCUACAAACGUCGUCACAUGUUCAGGACAGGAACAACUUACAAGACACAUACAACACCUAAGGUAUCUUAAUCUCCCACCUUCCCUCAAACAAUUAGGCAUCUGCAGCUGUGAGAAGCUCUGCUCUGUGUCAGGAGACCUGCGUGCACUCGAGGACCUACAUAUUUCUGACUGCAAUAAGUUACAGUCAGUCAAUUCCUUGGGAGACCACCCAUCAUUAGAAACACUGAUUCUUUCUCGCUGCCGAUGCCUUGCAUCUUUAGGAUGUGAUGGUGGUCGUGGGAGUUACUCUGCUCUUCAGAGCCGUAAGAUUGUAGACUGCCCAGCCUUAGACAUGAAGCAGUUUUACUAACGCCAUCAAACAGCUGCUUGACAGCUUUGAAAAUGAAGACGUAUCACACGUUCAUUCAAGCAGCUCUGAUGAAGGUAUACGAC
rnacentral:lncRNA from 1 species